rnacentral:lncRNA from 1 species
UCCUUUCAGUUCUUAGGGCACAGUGACUUGGAUAUUUUGUUGAUGUUUGCUUUUGGCUGUUUUGAUAUUUUAUAUUAAAGUUCUUGCACUUGUGCUGUAUAUAAUUCUCAAAUUUGUUACCACCUUGUUGGCAUAUUGAAAUACACGACUUGAAAUGUUGGGCAUCAAGCUUGUUUCCGCAGAAUUCUUUGAAAUAAAUUCAUUUUCUCUUCUUCAUUGACUUGGUUUGAAACCCACUCCCAUCCAUGCAAAUCCAAAUGCAUAUGUAUUUUCAUCUGGUUGUGCUUAUUAAUAAAAAUAAAUCAAUGAAAUGCUGAAAUAACAAGUGCACCCACACGUGGAAGCAGCCUAGUGUGGCCAAGCACCUCUCAUUCGUUUUAUGUGAUACAAUUGGUUUGUUGCACUCUUUGUGCUAAUUUUACUUUCUCGGUUUUGGAAGGUUCUGAUGAUGGUAGCGGAUAUGCUUGGAGUGUACGGAGCGGGAAAGGGGUAUGAUAAGCAAAAUUCCUUGAUUCUCAUGCCUUUUGAAUGCUUAGAAUUCAAAGGGAUGUUAUUUCCCUUACAUUGACCCCAGUCAUAGCAUUCAUUGUCUUCUAGCCAAACCAACAAUGCUUUUGAAUCUACAUUUGAGCAUUUACCUUAAGCACCAGUUUGCAUAAUGAGUUCUGUAUCCAAAUACUAUAUUCUUUUGACAUUGGUAUUGUUAUUAUAUAAACAUUGUUUGGUUUUGUUUAUUUUUCUUGUCAGGGUUGCAAGUUGGAUGAGUUUUCAUAGUGAGCCUCCUGUCAUAAAAUGGGCCCCCGGAAGUCUCAUGUUUGUUACGGGGUCAUCUGAGCUAUCAUUUUGGAAUCCUAAUGUGUCUAAACUAGGAGCUUACGUUGGGAGGAAGUAAAGUUUCUAACACUCACCACCCUUAAGUAUCUGAAUAUUGAUGUCUAUCUAUUGCCGGGAGGGGAACUUGUUUGUAUAAGAAGUUGCACCGAUUAUGUAAGGAGAUGUUCAAUUUCCUAUGGUAGUAUGUAAAUGCAUCUGACUUACCUGCUAGUAACCUUUCCUAACAAGUUCUGAAGAAACAACAGUAGAUCUGGUAUCAAUACUUUAUUCAGAAGAGCAUUUCUUCUUACAUGCACAGCUAAGAGUACAUGAAUUGAGCUACUGAAGCCCUUCCUGACCAACCUGGCUAAGGCUCCUUGCAGUUUGUCCUCUUCAUGGUUCUUUGGCAGGCAACAGCGUAAGCAAUUGCCUGGACUAUGAGGCCUUUUGUAGCGGGGUGGGCACUGCCUAGGCAGUUUUUUGAAAAAACUAGGAGCUUUAUUUGUCUUUGACAUUUGUAGCACGAUUAGUUAUUACCUGGAUUAAGUUGUAUAUAUUACAUCGUAUACCUAAUCUGACAAAUAACAGGUUGCAAUCCAAGUUUUGUUGAUCAUGAAGGGUUUGAGCAUGAUAGUCCAUUUAGGUCAUUAGGUCAGCCGAAUGGAAGACCAAUGGAUUUGGAGGGUUUGUCUACAACGCAAACUAAGCUAAUAAUGCCUGUUCAUUGUUUUAUACUUGCCAUGUAUUUUUUUCCUGUAAUUGUCAGAUUGAUGUACAAGUUAAAAUGAUUGUAAAUAAAUUAUAUAUUAUAAUUUUAAAAAUAUUAUAAGCCCAUUGGUUUCAUAUAUAUAUAUAUAUAUAUAUUAGCUUUCUCUCCUACACCCAGGCUUUAUGCCUCUCGUGCCUCAGUUUGAUGUGAAGAAAUGGUCCAUCAAGGCCAUUGGUAAUAGUCAGCAAUAGCAAUAUUGCCUUUCUUCAAUCACAGCAAUGUUUAUUGGGUACGCAGGAUCAAUUAUCUUCAGUAAUUAACAAUUUAACAUAAUAAUAUAUCAUGUUUAUAAAUAUGUAAAUAAAUUUUAUUCAAUAUUUAUAGUUUUAUAGUAAUUUAAUAAUAAAAUUUACCAAACAUAUACAACUAUUUUUAUAACUCACAGCUCCUUUAAAAAGAAGUUUUUGUAAACGUUUAAUUAAUUUUCUUUACAAUUGAUUAUUUCUAUAGCACAGCUAACAUCAAUUAUUUUAAAAGCUACAACAUUACCAAAUUGGCCCCUUACUCUUUUUAUCAAAAUUAUUAUUUAAAAGUUCUAACUAUUUUUAUAACUCACAACUCCUUUAAAAAGAAGUUUUUGUAAACGUUUAAUUAAUUUUCUUUACAAUUGAUUAUUUCUAUAGCACAGCUAACAUAAAUUAUUUUAAAAACUACAACAUUACCAAAUUGACCCCUUACUCUUUUUAUCAAAAUUAUUAUUUAAAAAUUCUAAUUGCAACACGUUACCAACUUUUAUUUCACAUCUACAAUUUUUUUUCACAACAGCUAUACCUUAAAAGUCGCAUCAUCUUAAUACCAAAUAGGGCCAUAGUAAUUUGGGACCUUUUUUUCCCCCUUUCUCCUCUUCUUCAUCAACUUAAAAAAAAACUAGAAACAAAUCAGAGAAAUUGAGUAUGAAAUUAAGCAUUAGUCGAGUAUGAAGUUGGGUGAGUCGAGUAUAAAAUUAAGUACUUUUCUAUAUGAUUUUAAAUAAAGGGUAUUUUAAUAUUUUUCUGUGUGAUUUUGGAUAUAUUUCUAUAAUACCAGUAAACUAUGUAAUAAGCAUAUAUUUGUUAUUUUGUUGUGAAUGGGACAUAUCUGGCGCCAUUUGCUCCCGUGACCGAUCUUUAUAACAGAUCCAAUUACCCUCGUUAUAUUCACUGGAUCGAAAGCUGACAUAGCACAAUUCUGAUAUGUAAUGUGAGUGAUGGGAGAGUCACAAAUUAUUGUAUAAAUUUAUUUGAUCUAAAUUAAUUAGUAUAAAUUGAUAGAAAUAUAAAAUAAUAAAAAUAUAAAUCACGUAGACCAAGGUGUAUUUAAUAAAACUAAUAAAAUUUUACUCAAUCAGUUAAUAUAAGAAUUUGUAAUUUUAUUAUUACUCAUGGUACUUGAACAGUGGCUGAUUGGUCAACUAGUGAUAUAAGUGGCAACGACUAAACUGUUGAGUCUCUACGUGGGUUUUCAAAAUGAGUCAAGAGUCAAGAAAUUAGCUGUAAACAUGUCUUUGAGAUGAUACAUUGUCAUCAUCAGCAUCAUAUCCUAAUUGACAAAGAAGGAUUGCGAGGGAAACUAAGCAUGUGCCUUCAUUUUCACUUGAAAUAAAGCGCAAGGGAAAGAUCUCAUGUUAUCACAUGAUGCCGUGUGAUCACCUAGAAGCCCUUCCACGUAUAUUUCUUCUCAAAUUGUCUUCUUCUAAUUUCUUGGGCCACCGCGGAACCACAAUGUCAAUGGAUGAGCGAGUGUUGCUCAGCUCGCAGCAUUUGGAGCCGGAGCUCAGCUUCCCUUAUUUGUUGGUCGUUUGGUAGGCGUCGCCAAAGGGCAAAGAGGAUCCUCUGGCGUUCGUGGAGCUGGUCCUCAAUGCGAUUGAUUUCUUCUCCAAGUUGAGCAAGUCUUUGUACCAUAGCCAUAGAAUUAUUUACUUUGGACCGAUGCAAUUCUCUUCUAAAAAUUUCAGGGAGCACUUUUCAUCUGCACCCAAAGAUUUCAUCAUAAUUUUAUUGUAUACACACUUGCUUCAACAGCUAUCACGGCUCACUCUUUUUUUGUUAAAUAUUGUUGUUGCCAUUAAUUUUGACAUAUUUGACGUUAAAAGACAACUUUACCUUUAUUUAUAUUUUUUAAUACAAAAUUACCAAAAAACCACAACACCAAUUUCUAAUUCCAAUUGACUUGUGGGGAUAUUAAAAUUUAAUUUUGGCAUCUUUGACCUUAAAAGAUAAUUUUACCCUUAUUUAUAUUUUUUAAUGCAAAAUUACCAGAAAAACCACAACACUAGUUUCCAAUUCUAACUCACCUAUGUGGAUAUUAAAAUUUCUUAAAGGUUAGAAAAAAAGUAAAAAUGUGUUGUUCAAAAUAUCUCCUCUGCCAUCAUCCAUAAACGUCCAUUCUUCAUAACAAUCUAGUAAACUUGCAAAAAGCAAGAUCCCAGUCAAUCAACCAGCCAAAAUUCUUCAUAAAGUUUAGCUUUUCUUAAAAAAACUUAAAUCUUGAGUUAAAAAUUUUAAUUCCUGAGACCCUAAAUUAACUGGUAUUGAAAGUCGCAUGUUUCUAUAACAAAAAUCUUCAAAAAUAACACUACAAUGAAAAUCUUCAAGUUAAAUAAAAAUUUAUAUUCAUAAUAUUUAUGAAUAAAUUAUAAAUAAUAUAGAGUGGUUUAAUUGAAUAUAGAGUAGUUUACAAUUUUAUAGUGUAUUCACUAAAUAGGAAUCGAAAUUAUUUGGAAACAUAAUGAGUUAGAAUCAGAAUAUGUAGAAUCGAAAUAAGGAAUUAGAAUCAGAAUAAUUUAUUUACUUGAACUGUAGGAAUCGUAAUUAGAAUGAGUUGUUUACGUGUUUACUUUGUCUUAGAAUCAAAAUCGGAAUUAGUUAAAUUGUAACAAAUUACUAUAAAAUCCUUAAUUAAUUUUUAUCAUAAUUAUUAUUUCUUAUUUUAACUAUUGUGAUUAUUAUUAAUAAAAAAAUUAUUUAUUAACAAUAAUUAUUGUUAAUUAUUAUUAUUAUUAAAAAGUUAACUAAAAAUUAUUAUUAAUUAUUGUUAAUAGAUUAAUUAAUUAUAAUACUUUUUAUUCUUGUUAUUAAUAAUAAUAAUAAUCCAUUUAUAAUUUAUAAUUUUAUUUAUAAUUAAGUGGAAAUUAAAGUGGUAGGGUCCCAAUCAAAAUGUGGCACGAACACAUUUAUCCAACAGCAAGAUUUUUCGAUUGCCAUCCCCACUAAUUUGGUGUAAUGACUAAGAGUUAAUUGAAAAAUAUUUAGUUUAAUUUUACAUUUAAUUUUUUUCAUUUUUGUAUUAAGAAUUAUUUGAAAAAUUAUUAUAUUCCCUUAAUUUUACCAGAAUCCCGUUGACUUAGCCCCGAGUCUCUUGAUUAAAGCGUUUUAAAAAAAAAAAAGUUCAAAAGAUUCAGAUAGCUCACUCGAUUAUAGGGCGUCUGCACCUUACGCUCGCUUUUGUUGUGCUGCCAGUAGCUGCUGCUUCCUUCAAGACCGAGCUCUCUGCCGCUGUUGCUUCCUUCAAGACCGAGCUCUCUAAGCCCCUCACUGUCGAUUUUGACCUUUGCUUCCUUUUGGCUUCACGAUCUAGAAGCCAUCGUCGCUUCAUUCAAGCCAUCACUUCACGAAAGAAAAAAUAAUAAUAAUAAUAGUGGUAAUAAUAAAUACUCUUACAGAUCUCUUCUUCAUCAAAUUUGUAAAAUUUAGAGAAAAUGCAAAACAGCAAUAAUGAUGAAGCUUCGGUGACAAAGACGACGGAGAAGCCGCCGCUGCCGAAGCGAUCGAAGACGAUCUCGACGACACUCACUUCCCAGGCCCACUUUUUCCCGCCGUUCGCCAAACCGACAAGCCGUUCGAUCUCCGCGUGUCCCUUGACUCCGAUGCUGUGGCGUCGUCUUCUUCGUCGUCGUCGUCGAGUAAUGGGUUUAACGAAAGAGACUGGAUGUACCCGUCGUUCUUGGGCCCGCAUAUGGGUCGGAGGCGGAUCAAAGUCAAACCCAAUAAGCUUGAAUUUAAAGGAAAUGAGGAGCAGAAGAAGAUUCAAGAGUUGGGUUCGAAGAAAGAAGAGAAGGAGGUGGCGAGUUUUUCAGUGACUCAGACGAGUUCAGUGAGUCAGUUGAGUGGAAAGACUCGUGGGUUAAAGAGCUCCUUGAUGACGUAUUACAUGGUUAGUAGUUUGAGUUGAGCUCAACUGCUGUAAAUUUCUUUAUAUUUUAGCUUAAAACGUUGACAAAUUAAACUUAAAAAAUCAAUGAAAUGUAAAGCUGGUAUUUUUCUUUUUCUUUUUUUCUUUCUAUCACUAAAGAAGAUAAAGAAUCGUGAUCAUAAAAUCUAAGUAUUACGAAUGCAAUCUUCAUCGCAAUUGAACAUUGUAGGACUAUUUUCUAAAGUUGAAUGAAAUCAACAUAUUCACGCAUACAGCCCAGCAAAAGAAAACUUCACUCAAUGAAAACCGACGCCAAUGCUUAAUUAAAGUCAAACACAUGACAUUAAGAAAUUUCUAAUAAUCUUAGAAAUAAGCUAGUCCAUAAUCACUUGAGAUCAUUUCCUCACCCCAUAAUCCAUCAACUAACUGAGAAAUGACAACUCACCAAUUAGUUUUUCAUCAGAACUCAUAACACAGCACUUACCCAUUCACAUAAUAAAAGUAUUGACAUUAAUGAGAGCGUAACUUAAUCAAAUAAUAAUCCAUUAAUAAAAUGAAAAUUAACAACUUAUACCUUCAUAGAUGAUUCUUGUGCACUUGACUUUCUAAGCAAAGAACGUCACUAUUCUUUUCAAGAAGGCAGCCACCACAAAGCAUAGAAGCUUCUUCAUAUAAUAGUACAACAAUCAAAACCUGAAACAUACGCAUUAGUAUUAAUUUAUUAUAAUUUAGCAGCAGUAAAUAUUUUUAUAAAAAAGUUAUCUGCAGUAAAUAUAAGAAUAACAAAGAAUAAAAUCUUAGAUCAACAACAGAGAACCUAAACUCUACAACUUGCUUGAACUACUAUCAACAUCAUACUGCAUAAUCAAAUAGACAAAAUAGUUUAAUAUAUAAUUUGUAUUGACCUGCAUACUAUCACGUAAAAAAUAUUGUAACAAAAACAAAACAUAAAAUUGUUUGGUGAUCACAAUGGAUCCUGGAAUGACAACAACUACAUUAUUAUAAUGAGUUUGACAUGUCAUUGUACAUGGAUUCGUUAUGAUGAAUCAUGAAACACCGUUGAGUAGUUAAUUCAGCCACUUUUCACCUAUAAAUUUGAUGGCAUACUUUGAAUACACAACAUGGUUAUAAAUAUAAGUUUAGAGAAUUUUUGUGGGAAAGAAUAAUUUUGUUGACAAAAGAUUAAGUACAAAAAUUAUAACAUCUCCAUUUUUAAUAUAGCUGACAUAAGUUAUUCGAGUGAAAAAAAAAAAAGAGGGAACUUAGAUACGCCAUAUUAAAUAGGGCAGUAAUAAAAAAAAUCUAAUUGACAUAAAUUAUUUGAGCAAAUGACAAAUUUUUGCUAAGAAACUCGUUUUCAUUUUUUCCCAAAUAAUAAUCAAUGUUUUUUUCCACUACGCAUCGAAAGAGCUCGCAUCGACAUCAAUCAUGAACCAGUCGUGGCCUAGCUAUAUUGCCUGCAUUAUGAAUACCACCUAUGACCUUUACAGCCUAACCGUUUAUCUCAGUCUAUUUUUAAUACUCAGUCACAGGUCCAGACCAUUCAAGUUCAGGACAUGACCCUACUGGUCCCAUUAUAUAUCUAUUUAAAUUUCUUUUUUUUUAGAAUGUCUAUUUAGAUUUCUUAAAUUUAAAAAACAAAUCAACUUCUAGCCCUUUAAAAAAAAAAAAAUCUAAAAUCAACAAAGCUAUUAAUUUGAAGAUAUUUUGAAUUCCAAUUCCCAAUUAAAAUCAUGAAUAUAUCAGCUAUAUCAUAGCUUCAGCAUAACUAGUAAGUGGUGACAUCAAAUUUUCAAAUAUUUGGAACUGGAAGCAAAUAUCUAGUUAAUGAUUAAAGUAGUUGACGAAUAAAACCUCUCGUAUUAUCAUAGAGGCUACCCCAAUAGCUUGCAAUAACUAUGUAUGGUGCAGUAAAGUUUCAGGAUAGAUGAAUAAACUAAAAAGCAAAAGAGAAAUAUCAGUUGCAGCAAGAACUACGUCAUCUCCACCUCGAUUAUUAUUCAAAUAUUAACACCAAAUGUCACUGAACAACACAAGAGAAACAUGAUCCAUAUUUUAAAUGUAUCUGAAUAGCAUAAAUAUGAAAAUCAUUGCAGAAAGUAAAAAAAAAAAAAGAAAAAAGUAAAGAGAAAUUUAUCUCACAGCAUUCCUAUUAUUAAAAAAUAUCAAAUAAAUGUGCUCCGAGAUAUAACUUCAUGCACAUUCAGAAGUUCUCAGGCCAAAGAACAUUAUAGCAACUACAAAAACUCAUGAGCCAGCAGGUCUUGUCCCAGUACAAGGUGAAGCAACUAAAAUUAUGCUUUAAGAACUUUAUAUAUAUAUAUCACGAACGCAGGAAGAAAAUUAUUUCUAUAUCAAAAUCAAGAUCACCCAACCAAACAAUGGUACCUUCCAAUAUACCUAGUGUAUGUAUAUAGGCAUCCAUUGAUUGAUACUUUGAAUUUAAUUAAUAAAUCAAUUUCAGGUGUCAUGUUUCCACAUUAAAGAGAGAUAAUAACAAUUAACUAGAUAUGACAGGACUGGAUAAAAAUUUGCUCAAAAUAUACUACAAAGAUCAAAUUUUAUUACUUUUCACCUGCUGUCAUUUCUCUCCAACGUCAGAUCAUGACCUCGAGCAACUCUUUCGGCUUUCUUCGCCCAUUUUUCUUCUUUUUACAGCAUGAAGCUAAUACGAAGCCAAAUGAAAAGUAGAUUAGUCAUUUCAAAUUCAAUUUAAUUGUCAAUUGAAAAGUUCAAUUGUUACCUUCAUCAGCUGUAGAAUCAAUAGUUAAUGAAAUAUACAAUAAGAAGAGUAAAAAAUUUCACCUGCAAAUUAGGACAGCCGAGGAAGCAUCCGUAAACAUAAGAGUAAUUAUAUCACUCUGAAAUUUCAUAAGAGAGAAUUAGGACAGCAGCGAAAGAAAUAAACAAAGCAAUUUGCAAAGGACACAGGCAUAAACAUGAUAGUAAGAAUAAAAUAUCAAACUGUAAGAAGAAGCGAGAAAAACAAAUCAAAAACAAACUGAGAAGCAGGAAGAGCUGUGAUGGUAAAUUCUUCAUCUAAAGCAGUUGAAGAACGAGCAAUGGAUACCGGUCCUUCUUCGUGCUAUCGAGAAAGGAGUCAGAGUUGAGAUCGAGAGAACAACGGAGACCGAUUCUUCGUCUCCGUAAUUUUCCCCUUUUUCUAAAAUGCUAUUUCGCAUUUCCUUUGCUUUUUGGUUUCCGUAUUUCGAUUUUGUUUUUAAUUAGGUAAGAAAAAAAGAUCGGGCCCUAUUUCAAAAGAAAAAUAAGAAGGGGCCCUAAAAGUAAUUUUUCCGAGCCCAUGCAUUCGAUUAAAAUAUUUCAUUAUCUUAGUGGACAGAUUGCCCAAGAAAAAAUAUUCGAUUAAAGCACAUAUUUUAAAAGGUAAAUAACGCGCUCAGAGAUGUUUAAUCAAUAAUACAGUUGUUUAUUAUAGUGAUAACUACUACUUAUAUAUUAAUUCUUCAAAAUAAUUCCACAUUUAUCAUAUUAUCAUUUACUUAUUUUGUAAGCGUUUUAAAGAUAUUUAAAAAUUUUUCCAUUUGACAAUGCUCAAUUAAGGGUAAAGUUUAAAUUAUGUCACAAAAAGUUUUUGAACAGCAUUACACAAAGCAUUUACUGUUUUAACAAAAGAAUGCAUAUGAGGGGACAAAAAAAAGUAAAAGUAUGAGUUUGACUAUUAUCACAGUAAUUAUUUCUAUUUCAAAAGUUGAAAUGUGAACCUUAACAUAUUUUGCGGAAUUUUUUCAAUUACUUUUUAAAAUUACAUGUACAUGGAUGAUUGCUUACUAUUGUGAAAGGCGAUAUAUUUAAUUUGAAGAAAAUUCCUUCUAGACCGGUAGCGUUGGUCGUAGUUGCCCUGUCGAAGAAGUGUUGUUAGCUCGAAACCUAUUGCAAAUGUCAAUGCAAAAUGGUUUCAAUGUUUCGUUGUAGAGCUGACGACAAGCUUCUGAAAACAACGUGCCAUAUUGAAACACAACAACAAUAAUGGCAGUGCCAAUCCAUGUCGUGUACAAAAUGAAAUGGCCAAUAUUGGAACGUGGAAUAAAUGUGGAGACCAAUGAUAUUGCCGAAUUCGAUCCUGAGACAAUAGCAACAAGGCCCCAGAAUUGGGAAGAAUUUUCUAGAUGAAGCCGAGACUUGAGGUCUGCUGAAUGUGCAUAACAAUAUAUGGCUGUGGCAAUGAGAAAAGACAAUAUAUUUAUUGAGUGUGUUUCAAGCAAGGGCUUAGUUUUGCCUUGCACAUUUGCACCCACAAUGCCAAUGAGAGCUGGAAUCAGAUAUCCAAAAAUGCUGGGAUAUGACAUCGACCAGAAGAGAUUUCGCCCACUGCAAGAUCAUUAAAAUGAUUAAAUCAUCUUUUGUAUAUCCCAUUUUUUGACAAAAAAUUAAAAUUGAAAAGCUCUUGUAUUAAUUUCCUCUCAGUUUGUCUAUCAAUUUUUUUUCUUUUGACUGAAGCAAUUCUCCUCUAAAAAUUUGAGGGAACACUUUUCAUCUGCACCCAAAUGUUUCAUCAAAAUAUUAUUGUAUACCCAAAUGUUUCAUCAAAAUUUUAUUGUAUACACACUUGUUUCAAUAGCUAUCACGGCUCACCCAUUUAUGUUAAAUAUUUUUUUUUUUGCCAUUAAUUUUGACAUCUUUGACAUUGAAAGACAGUUUUGCCCUUACUUAAAAUUUUUAAGUGUAAAAUCACCAAAAAAAACUACAACACUAGUUUCAAAUUCCAAUUGACGUGUGUGAAUAUUAAAAUUUCUUAAAAGUUAAAGAAAAAAAGUAAAAAUAUUUUGUUAUGGGAAUCAAAAUAUCCCCUGUACCAUCAUCAUCCAUAAUCGUCCAUCCAUGAUAACAAUUUAAUAAACUUGAAAAAGCUAGAAAUCCAAUCCCAGUGCAUCAAACAGCCAAUUUUCUUCAUAAAGUUUAGCUUUUGCUUUUAAAAAUUCUAACUCUUGAGACCCUAAAUAAACCCAUAUUCAAAGUUACAUGUUUCCAUAUAACGAAAAUCUUCAAUUUACCCCUUUAAAAUUUUGAAAACAUUAAUUUACUUCUAUUUAUCAGUCAAAAGAUUAAAAUAAAUGGAGACACGUUGAGGAUAAACUUUUUAACUUCAAAGUGGUAUUUGAUAAAUAUAAAUAAAUUGAAAAUUAUCAUUUUUUAGUGGGAAUAAGUUACUAAGAGAAAGAAAGAAAACAGAAAACAAAUCUCUUCUAUAGCAGUCUUAACAAAAUUUUCAGCAGGGACUUGAACCAAUUUUUUCACGGAAAUUAAUUAACAGAACAAAAACGCUUUGAAGUGGACUGCACAUAUAUAUAUAUAUACUCAAAAAUAAAUAUACAACUGGAGUCAAUAACGGUAAAUAAAAUGAACGUACACAGAAGGGUUUGGAUUUGGAUGAUGAAGAAUGCACUGACAGCUUUGCAUUUGCAUGCAUAUAUAUCUCAGCAAACCCUGGAUUGAGUUCUUUUUCUCUCGGUAAAUAAGGUAGGGAACAGCAAACCCGAUCAAUUUUCAAAAAAGAAAAAACAAAAACAAAAACUGAAAUGUAAACUCAGCAUGAAACUUGGGAGGGAAAGGGGAGGGGUGAAAAACGGUCACCUUGAGAACCGUCUCAAUUAUCUCUGCUUCAAAAAAUCAUCCCGUGGGUAUUUAUAUUUUAUUUUCAAGUCGUUGAUGCCGCGAGUCCACGGCUGGAUAAGUACGGGGUUUCGAAGAAAUAACGUGCGCGAUUCUAAACAUUGUUUAAUUACAAUUCCAAAGUGUUGAAAAUGACUGCGUUAUCCCCCGACUUUUUCAAUUCCUACCGAGUGUUGAAAAUGACUGCGUUAUCCCGUCUUUUUCAAUUCCGACCGAGUGCUGAAAAUGACAGCGUUAUCCCCUGUCUUUUUCAAUUCAAAAGUGUGUGGCAUCUCUGUAGCUCAAUUCAUGUACCCCUAGAUGUACAUGUAAGAAGAAAUGCUCUUCCAAAUAACAUAUUGAUACUAGAUCUACUGUUGUUUCUUCAGAACUUGUUAGGAAAGGUUACUAGCAGGUAAAUUAGAUGCAUAUACAUACUGCUAUAGGAAAUUGAACAGCUCCUUACAUAAUUGGUGUAACUUCUUAUACAAACAAGAUCCCUUCCCGGCAAUAGAUAGACAUCAAUAUUCAGAUACUCAAGAAAUUAUAAGGGUGUUGAAUGUUAGAAACUUUACUUCCCCCCAACAUAAGCUCCCAGUUUAGACAGAUCAGGAUUCCAAAAUGAUAGCUCAGAUGAUCCGAUACAAACAUGAGACUUCCAGGGGCCCAUUUUAUGACAGGAGGCUCUGUAUGAAAACUCAUCCAACUUGCAACCCUGACAAGAAAAAUAAACAACAACAAACAAUGUUUAUAUAAUAACAAUACCAACGUCAAAAGAGUAUAGUAUUUGGAUAUAGAACUCAUUACGCAAACUGGUGCUCAAGGUACUUGCUCAAAUGUAGAAUCAAAAGCAUUGUUGGUUUGCCCAGAAGACUGUGAAUACUAUGACUGGGUCAGUGUAGGGGAAAUAACAUCCCUUUGAAUUCUAAGCAUUCAAAAGGCACGAGAAUCAAGGAAUUUUGCUUAUCAAACCUCUUUCCCGCUCCUUGCACUCCAAGCAUAUACACUACCAUCACCAGAACCUUCCAAAACCCAAGAAAGUAAAAUUAGCACAGAGAGUGCAACUAAUGAGAGGUGCUUGGCCACACUAGGUAGGUUGCUUCCGCAUGUGUGGGUGCACUCACUAUGUCAGCAUUUCAUUGAUUUAUUUUCAUUAACAAGCAGGUCAAUGGAAAAAGAGAACAUAAAUUCAUUGCAAAGAACUCUGUGGAAACAAGCUUGAUGCCCAACAUUUCAAGUCGUGUAUUUCAAAUACCAACAAGGUGGUAACAAAAUUGAGAAUUAUAUACAGCACAAGUGCAAGAACCUUAAUAAACAGCCAAAAGCAAAUAUUAAUAAAUUAUCCAAGUCACUGUGCCCUAAGAACUGAAAGGAGAAACUCUACCUAGCUGAAAGAUGCCUCCAAUGUGGAAUUGCGAGAAACUGGCAUCGCAUUAUAAAUGGAUAAAUAAAAACAACAGCAAACAGAAGCUCAUUAACAGAGAUUCCAAUGUAUAGAGGGAUAUAUAUGUACAAUAUGUUACAUUUGGGAGAUGAAGAAAGAAAAAGUAAACUCACAAGUGUGCCUUGGAAUGAGUGGAGCACAUGAAUAUGUCCUUCCAUAGUGGUCAGAAGCAUGUCUCCCAUCAUUGCUGAGCUUUACCUCAUUAGCAUCUGAUACAUCUCCACCAUCAGAGAAGAUGUCGAAAGGACCCUAAGAGUAUUCAAAUUUAACCAAAUUAGUGCAUGAUAAAAGGACUACGACAUAUAAACUUCCAAGAUAUUCUUAAAUAUUAAUUUUAACCUCAUACUUGCGAGCAUCAAACAAUCUUAUGUAUCCUCCAAAGGCAACUGCAAAGACAUGCCCUUGAUCAUUGUAUGCUGUAGCAGGCCUUCCUUGAACAUGCAAAAGACCCUGAUUUGCCAACAGAGAUCAUAAAUACAAUUGAAAAUGGGGGAAAAAACGGUUUGGAUGUGACCAUGCAUGGCAUGAUAUCCACCUGGCAUUUCUCAGCCUGUUGAUCCCAGAGCAGAACAGUUCGAUGAAGAGAACCAUAGAUAAAGCAAUCUUUGGAGGAGCACAGGCUAAGUGAAACAACCCUAGAAGCAGUAAAACAUAUAUAAAGAUAAUAAUGAUUACAAAACAUUUACAAGAAUCAGCAAAUUACAAACCUUUCAUGAUGACCUUUGAAGCAAUGCAUGAACUUGUUGUCGUGGAAGGAAAGAAGCCUUAGAGAUUCUGAAUAAAUGAACAUAUCAAAUAAGUGCCUAGUAAAGCAAUCCACCAACAUGCAAAACACAAAUAUUCCGAUAAACAUACCAUCCCAACCAUUCUUGAGGAAUAUAUGAAAUGUAAGUUAGGGAUUGCCAAGAAAAAAACUUUGAUCAAUUUCCAGCUGAGAAUAUUUAUGCCAACUCUUGCCGCAAUCACAUCUGCAAUAGUUCCCACUGUUGGAUACACUAACUUAUAAACAGCAAUUCUGACAGAAAAAAAAACGGGGGUUAAAGUUAUAAGUACAAUCAAUUAGGUGGUAGCCAUGCAAUAUGAAUGUACUUGGUUUGCUGCCUAAUAGCUAGGCAUACAUAUAUAUAGGCAUUCAUUAAUAUCGAAUUAUUUUUAACAUUCAAAUAAGUUAGAAAAAACAUAGAAAAACUUACGGGGCACAUAUCGCCAUCCCACUGGCUAGCCCAUAAAAGAAGCCAUCGACGACCUCCGGAACACCAGCAUUUCCAGCAGCAGCUGAUGCUACAUGGCUAAUGUGUACACACACAUGUUCAUCUCUCAAUAUCAGUGUGUGCAAUAAGUGAAAAGAUAUAUAAAUUAGAUUGAAAGCACAAGUAAAUAAACAUGAAUGAAUACCUGCCAUGUCCAACAGCAUGAAAGGGCGAAAGAAAGUCCACAGAAGUGUUAAGAAUAUAUGAAAUGUAUAUUCUUGAGGAAAUUACAACAAUUUCCUCUCAAUUUCACAAUUAUUUGCGCUUGAAUGACAGAAUGAGCUUUGAUCAUUAAUUUAUCCAUGCAUGAAGUUAUAGUAGAUAUGAAAUUACGUGGACAAAAAAUUAUUAUUUUUUACCUUUUUUUACCAACACCGAUAUGCUCACACCAAACUUCUUUUACAGUUAGCACAAAACGGUUCGUUUUGUGCUAACUAUAAAAGAAGUUACUGUAGCUUCAAAACACACGCACUCGUCUUGCUCAGACGCAAGCGCAGACCACACGCACACUCGUCUUACUGAAACGCAAACGCUGAGGAGGCAGAGACUCGCCGUGGAAAGUUUGUUUGACAUAAGUUGUCUGACGAUUUUGCCCUUGAAAUGAAGAUUACGCCUCAUGACUUAAAAUCGCUUGGGUUGUGUUUCUGUUUCUGCGUUUGUUCUUCCUCUUCGCUUUCGGCAAGUGAAAUAAAUGAAUAAACAUUAGAUGGAGUUUUAUUCAAUAUUUAAAAUUUUGUUAAUUUGUAACGUGAUUGGAAUUUUAAUUAUUAUAAGAAAUAAGUUCUGGAUCGGAUUUUAAAAUACUUUAUUUGAAUACUCUAAAAAAUGCAGUAUGUUCACAAACUGUAAUUGCCGAUAUAAUUCCCCAGAACCCCAAUUCCAGAUUACUUAAAUCACGGCGGGGGCUGCGGUAUGUUCACAAGGUAAAAAAUGCAGUACGUUCACCAUUCCAAGUAUAACCCUUUUGACACAGUUCGCCUUCUAUUUCAAAGUUCAUACAUUUUCAAAAUUAUUAAACUAAAAUCAGCCAGAACCAAUUUUUUUUCCUUUUCAACUUCUAUUAAAAUUUCACUAUAAUUUAAAUAAAAUAAAUUAAAAAUCCAGCCCAAAAAACGAUUGCUGCAAUACUGAGUGGCAAAACUUAAUUGCUAUCGUUACCGCAAAAUUCAACACCCAACAACCAAAAUUUCAAUUUCAAAUCUAACCUUAAAUCCACCAACUGAAAACAAAUCCACACGAAAUGCGACAUCAAAUGAAAGGAACAAGAAGUCAAAAUCAAAACCGAUGAAACCUUUAUUAGAGAGAAGAAAGAAAGCUUCGUUGUAUAAAGAGAAUGCGCGCGAUCGAAGGCUGUGCUGUAUAGAAAUAAAACAGCGAUCGAAGAAAGCGUCUUCGCUAUCGUUGUAUAGAGAGAACAGAGCGAUCGAAGACUGUGUCUUCACGAUGGGAGGCUGUGUUGAACAGAACGAUCAAAGACAGCGUCUUCAAGAGAGAGCAUAGAGCGAUCGAAGACUGCGUAUUCACGAUCAGAGGCUGUGUUGAACAGAAGGAUUGAAUGCUGUGCUGUAUAGAGAGAUCGAGGAGUAGAGAGAAGAUACCGGCGAUGACGCAAGAGCAAAGGCUCUGAAUUUAUAGGGGAGGGAUUAGCGCAACUUGACGGCCGUUAUGACCGUAAACGCCUCUGUUAGAUUUAACGGAGAAGUCACGGGGUUACCCGAUGGUCAUCAGCAUCUGGGAAUCUCAUCAGUUUAAUUAGUUAAAAAGAAUUAACCUUUUGCUUCAGAUCAAACGAUUCACAGUUAACCUUGAACAUCAAACAUGCAGGCUAAACUAUCAACUCAUACACAUUGAUUUUUUUUUUUCCGGUGACAUUAACGUCAAUGGUUAAAUAUAUAAGUCUAAAUUCAUAAAAUAUUAAUAUAGUUUAGGGGUCUAUCAAACCAACAGCAUGGUUGAUGUGUUUACUGAAUAAACAUUUAACACCAAAACAAGCUAGACCUACCCCAAACUAUAUGGCGGAUUGGAAGUUUUUGAAUUACCAGUUUCACUGAAAAAAAAGAUGGUGAUAAGUUAGGAUUCUAACGCUCUUUUAUACUAAUGCUGCGUUUACUUUUUGGAUUGGAGUGGAAAUCCUGAGGAGUGGGAAUCCUUGGAUUAGGAGUGUGGAGUGGGAGUGGGAGUAGGGUGUUUACUUAGACUAAAUGAAAGUAUGGAUUGUCAAUCAGAAUCCUAAUUAUUUGUUUACUUUGUCUUGGAUUGGGAGUAAAUUGUUUUAAAUUACCAUUUUAUCCUUAUGUACAGAAUUAUAAUUUGUAAUUAAAAAAUUAAUAAAAAAUAUAUUUAGAAAAUAAAAUAAAUAUUUUAUUAUAUUUAUAAAUUAAUAAUAAUUACUAAUAUUCUUAAUUAUGUAAAUCAUAAUUUUUUUAUUAAUUUAAAUUUAAAUUAUGUGAAUAAAAAUUAUUAAUAAUAGCAACACAAAUGAAAUAUUAUUAUUGAUAAUAUAGUACAAAAUUAAUAUUUUUUUAGAAUAAAAUAUUUAUUAUUAUUAAUUAAAUAAAUAAUUAAUAUUUAUUAAAAUUAAUUUUUAAUAUUAUUAAUUUAAAUAUAAUAUUUAUUUAUUUUUAUUUUAUUAAAUUUAAUAAAAUAAAUAUGAUAUAAUUAUUAUUUUUAAUAAAUAUGAUAUUAUUUAUUUUAUUAAAUAUGAUAUUAUUUAUUUUAUUAAAUAUGAUAUUAUUUAUUUAUUUAUUUUUAUAAGGAUAAAAUGGGAAGAGGGGGGAGUGGGUUCCCACUCCCACCUCCCCCCAUGGGAGUGGGAAUCCCACUCCCCACUCCAAAAUUGGGUGGGACCCACGGAUUCCCACUCCCACUCCCCCCCUUUUUAAGGUAAGUAAAUACUGGAGUGGAAGGAAUCCACACUCCACACUCCCACUCCAGAAAGUAAACACUACCUAAAUCAUAAAACAUAAAUUUACCGAAUUAGGUAACCCGAAUUAUGAUGUCUUAAUAAAGUUGUAAUUGCAAAACAAGCCAAAACUUAAAUCCAAGUCUAAAGAAAAAACCAAAGAUCUGAAAAGAAUUUUAAAAAUUAGAAAUGAAAACUUCAAAUAAUGAAAUGAUACCCAGAGCAAAUGAAAUUGGAGAUGAUAACCAUAGCGUUAGUAACGCGUCGUUAAAUUGUCAUAACUCGAAACCACGUUAUUCGUUCAUGCACGAUACCUCUGGACUGAAGACCCAAAAUAAUAUAUUUUUUUUAAAAGUAAUGAAAACCGAAAUUACAAGUAUUCUACUAUUUUUUUUAAUUUAAAGGGACCAAUGAAAACCGAAUGAUCAAAACUGCGUUAUUUGUUCAUACACGAUACCUUCAGGAUUAUAACUCAUAUCACAUGAGACUAUUUACUAAUAUAUUUAUAAUCAGAUAAUUAUUAGAACAAUAGACCAUAUUUUUUAGGUUUUCAAAUAUUUAAAAAAUGUCUACUCCACUCUCAUUUCGAAAGAGAAAAAAUUACUUUUACAUAAUUAUUUUUAUAAUUGAGAAGAAAAUUUUAGCUUCCACAAAAUGGAUGGAGGGCAGCAGCUCAAGGCAAGUAUUCUCUAUUGUUAAAUUGUCAUUAAUUGGAAAGCGAGUUAUUCGUUUAUACGCGAUACUUUUGGACUCAAGACCCAAAAUGGAUAAUAAAAAAUUGAAAAAAAUUCAAAGAAAGAAGUAAAAAGUAAUAAAACCGAUAUUACGGGUAGUCUACUAUUCUUCUUGUCAUGAGUCGACUUUUUCCAAAAAAAAACCAACAGUAAAGUAAAAAAAAAGAAAAAAUAGUUAAUGGAUAUUUCUACGUAAAUGGUGUCAAAUAACAAGUUUAUUUAUUUAUUUUUUGGGGAUGAAAUAACAAGUUUAAUUAAAUAAUAUGCAUAUGUCUUAUACACAUUUUUGCUUCUUUACCCUCUGUGUUGAAUGAGAAUGAAAUUGACCCGGACAAGGACAGUAUGGCGUAACUCUUAUUUACUACUUGAAUUCCUCUCUCUUUAUUCUUUCCCAAUAACCCCAUUUAUAACACUAUUUCUUUGAUAUUUUUGUAAUAUUUUAUCACAAUAUAUAUUUAUUGCAGUGCACAAUUAAGAUUUAACAAUAGGGUUAUAAAUUUGAUAAGCAUAAUAUUGUUAACUGUUAAGCAUCCCACUUAUAUAUAUAUAUAUAUAUAUAUAUAUAUAUAUGAUAAUUACAACACCUUUAAGUAGCAUAGUUCUACUUACAAAUUUAAAUACAGUGUUAAGUUGAGCUGUGUUAAUUGAUAAAUCUUGAUUUUAAAAAAAAAAUUAGAGAAGAAAAGAGUAAAGAAGGAACUAAGAAGAAAUAACUUUAAUAUAUUAAAAAUUAUAUAAACUUAAAAGGGGGCUUUUAGGACAAUAAAUGAUAUAUACAUUUUUUAACAAAAGAAAUUUAAAUUUAUUUUUAAAGUCACCAGGAGCUUCAAUUCUUAGUGGGCACCAUAUGGCAUGUGGAAUCAUUCAAGGGUCUUAUAGUAAGUAAAUCGCUUUCCUUUUUAUAUGUGAAUAGAGAUAGUAUGAAUGAGCAUAUGAUUUUUUUUUUCAAAUAUUGAAAAAGAAAUAAAUAUAUUUUAUAAAAAAAAUAAAAUAAAUAUGUCAUUCCGAAAUUUACAUUAAAAACUGCAUACUUAAGAUUUUAAUUAAAUCAUGCUUAUUCAAAUUUCAAACAAAAAUAAAAAUAAACAUCACCAUUGACCUUUAAUUAAAAAGUGUAGGGGGUAAUAGUGAAGACGAACUUUUUUAUAAUAGCGAUUAAAACAUGACCCUAACUCUAAUUGUAGGGUCAAAUUUAUAAAAAGUAGUAACUUUUUUUAACGCAGGACGGACUGAUUUUAUUGUUGUAGGUAAUCUCGUGUCAUACGCAAAGUGAAAAAGAGUGUGAAACGACGAUAUUAUUCCAAGCACAUGCUUGGGCGCGGCGGGCCCUCGCAAACCCAUUUUAACACCGCGUUAGCCUUGUUUGGCUAAAUAAUAUGCAUAUGUCUUAUGAACGUCUUUACUUCUGACCCCAUGCGUUGAAUGAGAAUGAAACUGACACAAAAAAAGACAGUAUGGCUUAUCUUUUAUUUAUGACUUUGAAUUCCCCUUUCUUUAUUCUCUCUUAAUGACCCCAUUAACAACGCUAUUUCUUUGAUAUUUUUAUAAUCUAACUCGCUUGGUUCACUUAGUGAGGUGAGCUUCAAAAUAUUGGUCUUGUACCCUUCAGGAUUUAAAAUCUCUGUUAACUAUGUGACACGUCCAUCUUGUUUCCUCCUAAUUUGCUCCCCUAUGGCAUUAAGGUGAAUCUUCUUCAUUCACAGAGAUGUUAAGUAACUCAGCAUUAUCAGCAAGACCUAUUCAAAUUGUGUUUGUGUAUGUAUGUUGUAGCUUUCUCUCCUACGCCUAGCCUUUAUGCCUCUUAUGCCUCAGUUUGACAAGGCCAUUGGUAACAAUCAGCAAUAGCAAUACUGCCUUUCUUCAAUCAUAGCAGUGUUUAUCGGGUACAUAAGAUCAAUUAUCUUCUUAUUAAUUAAAAAAAUAAUAAAAUAAUAUAUAUUUAUAAAUGUAUAAAUUAAUUUUAUUUGAUAUUUAUAUUCUUACAAUAGUUUAACAGUAAGAUUUACCGAACAUAUACGAUUGCUUUUAAAACGCACAAUACUUUUAAAAAUAAAUUUUAGUAAACGUUUAACUGAUUCUCUUUACAAUGAUUAUUUCUAUAGCAUAGCUAACAUCAAUUAUUUUUUAAAAGUCCUAAUAGCAAUUCAUUACCAACUUUUUUUUUGCCACAACAGCUAUAGCUUAAAAGUCGUAUCAUCUUAAUACCAAAUAGGGCUAUAGUAAUUUAGUGCCCAUUUUUUUUCUUUUUUCUUUUUCUUUAGCAACUUAAAAAAAAUCUAAAACAAAAAAGGAAAAUUGAGUAUGAAAUCAAGCAUUAGUCAAGUAUAAAGUUGAGUAAGUCGAGUAUAAAAUUAGGUACUUUUUAUAUGAUUUUAAAUAAAGGGGAUUUUAGUUUUUUUCUUUGUGAUUUUGGAUAUAUUUCUAUAAUACCAGUAGAGUAAACUAUGUAAUAAGCAUAUAUUUUUCAUUUUGCUGUGAAUGGGACAUAUCCAACGCUAUUUGCUCCCGUGACCGAUCUUUAUAACAAAUCCAAUCGCCCUCGUUAUAGUCACUAGAUAGAAAGUUACCAUAGUACAGUUCUUAUAUGUAAUGUGAGUGAUGGCAGUGUUACGAACCUUUGUAUAAGUUUAUUUUGUAUAAAUUAAUUAGUAUAAACUUAUUGAUUGUAUGAAAAUAUAAAAUAAAAAAUAUAAAUAAUGUAGACUAAUGUGUAUUUAAUAUAACUAAUAAAAUUUUGCUACAUCAGUUUAUAUAAGAAUUUAUAGUUUUAUUAUUACUCAUAUUAAGUAAACAGUGCGUGAUUGGUCAGACGGCGGCAUAAGUGGCAAUGACCAAAUUGUUGAGUCGCUGACGUGGGUUCUCAAAAUGAGUCGAUAGUCAAGAAAUAAGCUAUCAAGUUAUGACAAUAUAUUGUAAACAUGUCUUUAAGAUGAUACAUUAUCAUCAUCAAUAUCAUAUCCUAAUUGAAAAAGGUUUGCAAGGGUCCGCCGUGUCCGAGCAUGUGCUUUCAUUUUCACUUGAAAUAAAGCGCGAUGGAAAGAUCUUAUUUUAUCACAUGCCGUCCAUGUUGGGGAAAAAUCAGAUUUUUAAAUUUUUAUAAAACCUUUCGAAGAUUGCUCUCAUAUAAUAUAUAAGAAUACGUAAUCUAGAAAUCAUACCUUGAAAAUCUGAUUGGACUUUUUCUGUUGAAGUGAUUUAGGCUCCUAGAUCACGAUCCGCCACCACCACUCCUGUUAGAUCACGAUCUGUCACCACCACGCUUGUUAGAUCACGAACUGUCACCAAUGAUCUUCCAGGUUAUGACUCAGGUUCGAUUUGCACUUGACGUGUGAACGCCUUUAUCACUACCAAAACAACUAGCACGAGAAAAUUUUUCUCUCAACAACAGAGAGAAAAUUUUUUUUCUCUGAUCUGUAUAAAGUGGCUUCUCCUUUUUCUUUUUAGAAAAUAAGCCUUAUAUAUCUCCCUUUAGUGAAAAUCCUAGGCUCCAAAUAAUACCCCAAAAUAAAACUCACCGUUACUUUUUAUUUUAUAAGGGACCCACCAUGUAAAAUAACAUAAGGCCCCUUACACAUAAGCUAAUUAAAUGGAGCCUCCCACUAAAUGAUAUAUUUAGGCUUUUGACCCAAAUAGAUAGUUAUCUUACUUAUUAGUCCAGUAGUGGUGCAGUCAAUUAAAUGAGCUAACCCGGGGAUCAUUUGGGAACAUACAAUAGUGGCUACAAUAAUUAGGCCUAUAAUUAAACUAGCCCAAUUAUUUAAUUCCAAAUCUACUCCACUAAAAGAUUGGAACUGACUUCCAUAAUUGUAUGCUCGAAUAAUAAUUCGUCCCAAGCCACAUUGAUUUCUUUACUGCACAAUCCUUUGUACCACAUCGUUAAUUAAAUUGAUAUCUCAACUGUCCAAUCAAUUUAAUAACAUCUUAUUCCUUGAUCCUUACUGGUUUUCUCUAAUGAUCAUUUUCAACAUACUAAAUAUGUUGACACACUCUGGCCAGAGAAUUCUAUGAUCAAGUGCCGAAAACCCAUCAAGAGAUGUGUUGUACAAAUUCUAUAUUGUUAAUCUAUAACUCCAAUACUCAUAAAUGCUCCCACCAAGAUACCGGGUAAUCUAGACUACAUGUAUGUGUCAUGCCCAUUGGUAACUCAAAUGAAAUAACAAUUACAAUCAUGAAAUCAUAAUUAACUCAAGAUUAAGAUUACAGUAAAAUCAAUGCCUAUGAGAUUUAAUAAGUCUGACAGUUAUUACAAAGUUAAUUAAAUCUCAUAUGUGAUCCUGUUCAAUGUAGUCGUACUACAUCAAUAAAUCCAUACAUGAUUAAGACAAAUCAUUCAAUGAAUUUAUUACAGUCUAUACCUAAAUAAAGUGCCCCACUUUAUUUAUCAACUGCGAACUAAAUUUAUUUAAUCAUAAGAUAACUUGUAUUUAUGUCUUCUGUGAAUCCACAUGGUGAUCACAUAAAUAUAAUAUGAUUAAAUGGACUUUAAUAAAAAUAUUAAUGCAAUUAAGAUAUUUGCAUAAAAUACCUCAUUAUUUUUAUUAAUCAGAAAAAAUAUUUAUUACAAUUAAAUAAACACAUAUGUUUUUAAAGAGCAUAUUUUCCCAACAGUCCAUUCGACGCAUAUUUCCACCCCCAUUACCCUUACAUAAGAAAAGAUUUCUGGUGCUUGGAACAUUACUCCAUAUCUUUUCAAGUCUAUUCAAGUCUGUUAAUAAUUAAGCUAAACCUAUGAGUCUCCAAUAUUGGGCGAAUUAAAUUUUGAAAGCAGGCCAACCUAUUGUCAGAUCUGCCUUUCAAAUUAUUGACUUAAUUUUGCCAAAGGUGAAACAUUUGAAGAAGAAUCCUUCUAAACAGGUAGUGUUGGUCGUUGUUGUCCUCCUGAGAAAGUGUCAUUAGCUUGAAACCUAUUGCAAAUGUUGAUCCAAAAUGGCUUCAAGGUUUCGUUGUAGAGCUGACGACAAGCUUUUGUAAAGGACUUCCAAUUUUGAUGCACAACAAUGAUAAUAGGAGCGCAAAUCCAUGUAGUGUACAAAAUGAUAUGACGAAUGUCCGAGCGUGGAACAAAUGUGGAGACCAAAAAGAUUGCAGAAAUAGAUCCGGAGACAACUGCUACAAGGGCCCAAGAUUGGGAAGAAUUUUCUGAAUGAAGUCGAGACUUGAGGUCAGCUGAAUGUGCAUAACAAUAUAUGGCUGUGGCUAUUAAGAAAGACCAUAUGUUUAUUGAGUGUGUUUCAAGCAAGGACUUUGUUUGGCCUUGAACAUUCGCACCCACAAUGCCUAUGAGAGCCGCAGUAAGAUACCCAAAAAUGUGGGGAUAGGACAUUGAGGAGAAGUGAUUUCGCCCGCUGCAACAUUGUCAAAACGAUUCAUCAAUCUUCUGUAUAUUCCAUUUCCUUUGAAAAAAAAUAAAAUUAAAAAGACCAUGUAUUAAUUUCCUCUCAAUUUGUGUGUCAAUGAUUUGCUUUUGACCAAACCAAUUCUCCUUUAAAAAUUUGAGGGGGCAUCUUUUCAUUUGCACGAAAAUUUCACCCAAAUGUUUCAUCAAAAUUUUGGUGUAUACACAUUGUUUUAACAGCUUUCAUGACUCACCCCCUUUUCUGUUAAAUAUUGUUUCAUCAAAAUUUUAUUAUAUACAUACUUUUUUGAAUAGUUAAAUAUUGUUUUUGCCGUUAUUUUUGACAUCUUUGACAUUAAAAGACAAUUUUGCCCUUAUUUAAAAUUUUUAAGUGUAAAAUUACUAGAAAACCACAACACUAGUCUCAAAUUUCAGUUGACCUAUGUGGAUAUUAAAAUUUGUUAAAGGUUAAAAAAAAAAGUAAAAAUGUUUGGUUAUGGGAAUCGAAAUAUCCCCUACACCAUCAUCCAUAAUCAUCUAUUCACGAUAGCAAUUUAAUAAACUUGAAAAAGCAAGAAAUCCAAUCCCAGUCAAUCAAACAGCCAAUUUUCUUCAUAGAGUUCAGCUUUCGCCUAUAAAAACUCUAACCCUUGAGACCCUAAAUAAACCCAUAUUCAAAGUUACAUGUUUCUAUAACGAAAACCUUCAAUUUACCCCUUUAAAAUUUUGAAAGCAUUAAUUUACUUCUAUUUAUCAGUCAAAAGAUUAGAAUACAUGGAGACACGCUAAUAACAAACUUUUUUACUCCUUAAUGAAAUUUGAUAAAUAUAAAUAAAUUAAAGAUUAUAAUUUUAAGUGGGGGUAAAUUAAAGAUCGUACUCUUUUUUUUAUUGUGUCUUAAUAAGAGAAAGAAAGAAAACAGAAAACAAAUCACUUCUAUAGGAGGCGUAACAAAAUUUUCAGCUAGGACUUCACCAAUUUUUUCACGGAAAUUAAAUUAGGAGGAAAAAAAAAACACUUUGAAGAGGACUGCAUAUAUAUAUAUAUAUAUAUAUAUAUAUAUAAUAAAUACAACUUGAGUCAAUAAUGGUAAAGAAAAUGACCAUACACUGAAGGGUUUGGAUUUGGAUGAUGCAGAAUGCAGUGGCAGCUUUGCAUUUGCAUAUAUGUAUCUCAGCAAACCCUGGAUUGAGUUUUCUUUUUCUCGGCAAAUAAGGUAGGGAACAGCAAAUGUGAUCGAUUUGAAAAAAAAAACAAAAACAAAAGCUUAGCUUGAAACUUGGAAGGAAAAAGGGGGGAAAAAUCUCACUUUAAGAACAUCUAAAUUAUCUCUGCUGAACUAAAUUAUCUCGUGGCUUGAGCUUUCAUAGCUUAUAAUUUAUAGAUGUCAAAUGUGUGGACUAAGGGAGGCCCAUGCGCCAUGCGGGGGUUUCCUAGAAGGCUAGAAAGUAAAGAGUGUUCCGAAGAAAUAUCUCUGCUUAACAUGUUAAGUAAUUAAAUCAGAGCCUCUCACAAGGUUGUGCGCCCAAAUAGAAUCCACAACAGGCUGUGGCUUACGUGAAUAGAGUGAUGCAAUUGUAAACCAGAUAGUGGCAUUUUUUUAAAGGUUCGGUCAAAGGCGGUUAAAUAUAAUAAUAAAAUAUUAUAAGAUACAUAUUUUCUUUGUAAUAAAUUGAAUAAACGUAUGACCUUAAAACUAAUUAUUAAUGCUUUAUUGGAAAAUUAUAUAGUUUAUAUGUAGAUAAUAUAUAUUAUACUUAAUUGUUGGGGUUUGAAAAGGAUUCGGGGGCAUAAAGAGGGGCGAAGUCAGAAAACAAAAUUUUGGGUGGGCUAAAAUUUUUUCCCAGUCCAUAUGUGAUCUCAAUUAAAAAUAUAAAUUUUAAAAGAAAGUUUCAUUAACACAUAAGAAAAUACAUCAUAUCCAAGAAGCAAUCAAAUUACAAGUAAACACUAUUUAAGUUGUGCCUUACCAUUCUUUAAAAAAUUAAAGUUAUGUUUUAUUAUGCUUUCGAGAAUUAAACUCAUCCAUUAUCGGUUUUGAAUUUAUGGUGUCUACAAAUUCUUUUUCAAUGUAGAUAAUAAAGGCAAUGCAACUGUCAAUCCAUCAUUAUGACACAUUGAUAAUAUUCAGAAGUCAGACAAUAAGUUUAAUUAACAAAUUAACAUUAUACAUAAUAUACUGGAUCAAAUCUAUGAUCUAUCUCUAUCAAAAAUCAAUUUAAAAAAUUGAAUGCUAGAAUUCAAUGGCUAAAUUAUCUUCAUUUGAUCUUUACAAUGAAAUUGGAACAAGAAUUAAAGAGCAUGAUUUUUAGUCUUUAUUACCCUAUAAUCAAUAAAUAUUUUGUAAAUGAUUGAAUAAAAAAUAAAUCUAUUAUUUGUUCUUACCAAGAAGAAGGCGAAGAACUGAAGAAGCAAAGAAAAAAAAAUCAUGUUUGAAAUCUCGAAUGAAGUAAAUGCUGCUCACUUUUUAAAUUUAUUUAUAUGAAUGACAAAGUUGUAGAUUAACAUAGUGGUGCAAUUGUAAAUAAGAUAGUGGCGUCUUUGUAAACUUUGCAUAAUGGCAAUUUUGUAAAAUUCAGACAGGCGGUAGCCCGUCUCAAUCCACGCGGAGCCUUGCCACCGAGUGUAAACAUAGAGAAUAAUUUAUAAAUCCAAUAAGCUUAGUUAAAGUAAAAUACUUGACUUUAAGAAAUUUCUAAUAAUCUUCUUCAUCUUAACCAAAUUUUUGAAGUGAAAAAGAUUCAUGGCACCUUGUGUUGUACUUUAGCAAGAGAAAGGAGAAAAAAGAAAACAAAUCGCUUUCAUAAUCAUAGGGGCUUCACCAGUUUUUUCACAACGCAAAAUUGACGGCCGUUAUGACCGUAAAUGCCUAUGUUAGAUUUGACGGAGAAGUCACGGGAUUACGCGAUGAUCAUCAGCGUCUCCAAAUUUUAAUGCCUCUGUUCAAAAAGAAUUGAGAAAUGCUAAAGGUCGGGAACGCUGAGAGAACACUGAGAGAAACGGCAGGUUGUGCUGUCGUUUCGUGUUCUCUCAGCUCCACCCCCCCCCCCCCCCCCAACAUGACUAAGAAAGCGAACCCUCACAUGAAAAAAUACUUCAGCUCAAGUCACUUUUACCAAAAGCUGCCGUUUGGCCCCACACUCAAGUCACUUUUGCCAAGUGAAUUCUGCCCCCCACGUGAAAGUUUGAGUUCUCUCCUUGCUCAUGACCAAGCAAAGCUAAGUUUGAAUUCUCUCCUUACUCCUUCACUCGUUCACUUCUUCUUCGUUUCUCGUUCACGCUCAUCACAAACCAAGAUAACUUGCUCCCAUUAAUUUCAAAUAUUAAACUGCUUUGUUGAGUUCUACAACCUGAAAGUACAAUUCUUUCAACAUUCUAACAGCAUCCUAGUUCACAGUUAGAUAUCAGAAACAAAUGUUAACAUAUUUAAUGCCAAUCUUUAUUCCAUGAGAACUUUUUUUUUUUUAAUACUGAUUAAUCAUCAUAUUACUGCAUUACACAGAUAUUUACAACUGCUAUUAUAGCAGAUAUAUUACACUGAUAUUUACAAUCAGAAAUAUAUGAUUGGGACUUAUAUUAUUACAUUGAAUUCUGUGAAGUACAUGCCCAGACAAAUAAUCCCUUACAGAAGAGGGAUGUCCAUACUCCACUCGUAUUGCACGAGGGAGAGGAAAUUUUUGAAAUAUUAAACAAAUAAGCACGUUAGCCCCACAAAUGCUUUUAUGGGGGCUUGAACCGCUGUCCUCACAAGCAUUGUGAGGGCAGCAGCCCAGCACUCCGACCAAGGCCGAAGUGUAUUCCAUGAGAACUUAAAAUAUCCAAAAAGAGAUGCAUCUACCCUACAUAUCUAUUUACACAACAAGUGUCCCUUCAAUUCCAACAGAAUAUACAUGCCUCCAUCUUAAGAUUUCAUAUGGCAUGGAAAUUAAAAAUUUCGUCAACUGAUAGAAGCCACCACACAAUGGCAAAAUAUAUAUGUUUAUUAUCAAAGAACAGAAGGCAUCAUUUGAGCAAAUUAAAGAGACAACUAUUCUCAGCCAUUCUUCUCAAUAUGGGAUAGACUUCUUGUAUCGUCAUAUCCACUCUCAGCACCAUAGGCUGGUUGUUCCUUAUGCAAUCGGCGCCCUUUACAAUCACCCACUUGAGGGACUUUUGCUCGACACUUUGGGUGGAGCCCUCUCUUUUCUUGUCUCGGGAAUGACUGCACGAACAGCCGUGAUAUUUUUCUACUUUGCUGUGAUUAAAACUGUUGAUGAUCACUCUGGGCUUUGGUUGCCUGGCAAUAUCUUCCACUUGUUCUUCCAGAACAACACCGCUUAUCACGAUGUCCACCAUCAACUUCAGGGCUUGAAGUACAACUAUUCUCAGCCAUUCUUCUCAAUAUGGGAUAGACUUCUUGGAACUCACAUGCCUUACCAUCUAGUCAAGCUACCUGAAGGAGGUUUUGAGGCUCGGCUAAAGAAAGACUAGAUGCUAUUAAGACAAUUUGACUGUAUCAUAAAUUAAUUAUUAAAAUAAUUAUCAACAAUACAAUUACCAAAAUAAUUGUGGGAGUUGGAGUUCAUGUGGGAGUGCUGGAGAAGGAAUUGAAAAUAGAAAGGAAAAGGAGUUGAGAGGGAGUGAAGGAGUGCUGGAACAGAUCUGUUGAAAGCGAAGAAGGAAGAAGGAGUGCUGGAACGGAUCUGUUGAAAGCAAAGAAGGAAGAAGGAGUGCUGGAACGGAUCUGUUGAAAGCAAAGAAGGAAGUGGAAGAAGGAAAAUGAUUUGAAAGUCACAUGGGGGACAGAUAUCUGUUACUCACGUGGGGGGAGGGGGGGGAGGUGAGAGAACGAAACGGCAGCACAAGCUGCCGUUUCUCUCAGCGUUCUCUCAGGGUUCCCGAUGUUUAGCAGCACUCGAAAGAAUUAACCUCCGCUUCAGAUCGAACGACUCACGAAGUAACUUCGAAAAUGUAUAUAAGACACAUGCAUGUUGUUUAAUUGUUAAAUUGUUCCCUUUGUAGGUGCUUGUGGACUCCAAAUUAAUUGUACGCCUUUUAAAUAGAAAUAAGUGCAUUAAAUAUUUUUUCCUUUUUACUUUAUUUUCGGAAUUUUUGGGAAAAAGCGAUGACUCAUGAGAAGAAGAAGAAGAAGAAGGAUAGUAGAAUACAUAUAAUAUCGGGUUUUUUUUUUUCACUUUUUACUUCUUUCUUUGAUUUUUUUUUUUUAAUUUUUUAUUAUCCCUUUUGUGUCAUUGGAGUCCAAAAAUAUUGUGUAUAAAAAAAUAACCCGCCUUCUGAGUUUAUGACAAUUUACCAUGCGUUAAUAACGCUUGAUGAAAAUGUUGCAAUCAGGUAGUGUAGAAUCAAUAAUUAAUGAAAUAUAAAAUAAGAAGAGUAAAUCUUAAUAACGCACCAAUAUUACAAAUCAAUAGCUAAGGAUCAAGCGAAAUUUCACCAGCAAAUUAGGACAGCAGAGGCAGCAUCCAUAAGCGUAAGAGUAAUUAUGUCACUCUGAAAUUUCAUAAGAGUAAAUUAGGACAGCAGGGAAAGGAAUAAACAAAGCAAUUUGCAAAGGACAGAGGCAUAAACAUAAUAGUAAUUAUAAAAUGUCAGACUGUAAGAAACAAGUAAAAAAUGUAUAAUAUUUUUCACAGUAGUCCGACGAUUCGUCAAUGUCUUUGUAAAAAGCGAAUAUUUUCAAAGGUAAAUAACACUCACACAAAUGUUUAAUCAAUAAUACAGUUGUUUUUUUGAAGUGAUAACUACUGAUUAUAUAUUGAUUCUUCAAAAUAAUUACACAUUUAUCAUAAUAUUAUUUAUUUAUUUUAUAAUUAAUAUAAUACUUUAAAGAUAUUUAAAAAAUUUUCAACUUGACAAUGUUCAAUAAAGGGUAAAGUUUAAAUUAUGUUACAAAAAGUCUUUGAACAAUAUAGAGCAAAGCUUUUACUUGUAUAACAAAAGAAAGCAUAUGAGGGGAUAAAAAGACUGAAGGUAUGAGUUUGAUUAUUAUCACAAUAAUUAUUUCUAUUUCAAAGAUUGAAAUCUGAACAUUAUUAUAUUUUGUGGAAUUUUCUCCAUUACUUUUUCAAAGUACUACAUGUACAUGGAUGAUUGUUUGUUACUGCGAACGGCAAAACAUUUAAUUUGGAGAAAAUUCCUUCUAGACUGGUAGUGUUGGUCGUAGGUUCCCUGUCGAGGAAGUGUUAUUAGCUCGAAACCUAUUGCAAAUGUCAAUCCAAAAUGGCUUCAAGGUUUCGUUGGAGAGCUGACGACAAGCUUCUGAAAACAACGUGCCAUAUUGAAACACAACAACAAUAAUGACAGUGCCAACCCACGCAGUGUACAAAAUGAUAUGGCCAAUAUUAGAACGUGGAAUAAAGGUGGAGAUCAAAGAUAUUGCAGAAGUAGAUCCUGAGACAACAGCAAUAAGGGCCCAGAAUUGGGAAGGAUUUUCGCGAUGAAGUCGAGACUUGAGGUCUUCUGAAUGUGCAUAACAAUAUAUGGCUGUGGCAAUGAGAAAAGACCAUAUAUUUAUUGAGUGUGUUUCAAGUAAGGGCUUAGUUUUACCUUGCACAUUUGCACCCACAAUACCUAUGAGAGUCGGAAUUAGAUAUCUAAAAAUGUUGGGAUAUGACAUUGAGAAGAAGAGAUUCCGCCCACUGUAAAAUUGUUAAAAUGAUUAAUCAUCUUAUGUAUAUUCCAUUUCCUUCAAAAAAAAAUUAAAAUUAAAAAACACUGUGUUAAUUUCCUCUGAAAUUGUCUAUCAAUUAUUUGCUUUGACCAACGCAAUUCUCCUCAAAAAAUUUGAGGGAGCACUUUCAUUUGCACCCAAAUGUUUCAUUAAAAUUUUAUUGUAUACACACUUGUUUCAACAGUUACUAUGGCUCAGGCUGCUCACCCUGUUAUGUUAAGUAUUGUUUUUACUGUUAAUUUUGACAUCUUUGAGAUUAAAAGACAAUUUUGACCCUCCUUAAAAUUUGUAAGUGUAAAAUUAUCAGAAAACCACAACACUAAUUUCAAAUUUCAAUUGACCUGUGUGGAUAUUAAAAUUUCUUAAAGGUUAAAAAAAACAGUUAAAAUAUCUCCUAUACUAUCAUCCACGAUCGUCUAUUCAUGAUAACAAUUUAAUAAACUCGAAAAAGCAAGAAAUCCAAUCCCAGUCAAUCAAACAGCCAAUUUUCUUCAUAAAGUUUAGCUUUUGCUAUUAAAAAUUCUAACUCUUGAGACCCUAAAUAAACCCAUAUUCAAAGUUAUGUGUUUCUAUUACGAAAAUAUUCAAUUUACCCCUUUAAAAUUUUGAAAACAUUAAUUUACUUCUAUUUAUCAGUCAAAAGAUAAAAAUAAAUGAAGACACCUUGACCAUAAACUUUUUAACUUUUUAGUGGCAUUUGAUAAAUAUAAAUAAGUUGAAAAUUAUCAUUUUAAGUGGGGAUAAGUUAAAAAUUUUACUCUAUAUUUAUUGUGCUUUGAUAAGAGAAAGAAAGAAAACAGAAAACAAAUCUCUUCCAUAGCAGUCUUAACAAAAUUUUCAGCAGGGACUUAACCAAUUUUUUCACGGAAAUUAAAUUCCAAUUUUUUUCACGGAAAUUAAAUUAGGAGAACAAAAACACUUUGAAGUGGACUGCAUAUAAAAACUCAAAAAUAACAUACAACUUGAGUCAAUAAUGGUAAAGAAAAUGAACGUACACAGAAGGGUUUGGAUUUGGAUGAUGAUCGAGAAUGCACUAAAAGCUUUGCAUUUGCAUAUACAUAUCUAUAUAUAUAUAUAUAUAUAUCUCUCAUAUACAUACACACACACACACAUAUAUAUAUAUAUCUCAGCAAACCCUGGAUUGAGUUCUCUUUUUCAGGGUAAAUAAGGUAGGGAACAGCAAAGCCGAUCAAUUUGAAAAGAAAAAAAAAAAAAACUAAAACUAAAAUGUAAACUCAGAUGGAAACUUGGCAGAGAAAACGUGAAAAAGAAAAAAAAAAUCUGUCACUUUAAGAACAUCUCAAUUAUCACUUUAAGAACACCUCAAUUUAUAUGUUCAAGUGCGGUGAUGCUGGUAGAGGGUUUAGUAGAAAGUUAACGGUUUCGUAGAACAGAGUCCUUUGUUGCAACUUGCAAGAGAGGACUCUGUUAACUUUGCGAAAAUCUGACUCGGCAAAAUCCACUCAUACAUCUUGUAAUGUUGAUGUAGUUUCUUUAUUUUUGUUUUUUUUUUUUUUUUUUGAGCUCCCAGACAAAAAACUUGUGUUGAAAAUUAAAAAUGAUCGAUUAAUGGGCUCCCCUCUCAAUUUCAAGGCCGAAAGGGCCGCUGUGCCCCAUGUGAAAAUUUCUUACAAUUAGAAUCAAAUCCACGUCAUACAUAUGAUGACAUGAUGUAUAUUUAGUAUGGUUUAUUCAAUGAUUAUAAGUAUUUAUUUAAUUUUUUAAAUUCUUGAUCAAACAAACGCCAAGAGAGACAUCUGUAAUUACGUUUAACGAGCAUUUUCGAGGAAUUGUUUCUAAAAAUAACUAAAACGGGAAAAGCCAAAUGGGAAAAUUUGGGUUGGAUGGAACUUGGAAAAGGACAAACAUGAAAGUUCAAAGUUUGCUUGGUUGGGCUAUUUUCUGCAAGUGGGAGAGACAGAGUGAUACAGCAUUACCAAUCUCUUUGGAGUGGCCCAAUCCAUAUCUUGGGGAAUCAUUUGAAGAACGGGCUGAACCACACCAGGAGGAAGAUACAACUAGGCCCAACACAGAACCAGUUGCAGGCCCCUCACGAAUGAGAAAACCACCCAGCUGGCUGAAGGAUUAUGUUGUUUGAGAGCAAGGAAGUUGUGGAUUCCUUUCUAGAAUCUUUUAUUCGUUUGAUAUUUUCUUUUGGCUUGACCAUUGCUAUUUUUUGUAACCACCUUCUGUUAGAGGUUGCUAGAGGAAAAAGCAUAUAAGUAUUGUAAUGUUUAAAAAGGCAAUGGAAUAUUUGGUUCUCUUUCUUCUAUGGAAUUUCCUUUCUUCUUAAUCAUUGUUCUGUUCUUAAUUCUUUUUCUUGGAGCUGGCACUCGCUCGAAGAGUGUUUUGUUGAGUGGAUUUGCUUGUGUUGCAGGACAAGCGUAUCAUUGGUGCUUUCAUCGACUUUUCCAUGGCUGAUUCAGAGGUGUUGGCAGCAGUGAAGGCACUCCAAACACAAUUUGAAGGCCAAACAAUUGCGAUUCAUCAAACCUUGCAGCAGUACAUGUCUACAGUGGAUUCUCGUCUUGAGGAUCUACAUUCUCAGAUCCAAGGGUCUUCAAGUGUUUUGGCUGCAUCAUCCGGUUCCGCACAUCGCUCUUCUCUAGUUGCGGAGGGGCAUUCCAGACACAUCGAUCUCUCGCCGGUAUUACGAUCAAUGAAAAUGGAGGUUCCCAAGUUUGAUGGCUCUGACCCGAAUGGGUGGGUGUUUCGUAUUGAAGAGUUUUUCGAUUUCCAUGAAACUCCAGAGCACUUGCGCUUUCGCAUCGUCGCGUUUCACAUGGAGGGGAGAGCGGCAGCCUGGUACCAAUGGAUGAAGGCGAACAAACUGAUAACAACAUGGAAAGCUUUUUUAAUUAGUCUGAAGCAUCGGUUUGGCGCUUCAAUGUAUGACGAUCCUCAAGGUACACUUUCCAAACUCACACAAACCACCACAGUCGCAGAGUUUCAGUCCGCCUUUGAAGAUUUGAUGAAUAAGGUCACUGGGAUUUCUGAACCUUUGUGGAUCAGUUUCUUUAUCACUGGUUUGAGAACGGAUAUUCGCAGGGAGUUGAUGUUUUCCCGCCCCACAUCUCUGAUGGAAACAUUUGCUCUCGCAAAAGCUUAUGAAGCUCGUUCAGAGAAGGCCAAAAUGAGUAGUCGCCCUUGGACUAAAUGGCCCCCACCGUCAGCCCCAACUAUGACUAUUCCAUCCGUCAACAAAAUUCCUCCACCCUCACAUGUGCCUGUUCCCCACCACACCACAAACAGUUUCCAUGCAGGUCCCACAACACACCAACAUCCUAAACAAACAAACCUUCCAGCCCUCUUACCUACACCAAAUUUACCAGUUCGCCGCCUCACUCCAGCUGAAUUACGAGACAAACGAGAAAAAGGAUUGUGUUAUAACUGUGACCAAAAGUACACCGCUAUUAUGUUAGCUCCCACUCCUCCUUGAAGUCAAUCUUGCUCCACGAAUUUCAUGCUACCCAUGGGCUGGACAUACGGGCAUAAAACGGACCUUGGUUCGCUUGGCUUCGACAUUUUAUUGGUAUAAAAUGAGAACUGAUGUUGAAAACUUUAUAACUGCUUGCCUAACCUGCCAACAAGUCAAGCAUUCAACUCAAGCCCCAGCAGGGUUGUUACAGCCGCUACCUAUUCCAUCAUUAGUAUGGGAUGAGGUCACUAUGGAUUUCAUUACGGGCUUGCCACCAUCACGAGGGCUCACUAUUAUCCUUGUCGUUGUGGACCGUUUGACUAAAUCAGCACAUUUUGGAGCUCUACCUUCUCAAUUUUCAGCUGUGACAGCAGCGGACUUAUUUGCUAACAUGGUCGUUAAACUCCAUGGUUUUCCUAGUUCCAUUGUGUCAGAUCGCGAUCCAAUUUUUAUGAGCAAGUUUUGGAAGAAGCUUUUUGAACUAAGUGGCACUUCCCUACGGCAUAGCACAGCCUAUCAUCCGCAGACAGAUGGGCAAUCCGAAGUUGUGAACCGCGGGCUUGAACAAUAUUUACGAGCUUUCACUCAAGAAAAACCACAAUCGUGGGUCUCUUUACUUUGCUGGGCAGAGUUCAGUUACAACUCCAGCUAUCACAGUGGUCUCAAGAUGACACCAUUUCAAGCAUUGUAUGGGCGUAUUCCACCUACUAUCCCAGCUUACUCUAAGGGCUCUACUUCAAUCCAAGCUCUCGAUGAUGCGCUGAUAGAGCGCGAUGCUAUCUUGCGCUCCUUGAAGGAAAAUUUGCGCCAAGCUCAGCAUCGAAUGACACAAAAGGCUAAUGCCCAUCGGCGUGAACUCCAGCUCAAUAUAGGAGAUCGCGUGCUUUUCCGCCUUCAACCAUACCGACAGACAUCUUUAGCUCAACGAGCAUCCCAUAAGUUAGCAAAGAGGUAUUACGGGCCAUUUACAAUAUUAGAACGUGUGGGACCAGUGGCAUACAAGCUGAACCUACCGUUAGAUUGCAAAAUUCAUCUUGUCUUCCAUAUUUCAAUGCUCAAACCCUUUAGCGGUUCCAGCCCCAUCACUGGGUUACCCUUACCUCAUGACAGCAUCAACAAUCGACCAUUCUCAUACCCGGCUGGCUGAAGGAUUAUGUUGUUUGAGAGCAAGGAAGUUGUGGAUUCCUUUCUAGAAUCUUUUAUUCGUUUGAUAUUUUCUUUUGGCUUGACCAUUGCUAUUUUUUGUAACCACCUUCUGUUAGAGGUUGCUAGAGGAAAAAGCAUAUAAGUAUUGUAAUGUUUAAAAAGGCAAUGGAAUAUUUGGUUCUCUUUCUUCUCUGGAAUUUCCUUUCUUCUUAAUCUUUGUUCUGUUCUUAAUUCUUUUUCUUGGAGCUGGCACUCGCUCGAAGAGUGUUUUGUUGAGUGGAUUUGCUUGUGUUGCAGGACAAGCGUAUCACAGAGUCUGGAAAGGGUUUCUUUUCUUUUUCUUUUUCUUUUUUUCAAAUACACAUAUAGCCACGUGUUGUCCCAUAUAAAAAAAUAAUACUUUAUAUAAGUCCGAGGUCAAUUGGGCUGGAAAACAUUUAAAAUCGAACAUAUCAGGCAUGUUGUAAGUUCGCAUUUGGAGAAUCAUGUUGUCAGCCCCACAACCCCCAAAUGGGAACUUUAGAUAGAAAUAUAUAGCAUCCCAACAAUAAUAUUUAUUAAUAAUAAAUUUACUUAUUACAAUUGUUUUUGUCAAAGACUCCUUGAUGGUAUUUCAUGUGUUGAAAAAAAUGUAAAAUAAUUUUAUUAUCGAUACAAUUAAAAACAUAUUUUUCAAUAUAUAUAAUUAAAUUAUCACUUGAUUUGUUCUUAAAAUGUUUUAAUAAUAGCAAAAAUAUGGAUAUAAUGAAACAUGAAGAAAAAAUAUGAUUACAGACACAUUAGGGAACGGCAAUGAGGAGGGUAGGGGAGGGGACUGACAUCUCCAUAUCCAUCCUCGAUAUUCUACAUAUGUUCUCAUCCCCUUCCCAUCCCCGUCAGAAUUACUUGAGAAAAUAUUCAUCCCCUCCCUAAAUAAUAACAGGGGAUCUCUAAGAGUCUCCGAUCCCCACGUAAUUGAUACAUUUUUUAUUUUAAUUUUAAUUAAUUAUAUUAAAAUAAUUUUUUUAAUAAAAGUACAGUUAAGGCGGCAGCUAGCUGCCAUAGAAAAUUAGAAAUUAGGUUUUAUGAUUUUGCCUUAACUUUUGUUUUAUUGGAUAAACGUUUAAAAUAUUUAAUGAAUAUUAUAAAUUAAAAAAAAAAAUUGGGCCAACAAGAUCCUGUCUGGCUUUUUUUAUGUCCUAAAUAGAUAUUUAAGAUUAUAAAUAGUUAAGUAGGCUCAUUAAAGCAUCUGACAAAUUGUUACAUAAAACCAGGAUAAUUAGAGUGCUAAUCAAAUAACCCAAAUUAUAGAUUCCCUAAUCAAACAAACAUAACAAAAAAAUUUUGAAAUACAAUUUUUUUUUCAGAAAUGCGAAUUGGCACCAAAUAAAAUUGAGCAAAAGCUAAUGCUGUCCUACAAGUUGACAUGGUCCUCCUUUAGCAAGGUUCAAAUAGGGAAGACCAUAGUAAAAAUAAGAGGAAAUAAUUUAACUUUAUCUAUAAAUCCUACAAUUUAGAUGCUAGUAAAAUAACUCCAAUCUGAAGCAUCAAAUGUACAAGAUUCAUAAGCAAAAACAGGUUACACGAUUAGUUAUUACCUGGAUUACGUUGUACAUAUUACAUGGUAUACCUAAUCAGACAAAUAACAGGUUACAAUCCAAGUUUUGUUGAUCAUGAAAGGUUUGAGCGUGAUAGUCCAUUUAGGUCAUUAGGUCAGCCAAAUGGGAGACCAGUGGAUUUGGAGGGUUUGUAUACAGUGCAAACUGAGCUAAUAAUGCAUGUUCAUGGUUUUAUACGUGCCAGGUAUUUUUAUCCUGUAAUUGUGAAAUUGAUGACAGAAAAUUUUAUAUCGUAAUUUCUUGGAAUUCUGACUGCAUGCUUUUCUUCUAAUUGUUAUGUUUCUGUUAAUGAUGGGAUGACCAUCUUUCAGUGCAAUAAAGGUUGGAAUCAUAUGGUAUACCUAAAAUAAAUUGUCACGCUAGAUUGAUAUACUCAUUCUCUAAUCAACUGAGAGUAUCUUCUAGUUCAGCUAUUUCUUUUCUGGGUAUAAAAGAUAAAUGUUCUUUGAACUUGCCUCGUACGUUAACCUGCUACCAAUACGGUCUACCGUAUGUAUGUCUAGCAGUCAAGUGAAGAUAAAUUUGAAAUGUAACUAUUACGUUCGUUUGCAAUGUGGAAUAGUUACCUAGGAUGAUCAUGAGUAGAUACUUUCUGGAUGUCAUAAUUUGGGAUGUAGGUGUCCGUUUUUGGUGCAUAAUACAUUGUUUUGAAGGUUACGAUGAGAUGAAUCAAACCUAGAAUGCUCACACUAUUCUGCCCAAUCAUUUUGCAGUUUUAUGUUGUUUUCCUAUGUUUCUGUUAAUGAUGGGAUGACCAUCUUUUAGCAUAGUAAAGGUUGGAAUCAUAUGGUAUGCCUAAAAUAAAUUGUCACACUAGAUUUAUAUACUCAUUCUCUAAUCCACUGAGAGUAUCUUCUAGUUCAGCUAUUUCUUUUUGCGGUACAAAAGAGAAAUGUUGUUUGAACUUGCCUCGUAUGUUAACCUUGUACCAAUAAGUAUGAUUUAACUAAAGUCUUGAGCACACGAGCAGUUUUGCUUUUAAAAGAAAAACAACUAUUUACCCUGGCUGCUCUCUAUCUCUCCUCACCAACUGAGUCACCGGUUGGUUGCAUUUUACUAACGAUGCCGACUGAGAGAUCACAAUCCCUGUACGCGUCCACCCUAACUGAUUUUUACGGCAAUUAAUGAUAUAAAAUUAUUUAAAUGAAAGUAAUUUAAAUUUAUUUUUCAAGUCACCAGGAGCUUCAAUUCCUACUGGGCACCAUAUGGCACUGCCUAUGGAAUCAUUCAAUGGUCUUAUAGUACAUAAAUCACUUUCUUUUUCAUGUGUGGAUAGAGAUAAUAUGAAUAAACAUACGACUCUUUUCAAAUAUUAAAAGAAAAUAAAUACAUCAUUAUGAUAUUUACAAUAAAAAUCACACACUCAAGAUUUUAGUUAAAUCAUACUUAUUCAAAUUUCAGACAAAAAGAAAAAGAAAUGUCACCUUUAGCCUUUAAUUAAAAAGUGUAUGGGGUAAAUAUAUUAGUAAAUGAGAACUAGUAGUGGUCAAAACAUAAUAACUCUAAUUGUAGGGUCAAUUUUGUAAACAUAGUAAACUUUUUGAAUGUACGAUGGACUGGUUUUAUUGUUGUAGUUAAUUUUGUGUGAUACAAAAAGUGAGAGAGUGUGAAACGACGAUGAUGAGUCACAAAAUAGAGGAAUCUUUAUAUUUUCAACCCACUUAAACUGUCACAGAGAGAAAACGACAUGGAAUCUUUAAACUGUCACAGACAGAAAACGACAUGGAAUCGCGUUAUAAUUGCAAAAUCCACAAACUUUCUGCGAAACCGACUUACCAGCAAGUCGCGGACUCGCGGCCUCAGUUUCAACUCCCGGCAUCAGCGCACUUGAAAAUAUAAAUACCCCAGCGACGAGAUAAUUCUUUUAAGCAGAGAUAAUUGAGAUGUUCUUAAAGUGACAGUUUUUUUUCUUUUUCACCUUUUCCCUUCCAAGUUUCCAGCUGAGUUUACAUUUUUAAGCAGAGUCCUCUCUUUCUCUUCUAUAAAGGGAACUUGAUUUAUAGAAGAGAUAAGGCCGUGUCCCUUUGCUCAUUUGCUGCUGCAGCUCUCCUCUUCUUCCUUUUUCCUCUCUUAUCUCUUCUACUCUUCGAUUGCUCUGGUCGACACGGCCUUUGAUUGCUCUGUCAAUCUAUACAAGACAUAUACAACACGACUUCAGAUCUUUUAGGAUCGGGCUUCUCUCUUCGUACUUGCGGCUUUCUCUCUUAUAAAGGUUUCAUUUCGAUUUUGAUUUGGAGUAAUAGUCCUUCAGGAUCGUGCUUGUCUCUUCAUACUUGCGGCUGUCUCUCUGAUAAGGUUUCGUUUCGAUUUUGAUUUGGAGUUGCUUUUUCUUUUAUUUUCAAGUAGAUUUGUUUCAAUUGAAAUGUUGGUUGUUAAUUUGGUGUUGUGUUAAGUUUUGCAGGUAAUGAUUGCUCUGAUCAAGCUAUUACAAAAUGGCUGACGGGAAAAGAAAGUCAACCCAGCAAUCUUGACCGUCUCCCUUCUCUCUCUGACCUGAGCCACAACGUGUAUUUAAAAAUAAAACUUUACCCUAUAUAUAUACAGACAAUGUUCAAAAGAAAACAAAAAAAAAUCCCAAAUUUCUUUUUUAAAUUCUUACCAAUCAAUAAAAGUAUUUGAUAAUUUUUUUUUUCACAAUAACUAUGACUUGAAAAAAUUAAACUAAUAUUAAAUGAGACUAAAUACAUAAUGAUCUCUUAAAUUCCUGUUUUUCUAAAGGAAUGGAUCUAAUACUUUCCUUAAUAUAGUAUUUUAAUGGGUCUGCAGGAACAAAUUUUAUUUGUCCGCGAUGUCAAACGCAUACCAUAACGUGUUUGGAUACCUCAUUCCAAUUCUCAUCGGCAUCGUGGGAGCAAAUAUGCAAGGCACAACUGAGCGCUUGCUUGAAACACACACAACAAAUAUAUGGUCUUUUCUCAUAACCACAGCCAUUUAUUGUUAUGCAUAUUUAGCUCAUCAAGAGAAUUUUUCCCAAUCUUGGGCCCUUGUAGCACGAGUCUCCGGAUCUGUUUCUGCAGUCUCCCUAGCCUCCACAUUUGUUCCACGCUCUGAUAUUGGUCAUAUCAUAUUGUGCACUGCAUGGCUUUGCUCGUCCAUUAUCAUUGUUGUGCAUCAAUAUGGGGCGCUGUUUGCAGAAGCUUGUCGUCGGCUCUACAACGAAACCUUGAAACCAUUUUGCAGUCAGCUCUAUAACGAAACCUUGAAGCCAUUUUGUAUCAAUAUUUGCAGUAGGUUUCAAUCUAAUGACACUUCCUCGGCAGGACAACAACGACCAACACUACCAGUUUAGAAGGGGGCUUCUUCAAAUGUUUCACCUUACACAGUACUACAGUAGCAAGCAAUCAUCUCAUGUACACGCAGUAAUUUUGAAAAGUAACAGAGAAAACAUAUUAGUGUCCAGAUUUCUUUGCUUGAAAUAGUGCUAAUUACUGUCGUCAAAUUUCAUCUUAUUCUUUUUAUUCCCUCACAUGCAUUGUUUUAUUGAUAUUAUACAAGAAAAUGCGUUGUUCAAUAUUAUGCAAAUAUUUUUUUUUUCUCAAAUAAUUUAAAUUUCAAAGAUUGCAAUGAAAUUUAAUUUAAGGAUUGCCCUUGAGCACUGUCAGCUACGACUCCAGUUUCCUGCAACAAUGAAAAAUUCUGUAAUAGUAAAAAGUCUCUCUUUUUUCGCAAUAUUAAGUCAAUAAUUUGAAAGGCAGAUUUAACAACAGGUUGGCCUAAUUUCAAAAUUUAAUCCAUGUAAUAUAGAAAGAAGACUAGUUCAAUGUAUAUGAGUCCACCAAAAAGUUAUUAAAAAUUUAGGAUUAAACACUUGGAAAUGGCAAUUAGGUACUACCUCAAGAGAUUUUACUGCUUGAACCAACCAAGGGGGUAUGUUUGCAAUUGUUGUGACUAAGUAUAAAUAGAUGGUUGGUCAGUGGUAAGAACCAGCCUUCUAGCAUCUUUGGGCACAAAGAACUCAAGAAAAAAGCCCACAUGAGACACAAGACCCAAUGCUCAGCAUGCAGCAAGCUUAUCUAGAUUCAGGUGCUUUAUGGAUCAAAUUCACAUUACAUGAAAAGUUCACUAUUCAGAAUGGCACUCUGUAUGACAGCAAAGAGAUAAGUGGAAGAAAAAAAUCUGAAAAUCAACAUACCUUUUUCUUUGUGAUUAGGUAGUCGAACCCCACUAGCUCGCUUAUUUCAAGCAGCCAGGUCAGCUCAACACGGUCGUCUUGUAUCCUUCAAGAUGCACAACCCCUGUGAAAUUUCCAUCCUGGUUCCUACUAAUUUGCUCCACAAUUGCAUUCCCAAUCUAUUUAUGUGAAUCUUAUUUCCAGAGAUCAACUCGGCAUUGGCAAGGUCCAUCCAUAUUGUUUUUGCACAUGUUGUAGCUUUCACUCCUACACCUUUACGCGUCUUAUGCCUCAGUUUGAUGCGAACUCAUGGUUUGUCAAGGCCAUUGGUAAGAGUCAGUCAGUCAGCAAUAGUAAUAUCUGCCUUUCUUCAAUCACAGCAGCGAGUAUAGGGCACGCAGGAUUAAUAAUCUUCUUAUUAAUAUAGUAGUUCAAAGUUUGUCACGUUCCAAAUGGUUGAGACUGUUUGAAGCCGCCAGAAAAAGUAGAGAUACAAAAGUUAUUCUUCCACUUAAGUGAUAACAAAUACUAUAUGAACUAUGACAAAUUACUUCAGCUACAUUGUCUUAGCAGUUCAAGGAUAAACUGCAUCAGAGACUCAAUUUUCAGUCCCCUACGAAUAAUUCUUUGAAUGGCAAAAAAAAAAAAGAGGAUUAUCUAAUCCAUUCUGUACAAACCACAAAAGUUUGCUAAGAGGCAUGUUACAGCAUUUUCAACCGGCUAAACUCAAAAAUUUGAACCUUUAUAUUCCAUAUCCUCUUGAACCAAAUGGUAUCAAGCAUUACGAGCAUUGUACUCACUAGAUCUCAAACUAAAAGACGUGAGAAUUAGUCCAUAAGUUAGGUAUAUCUUGUAAUUUGACCUGAUUUGAUGGUGGGUCUGGGUUGCAACGACUGGACGGGAUCUCAGACGGACUUGCUGGAAUGUUGCAUGUCAACUUCCUGCUACGACAACACUCCUAACAAUUAACAUCCCAAUUUUGCUUAUGAAAAAACAGGGAGAUAUUAGAAUGAUAUCUCAAUACUUCAAGCCAUUCACAAACAUUUUCCAUGUAAUUGGUUGCAAUACCAGACGAGCUUAAGCCUGCCACCAAUAAUCUGCUUCACCUUAAAUCACGAAUAAGGCAAAAAUGCUAUCCUCCGCUCAUCAUUCGGCCUCAACAGAUCACAGGUGGAAGGUUAAGUGUGUGAGUAGUUAAAGGGGAAAUACCCUUUUUGAUAAAUGUGCCAAGAUGAAAGUCACUAUAGUCAAAAGGGUAUAAAUAUCCCAACACAAGUCUAUAUGGUCAUUUCCGAAACCACGCAAAGACGUCGGUGUCGUUUCCCCACAACAAUAAAUAGAAAUCACCAUACUUCCACAAUUAUCCAAAGAGCGCGAACCCUGACACAUCAUAAAAACUAUUAUAAAUCUAUUUACAGAAUAAACUUGACUGAACGGAGGCAUCGUGUGAUAUUUGCAUCCCCACAAUUUCUUAUCAGAUUCAAUUCAUAAAACAAAUAGGAACACGUAUAAAAUUUAAAUAAAAUUCUUUCAAAUUUUUUUUUUGUUUGGUGCGCGCGCGCCAAAAAUUGAAAUUUUGCAGAUUAAAUUACUACCAGAUGAUGAAGUACAAAACAAAAAUCAUCAUAUUCUGACAAUGACACAUAAUAGAAAACAAAACAAAAAAAAAAUCGAGACUUACGUUGUCAUUCAAAGCUUUGAUCCAAUUUGAGCAUCCUGAAACAGGGUUUUUCUUAAUCAUUCUUAGCGUUUUCUUCGUGAAGUUUGACUUUAUAUGCAAAGGAAAGUAGGUCACUAAUUAUUAAAUUAUCAAAAUACCCUUGACAUUUAAGUGUACAGGAGCUGACGCUUAAGGGUAUCGUAGUCAUUGUAUGGGUUUAGGCACCCAUUUGGGACGAAUAGAAAACUACCGUCCUUAUUUGAGAAAUAAUGCUAUUUGACACAGAAGUAUAAAUAAAUUCUCAACUUCCUCCCGUUUCCGUGAAAAUUUUGUUUUCAGUGCAGUGGAAUUGAAUUAAUCUGAAGGAAAAAAAAAAUUGUUGGUAUGUGGAAAUUAUACUUGAAACGUUGUCGUUUUUGGCAUAAUUGCUGUGAUAUACUUAUUUGCUUUGUGUUUUUAUUUCUUUUUUCUGGGUUUUAGGGUCACAAUCGGAGAGAGAAGACAAUGUCUCGUUGGAACUCUCUGAAGAAGUUCUUCAGAGCAUGGAAGUGGGCAUUUCUUUUAGAGAUUAUGUAAGAGAAUCUUCUAAUAAGUUUCUGUUUGAGGAACAUACUUGAUUUGCGUUUUAAAUGUAUCUGUUUGUUAAUUCAGUGUCGUUUUGUAUUGAUUCGUGUUUUAACAGAAUGGGAGAAUUAGUUCCUUGGAUUUUCAUAAAUCAUCGAGUUAUUUGGUGACGGCUAGUGAUGAUGAAUCUAUACGGCUGUACGAUGUCUCUGCUGCCACUUAAGUUGAUCCUCUGUUUCUUAGGAUUUUAUGUUGUCUCUUGGGAAGUGCUUUUAACUAAGAAAUGGCUUUUGAAUAAGUAUAAAAAGCUGGUUUCAAUCUUGCAAUGUUUGUUUGAAAUUGCAGGAAUAAUAAAGUGUCUCUUUUGAAAUCAAAGGAACCCUUGAAGUGUUUUUCUGGGGAAGUGCUUGAUAUCUGCUUUCAUGGAUAGAACUUUUUGGAUUAGGAAACCACUUGUAGUGCUGUUUGAAGAAGUGCUUCAUAUAUGUUUCAAAGUGAUUUUACUCGAGGGUACUUUCCAUUAAAGCAUUGCUGAACGUAUCAUCUGCGUGUUUGAUGAGCUCAUGAAAGCUACUGUCUUUCUAAGAUGGAGAAAAAUGCUUUUUAGAUGAAACAGAAAAAAAAAAAAAAAAAUAGAACCUUGGAGUGGUUUUCGGGGAAGUGCUUAAGGGAAAUGUAAUUGAUAUAUUUUUCAAGAACUUUUGUAAAAAGGCCUUUUCUUUUCUUUCUUUUUUUUUGUUUGCAUAAGCUCUUUCUAUAAGAUCACUGCCAAAUGCACUUCAGUUGUCUUAGCUGAGCAUGAUAGUUGGUAUUGCAAUUGUUGCUGAGAGCCUUAAUUGAAAUUUCAGAUGUUUGAAGACAAUUAACAGCAAAAAAUAUGGGAAUAUUUGUAUUUUGUUUGUUGGUGGAUUGCUUUACUAGGCACUUAUUUGAUACGUUCAUUUAUUCAGAAUCUCUACGGCUUCUUUCCUCGCACGAUAACAAGUACUUGCGUUACUUCAAAGGUCAUCAUAACAGGUUUGUAAUUCACUUAUUCUUGUAAAUAUUUCGUAAUUAUUAUUAUCUGUAUAUAUGUUUUACUGCUUCUAGGGUUGUUUCACUUAGCCUGUGCUCCUCCAAAGAUUGCUUUAUCUCUGGUUCUCUUGGUCAAUCUGUUCUGCUCUGGGAUCAACGGGCUGAGAAAUGCUAGGUGGAUAUCAUGCCAUCCACCAUUUUCAAUUGUAUUUAUGAUCUCUGUUGGCAAAUACGGGUCUUUUGCAUGUUCAAGGAAGGCCUGCUACAGCAUAUGAUGAUCAAGGGCCUGUCUUUGCAGUUGCCUUUGGAGGAUACAUAAGAAUGUUUGAUGCUCGUAAGUAGGAGAAAGUUAAAAUUAAUAUUUAAAAACAUCUUGGAAGUUUAUAUGUCGUACUUUUAUCAUGCACUAAUUUGGUUAAAUUUGGAUACAUCUUCUCUGAUGGUGGAGAUGUAUCAGAUUCUGAUGCUGGAAAGUUCAGCAAUGAUGGGAGACUUAUGCUUCCGACCUCUAUGGAAGGACAUAUUCAUGUGCUUGACUCAUUCCAAGGCACACUUGUGAGUUGACUUUUUCUUUCUUCAUCUCCCAAAUGUAACAUAUCGUACGUAUAUACCCCUCUAUACACUGGAAUCUCUGUGAAUGAGCUUCUGUUUACUCUUGUUUUUAUUUAUCCACUUAUGAUGCCAAGCCAGUUUCUCGCAAUUCCACAUUGGAGGCAUCUUUCAGCCCGGUAGAGUUUCUCCUUUCAGUUCUUAGGGCACAGUGACUUGGAUAUUUUGUUAAUAUUUGCUUUUGGCUGUUUUGAUAAUUUAUAUUAAAGUUCUUGCACUUGUGCUGUAUAUAAUUCUCAAAUUUGUUACCACCUUGUUGGUAUAUUGAAAUACACGACUUGAAAUGCUGGGCAUCAAGCUUGUUUCCGCAGAAUUCUUUGAAAUAAAUUCAUUUUCUCUUCUUCAUUGACUUGGUUUGAAACCCACUCCCAUCCAUGCAAAUCCAAAUGCGUACGUAUUUUCAUCUGGUUGUGCUUAUUAAUAAAAAUAAAUCAAUGAAAUGCUCAAACAGCAAGUGCACCCACACAUGUGGAAGCAGCCUAGUGUGGCCAAGCACCUCUCAUUUGUUUUAUGUGAUACAAUUGGUUUGUUGCACUCUUUGUGCUAAUUUUACUUUCUCGGUUUGGAAGGUUCUGAUGAUGGUAGUGGAUAUGCUUGGAGUGUACGGAGCGGGAAAGGGGUAUGAUAAGCAAAAUUCCUGGAUUCUCAUGCCUUUUGAAUGCUUAGAAUUCAAAGGGAUGUUAUUUCCCUUACAUUGACCCCAGUCAUAGCAUUCAUUGUCUUCUAGCCAAACCAACAAUGCUUUUGAAUCUACAUUUGAGCUUUGUAUAAGAAGUUGCACCAAUUAUGUAAGGAGAUGUUCAAUUUCCUAUAGUAGUAUGUAAAUGCAUCUGACUUACCUGCUAGUAACCUUUCCUAACAAGUUCUGAAGAAACAACAGUAGAUCUGGUAUCAGUACUUUAUUCAGAAGAGCAUUUCUUCUUACAUGCACAGCUAAGAGUACAUGAAUUGAGCUACUGAAGCCCUUCCUGACCAACCUGGCUAAGGCUCCGUUCAGUUUGUCCUCUUCAUGGUUCUUUGGCAGGCAACAGCGUAAGCAAUUACCUGGACUAUGAGGCCUUUUGUAGCGGGGUGGGCACUGCCUAGGCAGUUUUUGAAAAAAUUAGGAGCUUUAUUUGUCAUUGACAUUUGUAGCACGAUUAGUUGUUACCUGGAUUAAGUUGUAUAUAUUACAUCGUAUACCUAAUCUGACAAAUAACAGGUUGCAAUCCAAGUUUUGUUGAUCAUGAAGGGUUUGAGCAUGAUAGUCCAUUUAGGUCAUUAGGUCUCCCUCGAAUUGCCACGUACACACUUCAAUCCUCUCAACGAGCGUCCCCGCAACGUCACACUCCACAAUAAUCUCAAAUAAUUUAGAACAAUUAUUUACUUCUGGCUGCUCUUAUCUCCCUUCUCACCAACCGAGUCACUGGUUGGUUACAUUUUACUAACACCGCCGAAUGAGAGAUCAUAAUCCCUAUUACGUGUCCACCCUAACUGACCACAACAUUGUCAUUUUUGAUCUAGCGUUAGUAACGCGUUGUUAAAUUGUCAUAGCUUCGAAACCGCUUUAUUUUUGGACUCAAGGCACAAAAAGGAUAAUAAACAAUUUUAAAAGAAAUUAAAGAAAGAAGUAAAAAGUAAUAAAAACUGGUAUUACAGGUAUUCUACUAUUCUUCUUCUCAUGAGCCGACUUUUUUCCCCAAAAAAUAAUAAAUAAAUAAAUAAAAUAAAGUAAAAAGGAAAGAAUAGUUAAUGCACUUCUCUACGUAAACGGUGUACAAUCAUUCUGGAGUCUGCAAGGGCCUUCAAGGGACCAAUUUAACGAGUUUCAAAUAACAAGUUUAUUUAUUUAUUUAUUUAUUUCUUUGGAUGAAAUAACAAUUUUAAUUAAAUAAUACAAAUAUAACUUAUGUACAUUUUUGCUUCUUGACCCUCUGUGUUGAAUGAGAACGAAACUGACAGAUAAGGACAGUAUGGCGUAUCUCUUGUUUAUUUCUUUGAAUUCCCCUCUCUUUAUUCUCUCUCAAUAGCCCUAUCUACAACCCUAUUCCUUUUUAUAAUCCUUUAUCACGCUACAUAUAUCGUAGCGUACUAUUAAAAUUUAACAGUGGGAUUACUUAGAAAUUUGAUAAGCACUCCGCUUCUCCCCCACCCCACCCAAAAAAAUAUUAUAGGUUAAGUGGAUGUAAAUUCUAAUGAUUAACAUGUUGGGAUUAUAUGCUCUUUUAAAGUAUAGUAAUUUAUUUUCUGAUUAAUAAAAUAUUUGAGAUAUUUUCAAUUGCAUAAAUAUAUAUUGAAUAAUGUCCGUUUAAUCAUAUUAUAUGUAUUUUUGUGAUUAUCAUAUAGAUUCACAGAAAACAUAAAUACAAGUUAUCUUAUUAUUAAAUAAAUUCAGUUCGCAGUUGAUAAAUAGAGUUGGACGCUCUAUUUAUGUUUAGACUGUAGUAAAUUUAUUGCAUGAUUUGUCUUAAUCAUAUAUGAAUUUAUUGAUGUAGUACGAUUACAUUGAACAUGAACACAUAUGAGAUUUAAUUAACCUUGAAAUGACUGUCAGACUUAUUAAAUCUCAUAGGCAUUGAUUUUACUGUAAUCUUAAUAUUGAGUUAAUUAUGAUUUCAUGAUUGUAAUUGUUAUUCCAUUUGAGUUACCAAUGGGCACAACACACAAUUGUGGUCAAGAUUACCUAGUAUCUUGGUGGGAGCAUUUAUGAGUAUUGGAGUUAUACAUUAACAAUAUAGAAUUUGUACAACACAUCCUUGAUGAGUUUUUGGCACUUGAUCAUAGAAUUCUCUGGCCAGAGUGUGUCAACAUAUUUAGUAUGUUGAAAAUGAUCAUUAGAGAAAACAAGUAAGCAUCAAGGAAUAAGAUGUAAUUAAAUUGAUUAGACAGUUGAGAUAUCGAUUUAAUUAAUGAUGUGGUACAAAGGAUUAUGCAGUAAAAAAAUUGAUGUGGCCUGCGACGAAUUAUUAUUCGAGCAUACAAUUAUGGAAGUUAGUUCCAAUCUUUUAAUGGAGUAUAUUUGGAAUUAAAUAAUUAGGCUAGUUUAAUUAUAGGCCUAAUUAUUAUAGCCACUAUUGUAUGUUCCCAAAUGAUUCCCGGGUUAGCUCAUUUAAUUGACUACGCCACUACUAGAUUAAUAAACAAGAUAACUAGUUAUUUGGGUUAAAAGCCUAAAUAUAUUAUUUAGUGGGAGGCUUCAAGUAAUGUACUUGUGUCUAAGGGGCAUUGUGUUAUUUUACAAAGUGGGCCCCUAUGACAAGAAAGAAGUAACGUUACUUUUAGUUUAUUAUUUUUAUUUAAAUCAAACUUGAUUUAAUAGAAUUAAAUAAUAUAAAAAAUGGAGUCUAGGGUUUCCACUAGAGAAAAAUAUAAAAGGGCUUAUUUUCUCCCAAAAGAAACAAGCAGCCACUUUAUACAGAUCAGAGAAAAAGAUUUUUCUCUCCGUUGUUGAGAGAAAAAUUUUCUCGUGCUAGUUACUUUGGUAGUGAUAAAGGCGUUCACACGUCAAAUGCAGAUCAAACCUGAGUCAUAACAUAGAAGAUCAUUGGUGACAGUUCGUGAUCUAACAAGUGUUGUGGUCACGGAUCGUGAUCUAACAAGCGUGGUGGUGACAGAUCGUGAUCUAGGAGCCUAAAUCACUUCAAUGGAAAAAGCCAAAUCGGAUUUUCAAUGUACGAUUUCUAGAUUACGUAUUCAUAUAUAUUGUAUGAAAUCAGUCCUAAAACAUUUUAUAAAAAUUUAAAAUAUAGAUUUUUCUCCAACAAUUGGUAUCAGAGCCAUCUUAUAUUAAUAUAUAAUAAUAUUGUAUGAAAUCAAUCUUGAUAUUUAUGUAUUAGAGUGGCACAACUUAUUCAGAUAUAUAUUAUUUAUUUAAUAUAUGAAUAAAAUAUGUUUUUGGUUUGUCUUAAUUCAUGAUUAGAUUCUUUACUGUUUUUUUUUUUUAUCUGUAACAAGAGGAGUGGUUUAUUAUCACCAUAUUUCCCUCUUAAUUUAGUUUAUUGUUAUAGAAAUUUUGUAAGCCUAAAUUGGUGUAGGAAAUUUGUAAGUCACUAGAGUAUAAUCAUGGAUGUCAGAUCAAAGCAACGAAUGCCGGAAAUUUCAGCGUCAGCCAGCGGUGCAUGAUGCACGCGCAGUGGCCAGCAGCACACGCUGCCAGCAGCUGCAGCGCGCGCAAGUUUAGUGCAUUUCCGACGACGCGGCAACGGGUGGCUCGGCGUCGGAGGUCGGCUGGUGUCUGAACAAUGGCAGAGGUUUUUGGAGAUGGCGGCUGGGGAGAAGGAAAAGAAAAAUAAGGAUUUUAGGGUUUCAUGGUUUCUAUCAUUGAGGUCCCUAUAGUUUAAUAAUUAUUUCUUUUGGGCAGUUAAGUUUUAAGCAUUUAAGUCUAAAAAUAGUUUUGGGCUUAAAGAAUCUUAGUUUUAGGCCCAAUUGAAAUUUGGGCUUAAUAGAUUAAAAUACAUAGAUAAAAUUGAACACAUUAAAUUUAUUUUUUGUCCAAAAAUUUUAUUUUAAUAAAAAAUUUAAUUAUUUAUUUAUUUCCUUCUAAAAAAUUAAAAUUGGACCAAUAAUAAAUUUAAAAGCUCAAUUUCCCCUAGUCCAUUAACAAAGAUAAGCCUAUGGAAGGUGGAUAUUGACAAAAAGCCCAAUGAAGAUUAAGCUUAUGGUUAAUGUAUUUUUUUAGGAAAGCCAUGAAUUAAGAUUAUUUAAUUGUAUUUCUAUAUGUUCUGUUUUGGAUGAUAAUAUGCCAUGAUAACAUGUCAUAUAGAAUAGGUAGUGUCACUCUAUGCAUAAUAUUACAUGUCAUUAAUUAAUUAUGAAUCUUAUUAUAUUGUUUGUAAUUUGCAAAUGCUUAAAUAAUAUUGGAUAUCAUAUAGAUAAUAUUAUAGGAAGCAUGAAACAAUAUGUAUGUUUUAAAAAAAGAAAAAACCAAUUUUAAAAUAUUGAGUGGGAGAGGGAAAAUUCAAAAUAAUUUUUCCCACGGGCUCCAUUGUUAGUUCAAUAAUAAAAUUAUAUAUAUACCUCGACUUCAUGAUACGGUGAUGCUCCUUAUGGAGGGUAUAUAUACUAGAUAUUUUAUUUGCUGAACUUUUUCAAAGAUAAAAUUGAAUAUUUUUCAAUCAAUUGUUCACUCCAACGGUGACUAUUGAUAUGAAAAAUACGUAGAUUGAAACAAUGGUUAUACCCUCAACUAAAAGUUGUUUUUAACCUUCCCAACAAAGCUCUGUUAACAACUUUAGGCCCAAAGGGAUAACGAUAAUUAUUUAUCAUGUCUUUACAUGAAAGUAAAUAAUUCAAUGGAUAAUUGGGUCUAGUAAGCAUAUAUUUGUUAUUUUGUUGUGAAUGGGACAUAUAUGGCACCAUUUGCUCCCGUGACCGAUCUUUAUAACAGAUCCAAUUACCCUCGUUAUAGUCACUAGAUAGAAAGCUAACAUAGCACAAUUAUAAUAUGUAAUGUAAGUGAUAGUAGAGUCACAAAUUAUUGUAUAAAUUUAUUUUAUAUAAAUUGAUGAUAAUAUAAAAUAAUAAAAAUAUAAAUCAUGUAGACCAAGAUGUAUUUAAUAUAACUAAUAAAAUUUUACUAGAUUAGUUUAUAUAAGAAUUUGUAAUUUUAUUAUUACUCAUGGUACUUGAACAGUGGCUGAUUGGUUAGCUAGUGGUAUAAGUGGCAACGACCAAAUUGUUGAGUCUCUGACGUGGGUUCUCAAAAUGAGUCAAGAGUCCAGAAAUUAGCUAUCAAGUUAUGACAAUAUUUGUAAACAUGUCUUUGAGAUGAUACAUUGUCAUCAUCAGCAUCAUAUCCUAAUUGAAAAAGAAGGAUUGCGAGGGAAACUAAGCAUGUGCCUUCAUUUUCACUUGAAAUAAAGCGCGAUGGAAAGAUCUCAUGUUAUCACAUAAUGCCGUGUGAUCACCUAAAAGCCCUUCCACACACAUUUCUUCUCAAAUUGUCUUAUUCUAAUUUCUUGGACCACCGCGGAACCACAAUGUCAAUGCGAGGAUGAGCGAGUGCUGUUCAGCUCGCAGCAUUUGGAGCCGGAGCUCGGCUUCCUUUAUUUUUUCGUCUUCUGCUGGUAGACAUUGCCAAAAGGCAAAGAGGAUCCUCUGGCGUUCGUGGAGUUGGUCCUCGAUGCGAUUGAUUUCUUCUCCAAGUUGAGCAAGCCUUUGUGCCAUAGCCAUAUAAUUAUUUGCUUUCGACCGACAUAAUUCUUCUCUAAAAAUUUCAGGGAGCACUUUUCAUCUACACCCAAAUAUUUCAUCAGAAUUUUGUUGUAUGCACACUUACUUCAACAACUAUCACGACUCACUCUUUUUGUUAAAUAUUGUUAUUGCCAUUAAUUUUGAUAUCUUUGACGUUAAAAGACAAUUUUGCCCUUAUUUAUAUUUUUUAAUGCAAAAUUACUAGAAAACCACAACACCAAUUUCAAAUUUCAAUUCACCUGUGUGGAUAUUAAAUUUAAUUUUGACAUCUUUGAUAUUAAAAGAUAAUUUUGCUCUUAUUUAUAAUUUGUUAAUACAAAAUUACCAGAAAACCCAACAUGAAUUUCGAAUUCCAAUUUACCUGUGUGGAUAUUAAAAUUUCGUAAAGGUUAGAAAAAAAGUAAAAAGUUUUUGUUAUGAAGAUCAAAAUAUCCCCUCUGCCAUCAUCCAUAAACGUCCAUUCUUCAUAACAAUCUAGUAAACUUGAAAAAGCAAGAAAUCCAAUCCCAGUCAAUCAAAAAGCCAAAAUUCUUCAUAAAGUUUAGCUUUUCUUGAAAAAUUUUAAUUCUUGAGACCCUAAAUUAACCGAUAUUCAACCCUAAAUUAACCGAUAUUCAAAGUCACAUGUUUCUAUAACGAAAAUCUUCAAAAAUAACACUCAAAUGAAAAUCUUCCAAGUAAAUAAAAAUCUAUAUUCAUAAUAUUUAUGAAUAAAUUGUAAAUAAUAUAAAAUGGUCUAAUUGAAUAUAGAGUGAUUUACAAUUUUAUAGUGCAUUCACUAAAUAGGAAUCAAAAUUAAUUGGAAACAUAAUGAGUUAGAAUCGAAAUAACUAGAAUCGAAAUAAGGAAUUAGAAUCAGAAUAAUUUAUUUACUUGAACUGCAUGAAUCGUAAUUAGAAUGAGCUAUUUAUAUGUUUAUUUUAUCUUAAAAUCAAAAUCGGAGUGAGUUAAAUUGUAUCAAAUUACUAUAAGACCCUUAAUUAUUUUUUAUCAUAAAAUAGUUAAUUAAUGUUUAUCAUAAUUAUUAAUUUUAAUUUUAAUUAUCUUGAUUAUUAUUAUUAUUAAAAAAUUAAUUAUUAUUGUUAAUUAUUAUUAUUAUUAACAAUUUAACUAAAAAAUUAUUAUUAAUUAUUGUUAAUAGAUUAAUUAAUUAUAAUACUUUUUAUCCUUGUUAUUAAUAAUAAUAAUAAUAAUAAUAAUAAUAAUAAUCCAUUUAAAAAUUAUAAUUAUAAUAAAAUCAUUAUUAUAAUUAUAAUCCAUUUAAUAAUAAUUAUAUUUUUAAUUAAAUGGAGGGUAUUUUAGAAAUUUAAAAAUUAUAGGGGCGAAUUGAUACUGUAAGGGUUUUAAUGCAAUAAAACAAAGUAUAAGGGGCUCAAUGAAAAUUUACAAUACAAAAAGUUUCACAAUAUUUAGGAAUAAAUUAUAAAUAAUAUAAAGUGUAAGGGCUACGUGAGCAGUAACUUAGGUGGCCCCUUUGCAAAUAACUAUUGUGAUUAGUGAGGCGCACCCAUCAAGUUCAUUGUAGCUGAAUGUAGAGGGCCUCGUGGAAGUUUAAGUUGUAGGGUCCCAAUCAAAAUGUGGCACUGACACAUUUAUCAAACAAUAUGAUUUUUUGAUAAGGACAUUAGUUUUGUAUUCAUAUCAAGCAGGUCCCUAACUUGUUGGGUUGGCAACGACACGGGAUUUGUCAAUCCCAGUCCCAUUCCGUAUAAAGUGCCGUAUAUGCAAAUGAGAUAAAAAAAAAAUCUUAUUCCUAUUCUUUUAUUUUCUUUUGCGACAAAAAUUUGUCAUGAUCUCGUCUCAUUAAAUAUCUUAUCCCAUCUCAUUAUCUUGAACAGUUUUAAAGGUAAAUAAAUAAAUAGACUUUUUUUUAAAGAUCAUCACAAUUCAAUAUAGCAAAAUUUUUUAAAUAAAUACAAAGUAAAAUAAUCAAAUAAUAGUUUUAUUUUGACUAAGUGCAUGUUCAAAUAUAAUUUUAUAUUAACAUUUUUAAUAGUCUAUUUGCUUCCAUUGCACAUUAAUAUUAAGACUUACACUUCAAAAACUAUAGAUUUAAAUAGUAAUCACUUCAACAAUGUUAAAAUAUCUAAUAAUUGAAUAAUAUAAUAAUAAACAAAACCAACAAGGUUGGUAAUGGAAUGGGAUGAGACGAGAUUUGUCCAUUCCAGUCUUAUUCCGUUUAUACAAGUGAGAUAAAAAAAAAUCUUUCAUUCCUAUCCUUUUAUUUUUUUGGGAUAAAAAUAUAUCUUAACUCUAUCCCAAAUGAAAUAGGAAAAAUUACCAUCCCUACUAACUUGGUGUAAUGACUAAAAGUUGAUUGAAAAAUAUAUAGUUUAAUUUUACAUUUAAUUUUUUUCAUUUUUUUAUUAAGAAUUAAUUGAAAAAUUAUUUUAUUCCCUUAAUUUUACCAGAAUCCCAUUGACUUAACCCCUAGUCUCUUGAUUAAGGCUCCGUUUGGUGCAGCUUUUCAAGCAAAACUUAUUUAAGUAGAGCUUUUGAUAAUAGAGCUUUAAGAAUUUAGUUGUUUGGUUGUCAAUAAGAACUUUUAUUAAAAAUCUAUGAAAUUGCUUUAAUAGAUAAGUUUUCUUAAGUUAUGUUAUGAAAAGAAUAAAAUAAGAUUGUUAAAUAAGUAAAGGAUAUUUUAGAUAUUUUAACAUUUAAAAAAAGUUUUUCAACCUCUACUCCCAAAAGCUCAAACUUUGAGUUUUUGUCAAUAGAGACGAACUAGCUUAUUUAAGCUCUAAAAGCUCUACAAAAAAAAAAAAAAAAAAAAAAAAACAACCAAGCAACAACAAAAAUUAUGAUAAGAGCUUAUGAGAUUAAAUAAAUACGUAUGACCAUUAGACAAGCCAUAUCAAAUAGGCAGUAAAGCGUUUUUAAGUUCAAAAGAUUCAGAUAACUCACUCGAUUACAGGGCGUCUACACCUUAUGCUCGCAUUUGUUGUGAUGCCAGUAGAUGUUGUGACUGUGGUUGUCGUUGUCGAUUGUACUUGAAUUUUGCAGGAGAGCUUAAUAUCCUCCUUAGUAAUUAAGCGUUGCAUCAGUUAUUUUUAAAAAAAAUUAUAUUAGAGUUAUUAUUAAAAAAUUGUAUUAUAAAAUAAAAAUUAAUAAUAUGUAAUAAAUAUGAUUUUUAAAAAUUCAUUUUAUUAAAAUUAAUUAUUUUUAUUUUUAUUAAAUAAAUAUAAAAUUAAAUCAACUUAAUUAUUAAAUUAUAGUGAUUAGUAUUUAUUAAACACUUUAAUAUAGUAACUUUUAAAAUUAUAAUCGACUAACCUUAAUCCAAGAGCCUGAAAUGAUUGUGCAGUUCGGGAUUUUCAAUUUCCUUUCUUUUUGGAACUGGCUUGGGAUUGUCCAAACACGUUAUUGACUGCCUUUGACAGGGAGUAUGGGGACAAAUCAAUUUUGUUUCCUGCAAAACCCUUGAAAUAUUAGUCAACUUACGUAUACCACUUUUGGACCCAUUUUGUCAGCAAAAAGAAAGAGUGGAGCAUUUGUACUCUAAAUUUAACUUUAGACAGUCGCAUUUUAACAAAUUUUUAUAUUACUAAAUUAACCUUAAUAUAAUUUACUAUAAAAGACAAUUUAGUAAUAUAAUAACUUUUAAAAUUAUUAAAUAAAUAUAAAAUUAAAUCAACUUAAUUAUUAAAUUAUAGUGAUUAGUAUUUAUUAAACACUUUAAUAUAGUAACUUUUAAAAUUAUAAUCGACUAACCUUAAUCCAAGAGCCUGAAAUGAUUGUGCAGUUCGGGAUUUUCAAUUUCCUUUCUUUUUGGAACUGGCUUGGGAUUGUCCAAACACGUUAUUGACUGCCUUUGACAGGGAGUAUGGGGACAAAUCAAUUUUGUUUCCUGCAAAACCCUUGAAAUAUUAGUCAACUUACGUAUACCACUUUUGGACCCAUUUUGUCAGCAAAAAGAAAGAGUGGAGCAUUUGUACUCUAAAUUUAACUUUAGACAGUCGCAUUUUAACAAAUUUUUAUAUUACUAAAUUAACCUUAAUAUAAUUUACUAUAAAAGACAAUUUAGUAAUAUAAUAACUUUUAAAAUUAUUAAAUAAAUAUAAAAUUAAAUCAACUUAAUUAUUAAAUUAUAGUGAUUAGUAUUUAUUAAACACUUUAAUAUAGUAACUUUUAAAAUUAUAAUCGACUAACCUUAAUCCAAGAGCCUGAAAUGAUUGUGCAGUUCGGGAUUUUCAAUUUCCUUUCUUUUUGGAACUGGCUUGGGAUUGUCCAAACACGUUAUUGACUGCCUUUGACAGGGAGUAUGGGGACAAAUCAAUUUUGUUUCCUGCAAAACCCUUGAAAUAUUAGUCAACUUACGUAUACCACUUUUGGACCCAUUUUGUCAGCAAAAAGAAAGAGUGGAGCAUUUGUACUCUAAAUUUAACUUUAGACAGUCGCAUUUUAACAAAUUUUUAUAUUACUAAAUUAACCUUAAUAUAAUUUACUAUAAAAGACAAUUUAAUAAAUUUUUAUCAUAUGAACUUUUAUCUACUAUAAACCACAUCAACAAUGAAAUAUUGAACCAAUGUUCACGUCGGAACUUUAUCUAUACUUAUAGACUAGAUUUUUUUUUUUUUUUGGUUAAUAGAAUGGCUAGAAAAACAUCAAGUUGCAUGUUCUAUCUCUUAUAACUGAAACAAAAGGAAUUACAAGCGGAGGUGCAGAACGAACAAUAAGUCUAUAAAUAUGAAAUAAAAUCGACAUAACUUCUAACAACUGCUAACUAUAAUCUUGAGCAAGACCUUAAUUUCCUCUCAGUUUUACAAUUAUUUGCUUUUGAGUGAGCUCUGAUUAUAAAUUUAUCCAUACAUGAAGUUACACUAGAUACGAAAUUACGUGGGCAUAAUUAUUCUUAGAGAAUUAUUUUUUCCUUUAGGAAUUCGUGCAAAUUAUCACUUUCUUUUUCCACUUUCCUUGAGAUAUUAUAUUUGACCUUUUUUAAAUAGUGCUCAUUUGUUUACGGAGUUUUUUUUUUAAUAACCAUUUCUAACCGUUUCAAACAAUUUGGUUCUAAAUAUAAAAUUUAGACCAUCUAUAAAUGCAGCCCUCUCACAUAAAUAGUAUCCAGUCCUAAGUCCACAGCCAGGUUUGUGAGAGAGCUCUCUACAUUAUAGAUGCUGUAAGGCAGUAGGGGUGUAAAAAAAACCCGCUCGGACCGGACCUGGCCCGGACCCGGCCAAUUCGGUCCGGGCAAAACCCGGACCACAUGCACUGAAAAUGCGGGUUCGGGUUUAAGAUUCCAAACCCUACCAUUUUCGAGCACGGGUUCGGGUUCAACACCAAAAAUCUGGAACCCGGAACCGGACCCGGUUUCUAAAUUAAAAAAAUAUAUAUAUAAAAACAAAAAUGUCAAAACCCAAAUCCCUAAUUGGCUAAUUCCCGAUUGAAAGAGGCAUAAGCAGCAAGCCAACAACGUUGUCACCGGCAUCAUCUCUUCUCGUCACCGUCGGCAUUCGGCAUUAACCACCACCCACUGUCACCGUCGCUCGUCGGCAUCAUCUCUUCUCGUUUGCUGACUCGGCUUGGCACGCGGCUUUACUCGGUUGCUCCAUCUCCAGUGGCAGUGUGGCUGUGACUCAGUGACAGUGAGUCGUUCGUGCAGGUGAGGCCUGCUUCUGGGAUAUUUUUCUGGAAUUUGGCCUCUUCGAGUUGCUUGUCCUGCUUCCUGACAUGUUCGGCAGCUGCGAUUGCAGAUUCCUUGGAGUCCUUAACAACUUUGAGCUUGGUGGUCAACUCGAGCAUGGUUCUUUUAGCCCUCUCAAGAUCGCCAAGUGCUCGAGCUCUUGUGCUUUCAGAGCUCUCUAACAGUUUCUUAGUUCUUUCGAUUUCUUUCCGGGCCAAGAGAAGCUGCGUCGUCAGCGCCAUCGUCUCCAACUCUCCAUUGCCACUUUCUCAACCACCAUCUCCAACUCUGCUUCUCAGCUUCUGCAAGAGAGAAUUGCAUGCCAUAUUGCCAUUAUUAUUAAGUUACUAUAUGCGGGUUUCUAAGCCCGGACCAAAAACCCGGACCCAGGUGGUGCCGGGUUUGCGCCUGGCCCGCACCCGGAAAAUCGGGUUUUAACCCGGGUCCGGAUUUUUUGUCCACUCAUCCGGUCCGGUCCCGGGCAACACCAAAACCCGGAUCGAACCCGGAUUUUGCCAAGCCUAUAAGGCAGCCCUCGCCAAACCUAAAUAUAAGAUUGAAUCAAACUCUUUUCGAAUUCGAAUUUCUUUCAAGCUCAAAUACGUCGCUUGGCUUUUCUUAUAUUUUAAGGUACAAUUGGGUUUGAUUUCUAUCCACUCUUAAGGUGCAGUAAAUCUCAACAUUCCAAAUAUAACCCUUUUGACACAAUUCACUUUCUAUUUGGGAAUGGCAAAAAACCCCAUGAGAUGGGGUUGGGGAUUUUUCCCAUUUAAGAAGGGAAAAAUAACAAUUUUAUGUUUAGGGUCUGAUAGGAAUGAUUUUUUGCCCAAUUUUUUUUGGGGAAGGUACAAAGAUGAGCUUGAAUCCUGAUUCUCUUCCCAAUUCGCCAUUUUCUCAAUUUAAUUUUUAAUUCUAAUUUUAUUUUUUAAAAAUAGUAAUGAAUCAAUAAUAAAAUCUAAAUUAUAAAAUAUUAAAUAUUAGUAUAAAUAACAAAUAUCAAUAUAUUUAUACAAAUAUAUUUUGAAAUUUUUGGGCCCAACUAAAUAGAAAUUCUAUUUUAACAUUCAUACAUUUUCAAAAUUAUUAAACUAAAAGAAUCCAGAAUCAAUUUUUCCUUGUGAACUUCUAUUAAAAUUUCACUGCGGUUUAAAAAAAAAUUAAAAAUUAAAAAUCCAUCCCAAAACCGAUUGCUACAAUACUGAGCCGCAAAAGUCAACGCCCGACACCCCACAUUUCAAUUUCAAAUCCAAACUUAAAUCCACCAACAGACACUACGCAAAACAAAUCUACUUGAAAUGAACAGCAAGUCUAAAUCGAAAUCGAAAUGAAAACCUUUAUGAGAGAGAAGUAAGAAGGCUUCGUUGUAUAAAGAGAAUAGCGAUUGAAGACAGUGUCUUCACGAUCGUCGUACGUAAAGCAUACGGAGAUCGGAGACUGUGUACUAACGAUCGAGGGCUGUGUCAAGACUGUCUUCACGAUCGUCGUAUGUGAAGCAUACGGAGAUCGGAGACUGUCUUAACGAUCGACGACAAACUGUCUUCACGAUCGUCCUAUGUUAAGCAUACGGAGAUCGGAGACUGUGUCUUAACGAUCGAGGGCAAACUAUCUUCACGCUCGUCGUAUGUGAAGCAUACGGAGAUCGGAGACUGUGUCUUAACGAUCGAGGGCAAACUGUGUUCACGAUCGUCGUAUGUGAAGUAUACGGAGAUCGUAGACUGUGUCUUAACGAUCGAGGGCUGUGUCGAAACUGUCUUUACGAUCGUCCCAUGUGAAGUAUACGGAGAUCGGAGACUGUGUCUUAACGAUCGAGGGCAAACUGUCUUCACGCUCGUUGUAUGUGAAGCAUACGGAGGUCGGAGACUGUGUCUUAACGAUCGAGGGCAAACUAUCUUCAAGAUCGUCGUAUGUGAAGCAUACGGAGAUCGGAGACUGUGUCUUAACGAUCGAGGGCUGUGUCGAAACUGUCUUCACGAUCGUGGUAUAGAGUGAAUAGAGAGAGAGGGGGCUGUGUUAAACAGAAAGAUUGAAUGCUGUGCCGUGUAGAGAGAUCGAGAAGAAGAGAGAAGAUGGCGGCGCCUGUAGCAGAGCACGGGCUCAUAUUUAUAGGAGAGGGAUUACGGCAACUUAACGGCCGUUAUGACCGCAAAUUGCCUCUGUUAGAAUUAACCGAGAAGUCACGGGAUUACCUGCUGAUCAUCAGCAUCUGGGAAUCUUAUGAGUUUGAACAUCAAACAUGCAUGCUAAACUAUCCACUAAUAUAUAUAUAUAUAAACCGAAAGCUCAGUCAUUUAAACGAUAGCAUUCAGCGAUGAACAACAAUAACUUAAACAUGGAUGUAACUCAAAAUUUAUCUUCACCUGACAGCCAGACAUACGUAUGGUAAAUCGUAGUGGUAGAAGGUUAACAUAUGAGGCAAGUUCAAAGAACAUUUCUCUUUUAUACCAAAAAAAGAAAUAGCUGAACCGGAAGGGACUCACAGUUGAUUAGAGAAUGAGUAUAUCAAUCUAUCUGUGACAAUUUAAUUUAGGUAUACCAUAUGAUUCCAACCUUUAUUACACUAAAAGAUGGUCAUCCCAUCAUUAAUAGAAAAGAAAAAUAAAAUAAAACGGCAAAGUAAUUAAGAAAGAAGUAGAAUUUCAGCUCAACCUUAGGUCAGAAUAGUGUGAGCAUUCUAGAUUUGAUUCAUCUCGUCAUAACCUUCGAACAAGGUAUUAUACACUAGAAACAGACACAUGCGUCCCAAAUUAUGAUAUCCAAAAAUUAUCCUACUCAUGAUUAUCUUAGGUAACUAUCCUACAUUGCAAAUGAAUGUAAUAGCUACGUUUCAAAUUAAAUUCAAAACCAUAAAUUCAAGAGUUAAGUGUUUCUGAAUCAAAAUACCCUCUACGAAUUUUAUAAAUUGGCUUCUAAUUUCAUUAGCAAAAUACACAAAAUCCAAGUGAAUUUCCUCUUCUCUCCCAAACAGUUUUAACAUUUGGCGAUAGAGCUGACGACAAGCAUGAGUAAACAAUGUACAAUAGUGAUACGCAACAAUGAUCAAAGAAAAACAAAUCCUUGAAGUGUAACACCAUGAAAUGAAAAAAUAGGGCGUGGAACAAAUAUUUCUAAUAAUCUUGUUCAUCUUAACCAUAUUUUUUUCAGUGAAAAAUAUUAAUGGCAUCUUAUGUUAUAUUGUUUCAGUAAGAGAAAGAAGAAAAAAGAAAACAAAUCUCUUUCAUAGGGGCUUGACCAAUUUUUUCACGAAAAAUUGACGGCCGUUAUGAGUUCUGUAAAUGCCUCUGUUAGAUUUGAUGGAAAAGUCACGGGGUUACGCGAUGAUCAUCAGCGUCUGAAAAUGUUAUGAGUUUAAUUAGCCAAGAAGAAUUAACCUCCGCUUCAGAUCGAACGACUCCCAAGUAACUACAAACAUAUCACCUUUAUCCUUUUGGUUCCAUCUGCCCACGAAGCUUCAUAUACCUACAAAAUGUUUCUUAAAAUUUUAAGGAAAAAGGAUAAAUACACCCCCAACGUUUAGAUAAAAGGACAAAAGUCCCCCUAACGUUUUAAAAAAUACAUUUACAUCCUCAUUCUCUAACGGAAACAGUAACUUUUAACAGAAAUUAUUGUUAUACCCUUCUAGCAUAUAAAAAAUAUAUAUACAAGUUUAACUUGUGGUAUUAUACCAUAAAAUUUUAUUUAAAUUUUAAACUUGUAUAUUUAACAAUUCUCCACAUGUUAUCAUUUAAACUUGUAUAUUUAUAACUAAUUUUUUAUGUUAUUUAUUAUGGUAUUAAUUGAAAUACAAGUUAACAUUAAUAACCAAUUUUAUUUAUUUUUAUUCUUGAGUAAUGAAUUAAAUUUAUUUGGCUUGAAGAGGGAAUUUGAUAAAAAUUUAAAUAGAGGAAUUGGGUAAUGAGGAUAUAUUUAUAAUUUUAUUAAUAAUAUAUGGACAAAUUGGAUAAUCAACAAUUUUUUUUUAUAUGCUAGAAGGGUAUAACGGUAAUUUCUAUUAAAAGUUAAUGUUUCUAUUAGUGAAUAAGGAUGUAAAUGUCUUUUUUAAAACGUUAGGGGGUUUUUGUCAUUUUGUCUAAAUGUUGGGGGUGUGUUUGUCCUUUUUCCUUUUUUUAAUAAAUUAUAAUCGGACAGCUGGAUCAAAAUUUUCGACUGGGCAAAACGCAAAAUCUACCACGAGUGCUUCAACAACUUCGUUUCAUUUAAAUAUUUAUCAUUUAAUCAGAGUUUGACGAGCAGCGUCGAUGGAAAAUUGAUAGAAAUGAUCCUUACUUUUUUUUUUAUUAUACGAAUAGCAAAUAAAAUUUUCCUUUUUUCAGUUACACAGGUAGGAAAUAAAUUUAUAAAGUCUAGUAUCUACUGUUCGUAAUAUAUAGCAAAUGAAAAUUUUCCAUUUUUCAAUUACACGAACACAUGUAACUGUUUUGUAUAUACCUUUUUCUAGCGGCUUCAAAAAGUUUCAACCUUAUGGAAUGGCACAAUCUUUGUACAUUAUUAUUUUAAUUAAUAACAAGAUUACUGAUCCUGUGCGCCCGGUAAACACUGCUGUGAUUGAGGAAAUGGCGGUUGCUAUUGCUGACUCUUAUCAAAGGCCUUGAUAAAUCGACCAUUUCUUCACAUCUAACUGAGGCAUAAAAGGUAAAAAGCCUAGGUGUAGGAGAGAAAGCUACAACAUAUAUGACACAAAAUCAAUUUGGAUAGGCCUUGCUGAUCAUGUCUGUGAAUGAAGAAGAUUCACCUUGAUGCCAUAGCGUAGCAAAUUAUUAGGAGGCAGGAUGUAUAUGUCGCAUAGUUAAAGGGGGAUUCUAAAUCCUGAAGGGUACAAAGACUUAUGCUUUGAAGCUCAUCUCCCUAUCUAAAACAAGCGAGUUAAGUUCUAUUUGGAAUUGAGAUUGAGAAACUAUAACUUAAAAACUACUGCAUUAAAAUAUUAGGUAAACACUAACUGCUAUAGUUUGGAAAUUAAAUUAAUUUGAUUUUACACUUGUAUAAUGAAAAAUCUAUUAUAUCUUUACUAAUUUUGUCAAAAUUAUUAUUUAAAAGUUAUAGUUGCUACAUAUUGUUAACUUUUAUUUCUUCGUUAUAAUUUUUUUUUUUUUACAGUAGUUGUAACUUAAAAGCCGCUGCACUUUAAUACCAAAUAAGACCGUUGUUAACCAUUUUGAUAGAGUUUGACCAUCUAAUUGACUAAUUCCCCAAAAAAAAAAAAAAGGUAUGGUGGUUACCCGAAUUUUACGUCCACUUAACAUAUAAUUUUUUAGGGGAAGAAAGGGCGGGGUGCUAAUCAAAUUUUUGGAAAAAAAGAAAAAAGAAAAAGCACAAUACUUGUCAAAUCUCUAAAUAACCCUAUUGUUAAACUUUAAUAAUACACUACAAUAAAUGUAAUGUAAAUUAAGUAAUAAAAGAUUAUAGAAAGAUCAAAGAAAUAGGGUUGUAAAUGGGAUUAUUGUGAAAGAAUAAAGAGAGGAAUUCAAGCAAUAAAUAAGAGACACGCCAUACAGCCCAUGCUGUCCUUAUCGGUGUCAAGUUCAUUCUCAUUCAACACAGAGGGUAAACAAGCAAAAAUGUAUAUAAAACACAUGCAUAUUAUUAUUACUAUUAUUAUUUGAGAAGCACAUGCAUAUUAUUUAAUUAAACGUGUUAUUUGGAACUUGUUAAAUUGUUACCUUUGUAGGUCCUUGUGGACUCCAAAUUAAUUGUACGCCUUUUCAACAGAAAAAAGUGCAUUACAUAAUUUUUUCUUUUUUUACUUUAUUUUUGGAAUUUUUUGGAAAAAGCGAUGACUCAUGAGAAGAAGAAGAAUAGUAGAACACGUGGAACAGUCCAAAAAUAUUGUGUAUAAAUAAAUAACGCGGCUUCUGAGUUUUUGACAAUUUACCAUACGUUAAUAACGCUUGAUGAAAAUGUUGCAAUCAGGUAGUGUAGAAUCACUAAUAAAUGAAAUAUGCAAUAAGAAGAGUAAAUAUUAAUAACGCACCAAUAUUACAAAUCAAUAGCUAAGGAUCAAGUGAAAUUUCACCUGCAAAUUAGGACAGCCGAGGAAGCAUCCAUAAACAUAAGAGUAAUUAUACCACUCUGAAAUUUCAUAAGAGAGAAUUAGGACAGCAGAGAAAGAAAUACACAAAGCAAUUUGCAAAGGACAGAGGCAUAAACAUAAUAGUAAUUAUAAAAUUUCAGACUGUAAGAAAAAAGUAAAAAAUGUAUAAUAUUUUUCACAUUAGUCCGACGGUUCGUCAAUGUCUUUGUAAAAAGCAAAUAUUUUCAAAGGUAAAUAACACUCUCCCAAAUGUUUAAUCAAUAAUACAAUUUUUUUUUGAAGAGAUAACUACUGAUUAUAUAUUGAUUCUUCAAAAUAAUUACACAUUUAUCAUAAUAUUAUUUAUUUAUUUUAUAAUUGAUAUAGUACUUUAAAGAUAUUUGAAAAAUUUUUAACUUGACAAUGCUCCUUAAUCAAGGGUGAAGUUUAAAUUAUGUCACAAAAAGUGCUUGAACAAUAUUGAGCAAAGCGUUUACUUGUAUAACUCGAACUGGGGAGCAAACCCUUAAGUGGCUUGACUGAGUUUGCUCCCCAGUUUAAGUCGCAGGGAAGUCGCUUUUGUUGGAAAAACUUGUGCCUCUCGAUUCGAGCGGAGACUUCUAUUCUUGGUUGUGGUACGGACUUAAAGGUGCCUCCCAUAGUUGGGACCCUCCCCAGGAUACCUCGUAGUCAAAAACCAAAAAGAAUGCAUAUGAGGGGAUAAGAAGACUGAAGGUAUGAGUUUGACUAUUAUCACAAUAAUUUCUAUUUCAUAGAUUGAAAUGUGAACAUUAGUGUAUUUUGUGGAAUUUUCUCCGUUACUUUAUAAAAUUACUACAUGUACAUGGAUGAUUGCUUGCUACUGUGAAAGGCGAAACAUUUAAUUUGGAGAAAAUUCCUUCUAGACUGGUAGCAUGGGUCAUAGUUGCCCUAUCGACGAAGUGUUAUUAGCUAAAACCUAUUGCACAUGUCAAUGCAAAAUGGCUUCAAGGUUUCGCUGUAGAACUGAUGACAAGCUUCUGAAAACAACGUGCCAUAUUGAAACACAACAACAAUAAUGGCAGCACCAAUCCAUGCAGUGUAAAAAAUGAAAUGGCCAAUAUUAGAACACGGAAGUAGAUCCAGAGACAACAGCAAGGCCCCAGAACUGGAAAGAAUUUUCUGGAUGAAGUCGAGACUUGAGGUUAGCUGAAUGUGCAUAACAAUACGUGGUUAUGGCUAUAAAAAAAGACCAUAUAUUUAUGGGCUUAGUUUUGCUUUGCACAUUGGCACCCACAAUGCCGAUGAGAGCCGGAAUCAGAUAUUCAAAAAUGUUGGGAUAUGACAUCGACUAGAGGAGAUUUCGCCCACUGCAAAAUCAUUUAAAAUGAUAAAAUCAUCUUCUGCAUAUCCCAUUUUCUUUUAAAAAAAAAUUAAAAUUAAAUAGAUCUUGUAUUAAUUCCUCUCAAUUUGUUUGUCAAUUAUUUGUUUUUGACCGACACAAUUCUUCUCUAAAAAUUUGAGGGAGCACUUUUUAUUUGCACCCAAAUGUUUCAUCAAAAUUUUAUUGUAUACACACUUGUUUCAACAGCUAUCAUAGCUCACCCUUUUCUGUUAAAUAUUGUUUUUACCAAUAAUUUUGAUAUCUUGACGUUAAAAGACAAUUGUACCGUUAGUUGAAAUUUUUAAGUAUAAAAUCACCAAAAAAACCACAACACUAGUUUCAAAUUCCAAUUGACCUGUGUGGAUAUUAAAAUUUCUUAAAGGUUAAGAAAAAAAAGGUAAAAAUGCUUUCUUAUGGGAAUCAAAAUAUCCCCUAUACCAUCAUCCAUAACCGUCUAUUCAUGAUAACAAUUUAAUAAACUUGAAAAGCAAAAAAUCCAAUCCCAGUCAAUCAAUACAGCCAAUUUUCUUCAUAAAGUUUAGCUUUUACUUUAAAAAAUGCUAACUCUUGAGACACUAAAUAAAUAUUUAAAGUUACGUGUUUCUAUAACGAAAAUCUUCAAUUUACCCCUUUAAAAGUUUGAAAACAUUAAUUUACUUCUAUUUUCCAGUCAAAAAAUUAGAAUAAAUGGAGACAAGCUGAUGACAAACUUUUUAACUUCUUAGUGGUAUUUGAUAAAUAUAAAUAAAUUGAAAAUUAUCAUUGUAAGUAGGAAUAAGUUAAAACUUUUACUCCAUAUUUAUUGUGCUUUAAGAAGAGAAAGAAAGAAAACAGAAAACAAACCUCUUUUAUAGGAGGGUUAACAAAAUUUUCAGCAAGGACUUAACCAACUUUUUUCGCGGAAAUUAAAUUAGCAGAACAAAAAUAACAUACGACUUGAGUCAAUAAUGGUAAAGAAAAUGAACGUACACAGAAAAUGAACGUACACAUAAGGGUUUGGAUUUGGUUGAUGAAGAAUGCACUGAAAGCUUUGCAUUUGCUUAUAUAUCACAGCAAACACUGGAUUGAGUUCUCUUUUCCAGGGUAAAUAAGGUAGGGAACAGCAAAGCCGAUCAAUUUGAUAAAAAAAAAAAAGGGAGGGAAGGGGGGGGGAGAGAACUGCCACAGUAAGAACAUCUCAAUCAUCUCUGCUAAAAAAAGUUAUCUCGUGGCUGGGGCAUUUAUAUUUUCAUGUGCGCUGAUGCCGGGAGUUGAAACUGAGGCGGCGAGUCCUCGAGGCCUCUGCUGCAAGAGAGGACUCUGUUAAUUUCGCAAAAAUCUGACUUGGCAAAAUCCACUCAUACAUCAUUUGUCCCUUUGUUGUGAUGUUGAUGCAGUUUCUUUAUUUUUAUUUUUGCUUUUUGUUUUGAGCUCCCAGACAAAAGAGUGUUGAAAAUGAUCGAUUAAUCGGUUCCCCAUUCAAUUUCAAGGUCGAAAGGGAUGACAAGAUGUAUAUUUAGUAUGGUUUAUUUAAUAAUUAUAAAUAUUUGUUUAAUUUUAUGAUCUCUUAUUAAAAUUUUUGUUAUUAUUUAGUUAUUUUUUACAAAAUUUUUAAAGAUUAAAUAAGAUAUUUUAUUUCUAUUAAAAAAAUUUAAAUUUUAAGAUUUUAGAUGUAGAGAUUGAAUUUUUUUUUACAUGGUAAAAUAUUUAAAAUAUUAUUUAUUUAUUUGACAAUCUUAUUUUAUUUUUUUAUAACAUAAAUUUUAAAAAAUAAUUUAUAAAAAUAAUUUCAUAAUUUUUAAUAAAUAAAUUAAUUGAUAAUUAAAUAAAUAAAUUUUUUUUAGUAAAAAUUUUAUUUAUAAGAAUCUUAUUAAUAAAAAAUUUAUUUAAAAAAAUCCUAUUUGAAAAGAUAUUCGGAUCGAAUUUAACAUCCACAUCAUACCGGUACGAGACGUAAGAGGGUUGAAAAUAACGUUAUACACUCGUCAAGGCGCACCAAUCAAGUUCGAGGGGGACAGCGCCCAAUAGCUGAACUUAAAGGGCCCCGUGGGGAACUUAGGUGGUACAGCCCCAAUCAAAAUGCGACAAAUUUAUCAAACAACAUGAUUUUUCCAACGAGGAUAUUAGUUUUGUGUUUGUCACAAAUAGGUCCCUAACUUGGUGUAAUGACUAAGAAUUAACUGAAACAAAAUAUCUUAAUUCUGUAUUUAAUUUUUAUUAAGAAUUAAUUGAAAAUUUAUGAUAUUUUCUUAAUUUUUGCCACAAUUUUUUAAUUAAUUAUAAUUUAAAAAUUUAUUAUAUUAAAUACAUAAUUAAAAGUAUUCAUAUUCCCAACAUCAAACAAUCACUAAGGGUAAAAUGGUAAGAUUAGUAAAAAAAAUUGAUACUCAAAGGGGUUUGGAUGUGUUUUUAAAAUACCAAGGGAGUUUCGGUUAGUUUUGUCAAACAAUAAGGGAGUUUUGCUCUUUUUGUUUCUUUUGUUUUUGUUGUUCAUAGUCGAUAAUGGAUUUGAAAUAGAAAAUAAUUAUAAUUUAUUUUUUCAUUCACUCUCUAAUUAAUUCAAUGGUGCUUAGCAACUUUUGUUUCAGUUUAUGAGCAAUUGGGUGAUAUUUUAUGCCAUGUUCUCUAUCGAGAUGAUGUAACUUAAAAGUUAGGAAAAAAAAGUUGUAAUUAUAAUAUUAAAUUAAUAGUUUGUAAUAAAUAUGACUUUUAAUUAAUAAUUUUGACAAAGAAGUAAUAGACUCUGACAGUAGCGGACCUACAACUGGGCAAGGCCGGGCGUUAGCCCAGUCUAGUUCCAAAAAAAAUCAUUUAUAUCGCUUAUGCUUUAAUUAAUUUUAUAUAUAAGUAUAGAUUUUUUAUUUUGUUUUCAUAUAUAUUCCUAAUUUAGUUAGCCUUAUAUUUUCAUCAAUUUCAUAUAAUAAUAGAGUUUUUAUUUUAUUUUCAAAUAUGUCCCUCAUUCAAUUAUAUAUAUUUUUUCAAUUGAAAUUAGUUACUUAUUUUAUAAAAUGAUUAAAUCAUAUGUUUAUUGAAUAGAUAGAAAACAGUAAGGGUCUAAAAUAUUAUUGGUGCUUAAAUUUAUUUUCAAAAAUUCUAAUUGAAAAAAAAAGUAUGUCAACGUAGUAAAACAUUGUCACUAGUAUUAAAAGUACUUAAAAAACAUAUAGUAACAACUAUCAACAUUUUCAUAAACUUUUUAUGUGAAUUUUGAGAUUUUAUUUAUUAUUUACAUUAUCUAAGAGGACAAGUUAGAAAAUAAAAUUUGAGUAUUUUUAGGAGUUUUUGAUAGAAAAAUCAUCAGCAUUUGGUUUUUUAGAGAGAGUCAGAGUGCUUGGCAAAGAAAUAACGACACCUAAAUACCUUUUUGCCGCUAGAUUGAGUUUAGUUUAUUAUUGAAACUUUUGACUAAUAAUAUUUUUAUAAUUUAAAAAGAUGAAUAAAUUUUAAUUUUUUAAAUUUAUUUAAGCCUAGUAAUUAAGUAUUUUUCAAAUAUAAAAGGUCUACUUAAAUUUUUUAAUUAAUUGCAAUUAUAGGUAUUGAUGAAUUUUAUCUUGAAAUUCUUAAUUGAUUUAUGUAAUUGCAUGUUAUUAUAGGUUCCACUGUUAGAUUCCAUAAACAAAAAGUAGUGCUUUAUACUAGAAUUGUCUUUUAAUUCUACCAUUUUUCUAUAAUUAUUUUUGUUUAGAGUACUGUGUUUAUAGGGUUUUUCGUUUCCCCUUUAUUUGAUGCACUUCUUUCUACCUAUGAAUAUUUAUGUCACUUCAAAAUAUAAAAUUUUUAAUUUAACCCGGAAUAACAUAAAGUCUUGGGUCCUCCCCUGGACCAUGAGCUGAAUGUGCAUAAUAAUAUACGGCUGUGGCUAUUAAAAAAAAAAAAAACCAUAUAUCUGAUGAGUGUGUUUCAAGCAAGGGCGCAGUUUGACUUGCAUAUUUGCACCAUCAAUGCCAAUUGGAGCCAAAAUGAGAUAUCCAAAUAUGUUGGAAUAUGACAUCGAGCAAAAGAGUUUUGGCCCACUGCAAAAUCAUUAAAAUGAUUAAUCUUCUUUUGUAAAUCUCAUUCACUUGGAAAAAUUUAAAUCAUUUGCUUUUGAUUGAGUUUUGUCCAUUAAUUUGAAAUUUUUGGCAAUUACUAGACUAAAAGAUAAUUUUGCCCCUCAUUUGAAUCUUUUAAGUGUUAAUAUCAUAAAACCAAUUGACUUGUGUGGAUAGAAAAUAAGAAAUAAAAGUUUUUCUAUUUUUUUCAGAAUAUCUCCAUCUACCUGACUCAAACUUGCGCCCGUCAAUUUAUAGGUGCACCCGUGCGGAUACGAAACCCGUUUGUUUUCUCAAAGGUUUAAAAAAAAAAAAAUUGAUUUGGGAUUACUUAGUCUUAUAUGAGUCGAUUACUCCAAUAACAGAUGAAUCCAAAAAUCUUCUCUACCUUUAUCUUGCUUUUUUAAAAAAUCUAAUUUUUGAGACCCCAAGGUGGCAUUUAUUUUUUAAUCUGAAAUAUAAAUAGUUCUGAAUUAGUCUAAAUUCUAAAUAAAAUUGAAUAUCUAAUUCUGAAUGAUUUAUUUUUUGUCUAAAUUGUUAAAAAUAAAUAUUAAUUUUUUUUGUAUUUUUAACUUAAAAAAUCUGAAAACUAAUAUUUUUACAUUUGUGCCUUUACGAAUUAUUAAUGUAAACAAAUAAUAAGCAUAUCAAAGAACUUAAAUAAAAUAAUAUAUUAUCAUGAGAUAAAUCAUGUUCAAUUGAAUACAACCCCUUAUAUCGUAAAUUAGUAUAUGUUAAUCAAUUUUAUUGUAGUUCAUGAUGUUUUAUAUGAAAAUAUUCAUAGGAAUAAUGAAGAUAAAUAAUGCUAAUUUGAAGAAAAUAAAAAAAUAAAAAUAAUAUUAGUCUACCACUAUGCUAUCACAAGUUAUAGAGAUUGGUAAUAAUGCUAAUUAUUAAAUUUUAUUUAAGUAAGGAUGAAAAUUAAUUAAUUAGAUAGGGAUAUUUUGGAGAAUAUCUUUUAAUGAUAUCAUUUAGAUUUUUAGAUAAAACAAAAAGUUGAAAAAAUUGGCUUAAUAACUUAAUGACUUAAUGACUAUAACUUUUAAUUAAGUUAAAGAAAACGGACUUAAUGACUUAUCUGAUUGAAAUUAAGUCAAUUAAAUCAUUAAGUCAAAAAGAAAAAAAAAAAAAAGAGCCCCUAAGUUAAGGUUGGUCAAAUGCUGCUAAAUAUAAUAACAAAAUAUUAUAAGAUACAUAUUUUCUUUUUAAUAAAUUGAAUAUAUGUAUAACCUUAAAACUAAUUCUUAGGGUUAUUUGGGAAUGUUGUAGCUUUUAAAAUAAUUAAUGUUAAUUGUGUUGUAGAAAUAAUCAGUUGUGAAGAGAAUCAGUUAAGUGUUUGAUAAAUUUUCUUUUCAGAAGUACUGUGAGUUUUAAAAGCAGUUAUGGAUGUUUGAUAAAUUUUACUAUUAAAUUGCUAUGAGAAAACAAACGACUAUAAUGUAUAUAAUGUAGAAUAAAAUUUAUUUAUACGUAUAAAAACAUGUACAUAUAAUAUUUUUAAUUGUGUAUUAUAAUAGUUUUUACUAAAAAUAAAAUUUAUAAUAUAUUGAUUUUAUUUUUAUCUUAAAACAAUUGAUAAUUAAAUUUAUAAUAUAGUGAAAUAAAUUUAAUAAUAAUUCGACUAACAAAUUGAUAUUAAUAAAUUGAUAUUGAUGAAUUAUAAUAAAAAUUUAUUAAAAUAUUAAUUCUGUUUCCAAUUUGAAUAAGGAUAAUUUUGGGUUUAGGUAAUAAUUUUAAGGAUAUUUAUGAAAUUGUAUUAAAGGAUUAAAUUGAUUCUCAAAAUCAGAAUCUAAAAGCUACUCAUUCCCUACUUUUCAAAAUCAGCUGUAAGAGGGACUGAUUUUGACAAAAGUGAUUUUAAUUUUCUGUUACACCAAACACUAAAAUUAGAUUUUAGAUUUUUAAAAUCACUUUUAAAUCCCCCAAAAGUAAAUCCAAACGGGCCCUUAAUGCUUUAUUGGAAAAAUAUGUAGUUUAUAUGUAGAUAAUAUAUAUUAUACUUAAUUGUUAGGGUUUGAAAAGGAUUGGGAAAAAAAAUGUAAAUUAAAAGGAUUGGGAAAAAAAAGUCAAUUAUGGAAGCCAUUUAUGUUUUGCAAUUGGCGAAGACAGAAAAUUUUUUUUGGGUGGGCUAAAAAUUUUUUCCAAGUCCAUAUGUGAUCUCAAUUAAAGAUAUAAAUCUUAAAAGGAAGUUUCAUUAAUACAUAAGAAAAUACAUCAUAUCUAAGAAGCAAUUAAAUUACAAUUAAACACUACUUAAGUUGUGCCUUACCAUACUUUCGGGAGUUAAACUCAUAUAUUAUCGAGUAUAGACAUCAUUACCUUUGUUAGUGAAUUUGUGAUUGAUUCUUUUAACUUCUUUUAUAGUUUUCUCUUGUUUCGAUUGCAACGAUUGAACGAGUAUAGACAUCAUUUCAAAAUCAUACUGUAUUGUUGUCCACAAAUUCUCUUUCAAUGUAGACAACAAUACAGUAUGAUUUUGAAAUGAUGUCUAUACUCGUUCAAUCGUUGCAAUCGAAACAAGAGAAAACUAUAAAAAGAAGUUAAAAGAAUCAAUCACAAAUUCACUAACAAAGGUAAUGCAACUGUCAGUCCAUCACUAUGACACAUUGAUAUUAUCCAGAAGUCAGGCAAUAAGUUUAAUUAACAAAUUAACAUUAUAUAAUAUACUGGAUCAAAUCUAUGAUCUACCUAUAUCAAUGAUCAAUUUAGCCAUUUAAAAAUUUGAAUGAUAGAAUUCAAUGGCUAAAUUAUCUUCAUUUGAUCUUACACAAUGAAAUUGGAACAACAAUUAAAGAGUAUGAUUUUUAGUCUUUAUUACCUUAUAAUUAAUAAAUAUAUUGUAAAUGAUUGAAUAAAAAUAAAUCUAUUAUCUAUUCUUACCAAGAAGAAGGCGAAGAAAAAAAAAAAUCGUGUUUGAAAUCUCGAAUGAAGUAAAUGCUCACUAUUUAAAUUUAUUUAUAUGAUGACAAAGUUGUAAAUUAAUAGAGUGGUACAAUUGUAAAUAAGAUAGUGGCAUAGUUUCAAUUUUGUAAAAUUUGGACAGGCUAUAGUCCAUCUCAGUCCACACGUAGCCUUGCCACUAGGGAUGGCAAUGGGGAGGGGAGGGGAGGGGACCAAUCUCCCCGUACCCAUCCCUGAUAUUUUGCGUAUGUCUCCGUCCCCUCCUCAUCCUUGUCAUAAUUGUUUGAGAGAAUCUUCAUCCCCUCUCCGAAUAAUAACAGGAGAUUCCCGAUGGUCCCCGAUCCCCGAAUAACUAAUACAUAUAUUUUUUUUGAGUUAAUUAUAUUAAAAUAAAAAAUUCAAACAAAAGUAAAGUUCGAAAUAUAUUUUACAUUAACAUUGAUCCAUUAUAAAAGUCACAUGCAAAAUACAAAUUAUCAAAAUAAUUAUCUUUGUCAAUCUUCAUAAUCCUACAAUAAAAAGAAAAAGAAUUUACUUUUAUAUCGACAAUAAAAUAAAUGAAAUAAAUGUAGAUACUUAAUUAAUAUUUUUAAUAAAACAAAAUUAAAAUUAAAACAAAAUUUUUGGGCUAAUAAAAUCUACCCGGCCUUUUUAAUGUCCUAAAUAAAAAUUUAAGACUUUAAUUAGUUAAUUAAGCCUAAAAGUUUAAUAAUAUGAAUAUUUUAAUAUUUGUUACUUUUACCAAUAUUUAUAAUUUUAUAAUAUAAUUCAAAUAUUAGUAUUUAUUUACUAGUAAUUUUAAAAAAUAAAAUUAAAAUUAAAAAUUAAAAAUUAAAAUAGGAAAAUAGGGAGGGGAUGGGGAUUCCACAUCAUCCCCGCCCCUUCCCUGAAUAAGAAACUGGGUAAGAAAAUUUCCUCAUCUCUUCCCUGAAUAAGAAAUUGGGUAUAGAAUUAUCUCCGUACUCUCCCCGAAUGGGAAAAAUCCCCGAGGGUACCCGUCUCCGUGGGGAUUUUUGCCAUCCCUACUUGCCACCGGUAUAAACAUGGAGAAUAGUUUAUAAAUCCACUAAGCUUAAUUAAAGUAAAAUACUUGACAUUAGGAAAUUUCCAAUAAUCUUGUUCAUCUUAACCAAAUUCUUAAAGUGAAAAGGAUUAAUGGUACCUUGUGUUAUUUUGCUUUAGUAAGAGAAAGAAGAAAAAAGAAAACAAAUCUCUUUCAUAGGGGCUUGACCAAUUUUUUGUUUCACGCAAAAAUUGACGGCCGUUAUGACCGUAAAUGCCUCUGUUAGACUUGACGGAGAAGUCUGGGGGUUUACGCGAUGGUCAUCAGCGCCUGGAAAUUUUAUGAGUUCAAUUAGUCAAAAAGGAUUGAUCUUCGCCUCAGAUGGAACGACUCACAAGUAAUUCUUUUGGCUCGUACCGUCCACGAAGCUUCAUAUUCCCACAAUGUGUUUCUUUUUUCUUUUUCUUUUUAAUAAAUUAUAAUCAGAGUUUUUGAUGGAAAAUUUUAGAAAUGACCCUUACUUUUUUCGGUUACCCGAAUAGCAAAUAAAAUAUUCCUUUUUCAAUUACACAGGUAAGGAAAUAAAUUUAUAGUCUAGUAUCUACUGUUUGUAACACAUAGCAAAUGAAAUUUUCCUUUUUUCAAUUGCACAAACAUGUAAUUGUUUUGUACAUACCUUUUCUAGCGGCUUCAAAAAGUUUCAAACCUUAUAGAAUCGGUGCCGAAGCUAAAAUCAUUUUUUUGGAUGGGUUAGAUUUUUUUUAAAAAUGAAACUUAUUUCUGAAAUUUUUUUUAUACAAACAAAAUUAAGCACACUAUAAGCAAAAAUCUAACCACAAAACUAAAAAAAAAAAAUACAAUGUAAAUAAGAAAAAUAUUAUCAAAUAUUAAAUUUAUUUUUAUUUUUUUAUAAAUAUUAAAAAGUAAAUUUAUAAAUUAUAAUUUUUUUUUCAAAAAACUGCCCGGGUUAGCCUACCUUUUAACUUUGCCUCUGUAUGGAAUGGGUCAAACUUUGGGUUAGUAUUUUAAUUAAUAAGAAGAUUACUGAUCUUGCGUGCGGUGUGCCCGAUAAACACUGUUGUAAUUGAAGAAAAAACGGUAUUGCUAUUGCUGACUCUUAUCAAAGGCCUCGAUAAAUCAACCAUUUCUUCACAUCAAACUGAGGCAUAAGAAGUAUGGAGCCUAGGUGUAGGAGAGAAAGCUAUAACAUAUAUGACACAAGAUCAAUUUGGAUAGACCUUGCUGAUCAUGUCUGUGAAUGAAGAAGAUUCACCUUGAUGCCAUAGCGGAGCAAAUUAUUAGGAGGCAAGAUGGACAUGUCACAUAGUUAAGGGGGAUUCUAAAUCCCGAAGGGUACAAAAGCCUAUGCUUUGAACCUCAAAGCAUUAGGAGGCAGGAUGGACAUGUCACAUAGUUAAGGGGGGUUCUAAAUCCUAAAGGAUACAAAAACUUAUGCUUUAGUGUCUAACACAAGCAAGUUAAAUUCUGUUUGAAAUUGAGGUUGAGAAACUGUAACUUAAAAACUAAAGCACUAAAGUGUUAGGUAAACACUAACGUUGUAGUUUGGAAGUUAAAUUAAUUUAAUUUUAUAUUUAUAUGAUGAAAAAUUUAUUAUAUCUUUAUUAAUUUAUCAAAAUUAUUAUUUAAAAGUUGUAGUUGUUACAUACUGUUAACUUUAAUUUCUUCAUUAUAGAUUUUUUUUUUUUUUUUUUUUACAACGGUUGUAUCUUAGAAGCCAUAGGACUUCAAUACCAAACAAGACUUUCAUUAACCACUUUAAUAGAGUUAGACUAUCUAAUUGACCAAUCCAAAAAAACAAAAAAGUUUGUUGGUUACCAGAAUUUUACGUUCUGUUAACAUAUAAUUUUUUAAGGUAAAAAAAGAAGGGGUGCUAAUCAAAUUUUUGGGAAAAAAAGAAAAAGAAAAAAGUGCCGUACUUAUCAAAUUUCUAAAUAACCAUGUUGUUAAAUUUAAAUCAUACACUACAAUAAAUGUGAUGUAAAUUAUGUAAUAAAAGAUUAUAGAAAGAUCAAAGAAAUAGGGUUAUAAAUGGGGACUCUACCAUGUUACAAUUGUGAUACCAUAUCACACAGUAUUUAUUUUUAUCCCAUAAAACCGUUGGAUUUAAAAGCAAGUGAUCUGACACGUGAGAGGUAGCCACGUUUGUCUCAAAACAUACCGGAAAAGUCGGUUAAGAAAAGGUAAAGUCACCGGUAGCAAAACUCACAGUUUUUGUCUUACCUCUCUCAAAAUGCACGGUGACUGUACGCAUCGCCAGCUCUCUCAAUACUCACGGUGACUGUACGCAUCGACACCUCAAAAUCUCUAAUGGAGCUUCUCUAUCCUGGCCGUCUCGUCCAACACCAAAAGACCAAGUAUCGCUGGCGCCGUCAUUUGGGUAUAAUGGGUUUCAAUUUUGAACCAAUAGAAGGAAAUUUUGUGAAAGAGAGAGGGGGAGGGGAAUUCUCAAAAAUUCGUCAGCCAUGGAAGGCUUGAUAUUCUUUUCUUAAAUCUUAAAGCAUUUCAGAUAUUUGGGUCGUUGUGAUUUUUAUUUUGUCAUGAUGAAUUUUUUUACUUUGGAUUUGUCUCAUUGAAAGGUUUAUUUUAUUUUUAUUUUUUGUGGAUCAUUGAAGUUGCUAUUUUUGGUAUUAUAAAGAUGGGUUGUUUGCAUGCAUUGCAAGAAUAUUGACCUGUUAUGCCAUGUUUGUCAAUUUCAAUGAAAUCUGAGGAAACCCAUUUGCCUGGUUUGUUCAAGGAGCCUUCAGAUUUGUGAGUCAUUGUGUAGUGGGUUUACAAAAUGGUUUGUUGUUGAAAAUGCUUUGGUUGUGACGGGUGAAAUGGUGCCGAAGAUAAGUUGGUUUGAGCACUGGAGUAAUCCUUUUUUUUUUUAAUGUAUGUAUAUAUAAAAAGGAAGAAAUAUCAAGUUUCAUAUACAGUGUUACUUGUUUUUUAUGGCUCAUACAUCGUUUACAUGCCCUCUUUUUCCUUUCAACCAGAAAAUAUCCACAGCGGCUGUAUAUUGUAUGUGGUUCUUUAGCCAACAACAAUAUGUUAGUUUGAUCAUGGAAGUAUAAAUUGAAAAGUGGCAUAAUAUUUUUGUUUUAACCUUUAAUUACCACUUUUCAGUGAGGUGUCUAUUUUGCUUGCUCGUUCAUUUUUUUAUGGGAUUUCGUGUUUGAUCUAGUUUGACAUGCAUUAUAUACAAUUAUCAAUUUUACCAUGAUUAGAGUUUCAUAAAUUUCUUGAAGUGUUUUGUGUUAGGAUCGGUUUAGAAGUGUUAAUUUGUGAUAGACAGCACAUGCAUGAGCCACGAAGAAUGCAUGAGCCACGAAGAAUGCAUGAGCCACGAAGAUCUGGAAGAAUGCCAAAGCCAAAUCCUAAGUUUGGUACGUGAGGGCAUGAGUCCCAUGCAAGCCAUGCAUGAAACAUGCAUGUGCUGAGAUCGUGAAGAUACGUGCUGGGGCUGGAGCCGUGAUCUAGGAAUACGCUUAUCAACGAUUGUGCAGCGAGUAAGGAGGGAAGAUAAGACACGGAAGUUGUUUUCGAUUAUCUUUCGGUUUCGAAUUCUUAGCUAAGUUGUUAUACUCGUUUAUUUAGCCGUAAUUGUAGGAUGGAAACCAAAGUCUUGUUAUUAUAAAUAAGCUCCAGAAUAUGAAUAAAAGUAUUGAGAAUUCUAAACAAUAAUUAUUUGGUCCUUUCUCGCCAUAAGCAGAAAAAUAUCACUUGUGUUACGCGUGAUCAUUGGCUGUCUCUGACUGGGACCUAUCAAUUGGUAUCAGAGCGGGUUAACAAUGAUGACCAACAAAGAAUGUAUUGAGCGAAUUGAAGUUGAUCUGAAAAGCAUGGAGAGCCGAAUGGAACGCAUGGAGAUUGGGAUCAAUGACAAGCUUCAGCGAUUAGAAGACACCAUCAGCAAAUUAGCAGAAGCUUUCAAUGCAUCCAAAGACACCACUAGCCACGGCACCAACGAAACCAUUGGUUCACCGCAGCCAAUUCGAGAAGAAAGUGAAGGAGUAGUGAAGCUGCACGGUAUGCCCAAGUCAAUCAUCAGCGAUCGUGACCCCAUAUUCAUCAGCAAAUUUUGGCAAGAGUUCUUUAAUUUAUCAGGCACCAAACUCAAAAUGAGCUCGGCGUACCACCCACAAACCGACGGCCAAACGGAGGUAAUUAAUCGAUGCUUGGAACAGUACUUGAGAUGUUUUGUUCACCAGUGGCCGCGAAAGUGGCACUCUUUUUUACCGUGGGCAGAAUUUUGGUACAACACCACAUUCCACGUCUCCACCGGAAUGACUCCAUUCCAAGCUUUGUAUGGAAGACCACCUCCAGCCGUGCCCAUGUAUCAACUUGGUUCCUCGCCGGUGCAUGAGGUUGAUCAAGCCUUACAUUCGCGUGAUGAACUGCUCUUACAAUUAAAGAAAAACUUAGCCACAACAGCUAACAGGAUGAAGCAAACAGCUGACAAGGGUCGCCGCGACGUUGAGUUCACAUAGGGAGAUAUGGUGUUAUUAAAGUUGCAGCCCUAUCGGCAGACUUCAGUGUUCAGAAGGGCACAUCAGAAAUUAGUUUGCAGGUACUUUGGGCCGUAUUUAGUUCUUCGCAAAGUUGGAGCCGUUGCCUACGAACUACAAUUACCAGAGAAUGCUCGAAUUCACCCGGUGUUUCACGUCUCUUUGCUUAAGAAAGCCGUGGGCGAUUUCCUUAGCAACAGCGUCGAUUUACCACCUGUGGAUGAUGAAGGCUCGGUGAUCAUGGACCCUGAAGCUAUCCUUGACACACGUUGGGUGAAGAGAGGAGGUAAAGUGAUUGAGCAGAAUCUAGUCCGUUGGAAAAAAAUGCCGGCUGAAGAAGCAACAUGAGAGGACACCACAAUGUUGCACCAACAGUUUCCCAAUCUGACCCUUGAGGACAAGGGUAUUCUUCGAGGGUGGGGCAAUGAUAGACAGCACGUGCAUGAGCCACGAAGAUCUGGAAGAAUGCCAAAGCCAAAUCCUAAGUUUGGUACGUGAGGGCAUGAGUCCCAUGCAAGCCAUGCAUGAAACAUGCAUGUGCUGAGAUCGUGAAGAUACGUGCUAGGGAUGGAGCCGUGAUCUAGGAAUACGCUUAUCAACGAUUGUGCAGCGAGUAAGGAGGGAAGAUAAGACACGGAAGUUGUUUUCGAUUAUCUUUCGGUUUCGAAUUCUUAGCUAAGUUGUUAUACUCGUUUAUUUAGCCGUAAUUGUAGGAUGGAAACCAAAGUCUUGUUAUUAUAAAUAAGCUCCAGAAUAUGAAUAAAAGUAUUGAGAAUUAUAAACAAUAAUUAUUUGGUCCUUUCUCACCAUAAGCAGAAAAAUAUCACUUGUGUUACGCGUGAUCAUUGGCUGUCUCUGACUGGGACCUAUCAAUUUGUGAAACUUAGAAAAUUUAUUUAUACAAUGCUCUAUAUUCUCUCUUUAUAAUUUGUGAAGAAACAGAAAAAAGAGGGAAGUCGUGUUUGUAUUCUCUGAAAAAGAAAACAACCUGAUCCCACCCUGACCUACCCCCAUCGGCAGCAGUAUGGACCUAUAAAGUUCAUCCAACUACUUCGAUAGAAUUGUUAUUGAACCCUUGAUUGACAUGUUUGACUUUCUGGGUAUUUGUAUUUUUCUAGUUUUUUUUUCUUCUUAUUUGUGCAUUUCUCAUUUAAUAGAAUGCAAGAAUGAUGAUUUUUUUUUCAGGGGCUUGAUAGUGAGCAUCAGCAAAAUCAAGUUACGUAGUUGAAUCAAAGAUAUCGCAGCUAUUGGUUAGCUGGGAGCUGUUUUUAUCUAACCGGCCUGGAAGCUCAUAAUCCAAAUCCAUUACGAUUCAUUGUUUUUAUCUACAUGUGGAUUAAUACAUCGGAGCAUCAGUUAGUUGCUGUAAAUUAGUUUAUGAAUUAUUUAUUGAUUGGUGGAACAAUAUCUAAAUGAAACUUUUGACAAAGACACUCUUCUCAGUAUCUAAAUGCAACUUUAUCUAAACAAUAUAAACAGACACGUUAGUAACUUCUCCAAUUAACUCCACUGCAUGUAUCUUGUCCAUCUUCAACCCUGAAUGCUUAAGUUCACAGAGAUCUUCGAACUUUUGACAGGCAAUGCCGCCCUCAAAACAAACCCCAACCUAUACGCAUGUAAAUAUAUUUGGAUUUAUCAUCUGUAUACAGCAAAACAGAUUUUGCACCAAAAUUGAUAAGUAAAUUUUAUAUAUACUAGCAUCAUGAAUCAAAAAGCAAAGGAAAAUAAGCCAAUAUCAUUUAUUUGUGGGUGUGUGUGUGUGUAAUAGUUUACCAAAUGAAAGCACCAUUAGUAAAUUUGAAAAAGAAAAAAAGGAAAAAGGAAUUUCAUGCAAGAAUUGGAAUCCAAAAUGUAAUGGCUCAGUCAGUCUGGAGUCAUUUUAUUGUCGGUGUUGUAUAGUGCCAUAUUAAAGAACAAAGCACUAGUAAGAGAAAAAAGCAUCCCUCACACAACAAACUCCAUUUGUCAUGUUCUAUAGUUCCCCACCCAUUUAAACAACACAUAAAUUGAUAUAAUAAACUUAAAACUUACCUUAAAGAGUAAAAUCUGCACUUAAACUCCACCUACCUGAAGUCCCUAUCAUCAUAGAGAGAUUUAACUGAUAUUGGUUCCAUUAUGUUUGCACAAAGAAUUGCUUUUGUACAUUUAACUUGCUUCUUCAGUUCAGCUGUAGCCUUGGCAAACUUCCUCAAGUCUCCCCAUUAUCAAUUUGUUUAUUGAGCUCAUCUGCAAAGUAUUCAAGCAACAAUAAUCCAUGUUCUGACUGCCAAGUUCUGCAUCUCAUCUAAUAUCCUUAACCUGCAAAAUUGUCAAAUAUCAACUAGCGUCUAAAAGUAAUUAGAUAUGUAAAACAUAACAAGUGGCACAUAAAGAUUGUAUAGAGCACAGAUGAAGUGAAGAAAAAAUAAUGCUACGGGAAUAAUGACCACUCAACUGAUAUUGCAUGCUUAUAUCGCAAAAUUAUUUAGUCACAGAGUACUACAAAUACUGACAAAUAGCUUAUGGAUCCAUCAUACUGGCUAUCAAAUACUAUUGUGCUAACUAUGUUAUCAUCGGCUUCCAAUGCAUGAUUGCAGCUCUUUAAAUCACUAGAUUUCCGCUUACGAGCCCCCGCUGGCCUCAUUCCUGUAAUGAAAUUACAAAAUCAUUUAUCGUUUCCAAUCUCACAUUCUCUGAAUCUAAUAAAUAAACAUACUGUUCUUGCAAGCUAAUUACAAGUUUUAAAUCUUUUAAAAUAAAUAAUAAUAAGUACGGGUUUUAAUAAGGAAUUAACUACUGCAUCGGUUGAUUCGAUCCGCACAAGAACAGAUCAAAGCGACCCGAAAUUUACUCUGAUUUGAUAUAUACCUUAACUUUCAGCACUGCUUAACUUUCGAUUGUACUUUGCAGCGACGAUUAUAAUUUCACCGUCAAUUGCCCAAAAGUGAAAGGUCAUAUUCGUGUUCUAAUCACCAGAAGUUUUUAAAUCCCACAAAAUUGCAAUCCUCCAAUUCUAAUUUUAUUUCUUAAUUAUUGUCUCGAGAUCAAUUUUGUGCUGAAAUCAGUGAAACUCUAAUCAGUUCUAAGAAAUUUCCGGAACCCGCGCUCACUGAGCUGUUAUUAUAUUAAUACUCAACCGGCUGCAACGGUUGCUAGUCACUGCAUCAAUUAUCCAAUAUUUAAUUUCAGCCGUUAUAUCGAACAAGGAAACAUCCAACGACUUUGUUGAAUGAGGGCAAAAACUGUGAUAUGGUACCACAAUUGUAACGUAGACAGACCCUAUAAAUGGGGUUAUUGUGAAAGAAUAUAGAGGGAGGAAUUCAAGCAAUAAAUAAGAGACACGCCAUACAGCCCAUACCGUCCUUUUCUGUCAAGUUCAUCAUUCUCAUUGGACACAGAGGGUAAAGAAGCAAAAAUGUAUGUAAGACACAUGCAUAUUAUUUAAUUAAACGUGUUAUUUGGCACUUGUUAAAUUGUUCCCUUUGUAGGUCAUUGUGGACUCCAAAUUAAUUGUACGCCUUUUAAACAGAAAUAAGUGCAUUACAUAUUUUUUUUAUCUUUUUUUACUUUAUUUUUGGAUUUUUUUUUUUGGAAAAAGCGAUGACUCAUGAGAAGAGGAAGAAGAAGAAUAGUAGAACACAUGUAAUAUCAGUUCUUUUUUUUUUUACUUUUUACUUCUUUCUUUGAAUUUUUUUUUUUAAAUUUUUAUCAUCCAUUUUGUGUCAUUGGAGUCCAAAAAUAUUGUGCAUAUAUAAAUAAUGCGGCUUCUGAGUUUAUGACAAUUUACCAUGCGUUAAUAACGCUUGAUGAAAAUGUUGCAAUCAGGAUUAUUCUUUUAUUUUGUCAAGUUACACUGUUCAAUGUUCUCACUGUAAGGUUGACUUCAAGGGAUGAAAUCGUUUAGAUUAAAAAUAAAAAUAAAGGAAAUUCAUUCUCUUCAAUUUUUUAUUUUAUUUGUACUAAUGUUACAAAUAAAAUAUCAAAUAAUUAUUGAAAUUAGUCUAUAUUAACUCAUAUACUAGGAAUGUCUAUCUACUUACAUUUUGUAAGGAAAAAGACUCUCCACUUAAUGUAUUUUUCGAGUGCCUGGCUACCUUAUUCCUAUGUGCUUCAGUGGGAUGCAAUAACUUUUGCUGAUAGCCUAAUAGGCCCUACAAAUCAUAAUUUAGCAUAGAGAAAUGUUGUUACAUGUUUGUUGGGAUGAUAAAAAAGUCCGGGCCAACUCUGUUCAUUUCUGUGGACUUUUGCUGGAAUUUCCCACGUGAGGGCUUGGACAAGGGUUAAAGGAAAAAAACUUAGACUAGGUCUAAUCCCUUUAUUUUAAAAAAUAUAUAAAAAUUAAAAUAAAAAUAAAAAAUGGAAAAAUGAAAAAAGAAGGCUUAAAUUCCAAAUUCAUUUAUUGAUAACGAUAAACAAAAAUUUAAAAUUAUAAUACUAAAUUUUUUUUAAGUGUUAAUUAAUUAAGAGAGUACUUGAAUUAGAAAAUUAAAUACUAGAAAAUUAAAUCUCUAAAUUUUUAUUUGCUUUAUUUAAUAUUUUAUUUUGAAAUAUUUAUUUUCUUUAAUUCAUUGUUGAUUAUAACAACUUGAUUAUUAUUAACUCAUUUUAAGUUUACAACAAUUUAAAAAAUUUUGAAAAAAAAAAGUGAAAGCCCAAGCCCGACCCAGCUCCGUAUGGGCUCGGCCCUUACAUUUCCACUCUAAUGGCCUUGGGCUUGGGCUUGAAAAAACCGAACAUGCUCACAUUUUGCUAUCCUUGCCUGCAUGUAAGUUCAAAGUUGCAAAUUGAUGAAGUGGAAAUAUAGAAGAUUGAUAGAUUAGAGAAACUAAGUUUCUUAAUAAUAAAAUUUUAUUAGAAAAGUCUAAAUGAAUAAAACGAUAGCCUACCCCUUUUAUACUAAUCCCAAACAUCGAGAAUUUAUCAAAAUAGUAAAAUUCAAAAUAUUGUUUUAUAAUAAAAUUCUCCUAAUCUAAAUAAGAAAAACAAAACAAACGACACCCAAUUUUAAUAUCUAAAAAAAUAAAAUUCUAAAAAUAAUAUAAAAUAACUUAAAACUGUAAAAAGACCAAAAAAAGAAAUAGAAUUUUUUACUUAAUUAUGGAGCAAGACAAGGCAAGCAUUCUAAGUUUGAUUAGUCUCGUCGUAACUUUUGAAAUGAUAUAUUAUAUGCCUAAAAUGAACAUAUAAAGCCCAAGUUAUAACUCCUAAAAGAUACCUCCUUCAUGAUGAUCCUACGCAACUAUCUCACGUCGAAAAUGAAUGCAAAAGUUACAUUUCAAAUUAAAUUCAAAACAAUCAAUUCAAGCAUUAAUGCCGUGUUUUUUUUAACCAAAAUACUCUCUAAGGAUUUUAUAAAUUGCUUUCUAAUUUUAUUUUGCAAAACACACCAAAUCAAAGUGAUUUUUCUCUUUUCUCUCAAACAAUUUCAACAUUUGGUAAUAGAGCUGAUGACAGGCAUUAGUAAACAAUGUGCAAUAGUAAUGCACAACAAUAUAGAAAAGCAAAUUGGUAAAGUGUAAACUAUGAAAUGAUAAAAUAGAGCCUUUUUUUUUUAAGAUCACAUGUUAAGUUAUUGGCGUAUUUUGUCGGGAUCAUAUACUUUUUUAGAUCUACGUGCUUUUGGUCAAAUUUAGCAUAAUUAAAAGUUCAAAACUGAAGUUCAUAUUCAAUAAUAAUAAACUAAUAAUAAUAGAUAAUGUAAUACUGACUAUUAAUUUAGAUCCUACGAUAUUAAAUUUUUUUUAAUACUUAAUAAAAAUAACAACAAUAAUAAUUUUUUUUAAGGGUUAACUUAAUUGUUAACUUAGACUUACAUUGAGUCAUAAAUCAUAGUUUAUAACAACAUUAAUGCAUAUAUUCAUAAAAAUCAUGAUAUUUAUAAUUUAUUUAUUAAAAUCAUGAUAUCACCUAUUCAUUUAACAAAUUAUAAACAUAAAACAAUUAGAUUUUUUUUAAGAUUAAGAAUUAAAUGAAUCUAAAAAACUUAAGCUAAUAAAAUGCAUUAAAGAUUCAAAUUCAAAUUAUUUGCAAAAUUAUAAUUAUUCGUAAAAUUAUAAAAUUUUAAGUUUACUUUCAUUAAAAAGCUUUUACCUUAAUAUACUUUGACUCGCAUGCUAUUGAUAACGCAUAAGCCACGUGCUAAUCGUCCAGUGAAACAUUUUUAUUGAUGUCCUUUUCACGUGCUGUGUUUUAGCCUAUUUUUAAGCAUAUCAUGCUUUUAAGAUCCACUUGCCUAAAAUUCUCAACUCAGCCCAGCACUCGUGCAUGCCAUGCCUUGUCGCUUACCCUACCAAAACGUCCUUGUGCCGUACCAUGCUGAACGGAUAUGUGUCGUGCAUGUGUCGUUCCACCUGUCACCUGGUCCAUUAGUCAUCUCUAGAAAACACCAUAUAUUUAUUGAGUGUGUUGCAAGCAUUGUGUCGCAAGUUGCUCAAAUUUCCCCUAAACGGAGGCUAAAUUAGCGCGCACGAGUACGGUCAGUAAAAGUCUGCCCAAUAAUGGGAUGCACUCAACAGUAAGGUGCGCUGAGCGAUGGGCUGCCUCAUAUAACUAGUGAGUUAUGGUGCACUUAGUAAGUGAAUAGCCCAUAAUCAACAAGCCUAACUCGAUUUUUAGAUUUCUCUACACCUUGUAAAUGGCUAGAUUUUUAGGCAAGUUGCAUGAACUCUCUAUAAAAUAGGGGUGAGCACCCACUAUUUGCUCACCACCACACCACACACACAGCACCUAGCAACUCAAAAACUCUCGUAAAAAUCUCUCUUAUAAUUUCUCUUUUGUGAGCAAUAAAAUAUUCUUUAGCCAUAUUGCUCUCUUCUCUCUAGCAGUAUUGCAAACAUCCUUACUUGGCUAGUUUGAGAAGCUCUUUAGGCUUACUUAACAACUUUUGUACUAGAAGUUAUGUAAGUACUGCACGGGAUUGUUGCGCAAAAUAGUCAUCUCGUGACAACCGGCUUAGUUUUGCUUUGCACAUUUACGCCCACAAUAAUAAAAGCCAAAAUAAGAUAUAAAAAAAUGUUGGGAUUUGACAUCAAGUAGAAGAGGUUUUGCCCACUCCAAAAUCAUCAAAAUGAUUAAUUAUCUUCUAUAUAACCUGAUGAUUUUUUUAACCUUUGAGAAAGCAACCACAGAGGUGGAACAAACUUCUACUCAUGGGGACUUGACAUACGGUUAAUGAAGAAGGGUAAUUUCGUAAAAUUCCAAUCAAAAUUAGAAAAAAGGCAAGCCAUAUUCAAAAGUCAAUCUUGAUCAAACAAACGGCAGGAGGGACAUCUGUAAUUACGGCAUUUUCGAGGAAUUGUUUCUAAAACUAACUAAAACGGGAAAAUGGAAAGGGACAAACACGAAAGCUCAUAGUUUGCUUGGUUGGGCUAUGUUCUGCUAGUAGGAGAGACAGACUGUAGAAAGGGUUUCUUUUCUCUUUUUUUUUUUUUUCUAAACUCUUUUUUUUUUCAAAUAGACAUAUAGCCACGUGUUGUCUCAUAUAAAAAAUAAUACUUUAUAUAAGUCCUAGGUCAGUUGGGCUGGAAAACAUUUAAAAUCGAACAUAUCAGGCACGUUGUAAGUUCGCAAUUGGAGAAUCAUGUUGUCAGCCCCGCAACCCCCAAAUGGGAACUUUAGAUAGAAAAAUAUAGCGUCGCAACGAUAAUAUUUAUUAAUAAUAAAUUUUCUUAUUACAAUUGUUCUUGUCAAAAACUCUUUGAUGGUAUUUCAUGUGUUGAAAAAAAUGUAAAAUAGUUUCAUUAUCAAUACAAUUAAAAACAUAUUUUUUUAAUAUAUACAACUAAAUUAUCACUUGAUUUGUUUUAAUAUAAUGCAACAUGAAGAACAAAUAUGAAUACACAUACAUUAGGGAAUGGCAAUGGGAAGAAUAGGGGAGGGGACCGAUAUCUCCAUACCCAUUUUCAAUAUUUUGUAUAUGUCCUCAUCUGCUCUCCAUCCCAUCAGAAUUACUUGAAAAAAUUUUCAUCCUCUCUCCAAAUAAUAAGAGGGGAUCCCUGAAAGUCUCCGAUCUCCAAGUAAUUAAUACAUUUUUAAUUUUUAAUUUUAAUUAAUUAUAUUAAAAUAAAAUUUUAAUAAAAGUAGAAUUAAGGCGGUAGCUAGCUACCAUAGAAAAUUAGAAAUUAGGUUUUAUGAUGUUGCCUUAACUUUUGUUUUAGUAGAUAAACGUUUAAAAUAUGUAACGAAUAUUAUAAAUAAAUAAAAUUGAGCCAACAAGAUCCUGUUUGGCUUUUUUUAUGUCCUGAAUAGAUGUUUAAGAUUAUAGCUAGUUAAGUAGGCUCAUUAAAGCAUCUGACAAAUUGUUACAUAAAACCAGGAUAAUUAGAGUGCGAAUCAAAUAACCCAAAUUAUAGAUUCCCUAAUCAAACAAACAUAACAAAAAAAAUUUUGAAAUACAAUUUUUUUUUUUUUAUCAGAAAUGCGCAUUGGCACCAAAUAAAAUUGAGCAAGAGCUAAUGGUGUCCUACAAGUUGACAUGGUCUACCUUUAGCAAGAUUCAAAUAAGAAGGACCACAGUAAACAUAAGAGGAAGUAAUUUAACUUUAUAUAUAAAUCCUACAAUUUAGUUGCAAGUAAAAUAACUCCAAUCUGAAACAUCAAAUGUAUAAGAUUCGUAAGUAAAAAUAGGUUACACGAUUAGUUAUUACCUGGAUUACGUUGUAUAUAUUACAUGGUAUACCUAAUCAGACAAAUAACGUGGACAUGAAGUGAAUAACUUAAUUUGAAUCUUGCUAUUUUAUUUUAUAAUUUUAAACUAAUUAAUUCAUGCACACACAUUAUGUAUGCAUUAAGUGGAUACAAUACAACAGAAGUAUUCUACAAUCUCUUAUAUGAAAGUUCUUAAUUCAUGUACUCUUUUUAGAAUUGACCUUUUCAUAAUAUUAUUUGUGAAGUAUAUUUUCAAACUAAUUUCAGAAUAAUUUUAAAUUAUUGUAUAAGUCUAUGUAUCUAAAGUUUCAAUAAACCCCGCGGAAUUAUAAUAUUUAAUUCAUUUUUUUUUCCUCUAUUGAUAACAUCAUUAUCACUUUCAUAGAGUUUCAAUAAGCCCAGCCGAAUAACCUUUUGUCAACGUCACUGCAUAUGCCCCACCUUCUCCCUCUCGACUCUCUCAAGACACUCCAAAAAAUACUCUAAAGUCCAACAACAUUUUACAAUCUCUCUCGAUUUUUCUCGCUUCAGUUUACCAUCCUCAAACACGAACACGAACACGAACAUGAAUUAAGUUAAUUAGUUUAUGGAACACAAACUCAUCGUCAGCAUCAUAUCCUAAUUGAAAAAGAAGGAUUGCGAGGGAAACUAAGCAUGUGCCUUCAUUUUCACUUGAAAUAAAGCGCGAUGGAAAGAUCUCAUGUUAUCACAUGAUCCCGUGUAAUCACCUAGAAGCCCUUCCACGCACAUUUCUUCUCAAAUUGUCUUCUUCUAAUUUCUUGGGCCAUCGCGGAACCACAAUGUCAAUGCGAGGAUGAGCGAGUGCUGUUCAGCUCGCAGCAUUUGGAGCCGGAGCUCGGCUUCCCUUAUUUGUUGGUCGUUUGGUAGGCGUCGCCAAAAGGCAAAGAGCAUCCUCUGGCGUUCGUGGAGUUGGUCCUCGAUGCGAUCGAUUUCUUCUCCAAGUUGAGCAAGCCUUUGUGCCAUAGCCAUACAAUUAUUUACUUUCGAUCGAGCACUUUUCGUCUGCACCCAAAUGUUUCAUUAAUAUUUUGAAGUAUACACACCUGUUUCAACAACUAUCCGGAUCACGUUAAAAGACAAUUUUACCCUCACUUGAAGUGUAAAAUAACUAACUUGAAGUGUAAAAUAACUAAAAAAGCCACAACACUAGUUUUAAAUUCUAAUUGACCUGGGUGAAUAUUAAAAUUUCUUAAAGGUUAAAAAAAAAAGUAAAAAUGUUUUGUUAUGGGAAUUGAAAUAUCCCCUAUAUCUUCAUCCAUAAUCAUCUAUCCAUGAUAACAAUUUAAUAAACUUGAAAAAGCAAGAUAUCCAAUCCCAAUGAAUCAAACAACCAAUUUUCUUCAUAAAGUUUAGCUUUUGCUUUUAAAAAUUCUAACUCUUGAGACCUUAAAUAAACUCAUAUUCAAAUUUACAUUUUCUAUAAUGAAAAUCUUCAAUUUACCCUUUUAAUAUUUUGAAAAACAGGUCCAACUACAAUAUAAUUGUGGUUUCAUACCUAUUUUUUUUUAUCUUUUUGUGAUCCAACCCAAGAGUUGCAAAGGCUAUUCCAACGGUUUGGAUGUUAUUAUUUGAUUAUUAACAAUAUGGUCUCUUAUGUUUACUAAAAGAAUAAAAAAAGAUUAAGUUUCAAAAUUUUGACCCAUUAGUCCGUUAAAUAUUUUAUUAUCAAAGGUAAUUUAGUAAAUGAACAUAUUUAUAUAUUAAAAAUAUGGAUGAAUUAUUUUAACUUGCUAAAAUACUCUCAAAUUCCAUUUACUUAAAAUAUGAAUUAGAUUUUUAUAAUACUAUUUUGUAUUUAGUGUAACACAAAAUUAGACAAGGUUUUAUAUAAAUUUUGACAAUAUUAAAAUGAAAAAUUAAUAAAUAUUAAAUAAAUGCUUGGAUAGUCAUUUAAAUUCAUUAUAGAGUUUAUAAAUAAUAUUUUCAAAAUAAUAAAUUUCUAUAUGUAAAUUUGAAAUUAUGUAAAAUUACUUAGACUUUAUCACACAUAUGAAGCUGAUCAAUUAUUUAUUUAAUAUGAAAACAAAUGAAUUGUAUAAUAUUUAUUCUAUUACUUAAAUUUAAAAUUUGUUGAGAAGGAGAUAGAGGGAAUAAUUUUUUUUAGAAUUUUAAAAUUAUUAUAUUUUAAUUGAGUUUAUUACAUAAAAUUAUUAAAACUUUAGUUUUUAUUAUUUGUAUAAAACAAUAGGAAUUGUUGAAGAAAAUCCCAAAUAAAUUUUUUAGAAUUUUGUAAUUAUUAUAUUUUAAUUGGGGCUUAUUGUAUAAAAUUUUUAAAACUUAUAAUUUUUUAUUAUUUACAAAAAAUUACAGGGACUGCUAAAGUAAAUACCAAAAUGGUGUUUGGUACAACGGGGUAAGAUAGUUUUACCCUUGAAAAACAUUAAUUUACUUCCAUUUAUCAGUCAAAAGACUAAAAUAAAUGGAGACAUGUGGACGAGAAACUUUUUAACUUUUUAGUGGUAUUUGAUAAAUAUAAAUAAAUUGAAAAUUCUCGUUUUUACUUUUUAUUGGGCAUAAGUUAAAAAUCUUACUCUCUAUUUAUUAUGCUUUAACAAGAGAAAGAAAGAAAACAGAAAACAAAUCUCUUCUAUAGCAGACUUAACAAAAAUUUCAGCUGAGACUUAAACCGACUUUUUCAAGGAAAUGAAAUUAGGAGAACAAAAACACUUUGAAGUGGACUGCAUAUAUAUACUCAAAAAUAACAUACAACUUGAGUCAGUAAUGGUAAAGAAAACGAACGUACACAGACGGGUUUGGAUUUAGAUGAUGAAGAAUGCACUGAAAGCUUUGCAUUUGAGUUCUCUUUUUCGGGUGAGUAAGUUAGGGAACUGCAAGGCCGAUCAAUUUGAAAAAAGAAAAAAGAAAAAAACUAAAAUGUAAACGCAGCUUGAACUUGAUUUCUUUUGGUUUUUGGGGAGGGGACGGGGGGAGGGGAGGGAAUGUAUACGCAGCUUCAAACUUGGUUUCUUUUCGUUUUUUUCCCCGGGGGUGUGGAGGCCUGGAGGGAAUGUAAACGAACUAACGAAGCCUCAAUCCUCAUGCAGCUGUAUUUAUAUGAAGUGGGUACUGCUGACUGAUCCACGAAGGAAGACUUUUGAUGUCAUUGGUGUUUCUUUAUUUUUGACCUUUUAGCUAGAUGACAGAAGAAUGCCGAGUGCUACGGACACUCGCGAGUGUCUCAAUCGCGGCUCUCUAUAUAGACACGUGUCUAUCAAAAUGAAACCUUAUCAGAGAGACAGCCGCAAGUAUGACGAGACAAGCGCGAUCGUAAGGAUGGAAGCCGCAAGUAUGAAGAGACAGGCCCAAUCCACAACGAUCCAAGAGCAAUCAUUACCUGCAAACUCAACACAACACCUAAUUAACUUCAAACCCCACCAUAAAUCCACCAACAGUCACUAUUCGAAACAAAUCUACCUCAAAUGCGACGUCAAAUAAAAGGAAUAAAAAGGUUUCCUUAAAAGAGAGAGAGCUGCGAGUAUGAAGAGACAAGCACGGUCCACAACGAUCGAAGGCUGUGUGGUAUGUGUCUUGUAUAGAUUGAACAGAGCAAUCAUUACCUGCAAAACUGAACCAAACACUCAAUUAACAAACAAAUUUCAAUUUGAAACCCGACCUUAAAUCCACCAUUGGGCACUAUUCGACACAAAUCUACUUGAAAUCCGACAACAAAUAAAAGGAAAAAAAAUUCUAAAUCAACAUCGAAAUGAAACCUUUAUAAGAGAGAAAGCCGCAAGUACGAAGAGAUCUGAAGUCCUGUUGGUAUAUGUCUUGUAUAGAUUGACAGAGCAAUCAAAGGCCGUGUCGACCAGAGCAAUCGCAGAAUAGAAGAGAUAAGAGAGGAAAAAAGAAGGAAGAGGAGAGCUGCAGCAGCAAAUGAUCAGAGCAAUCAUUACCUGCAAAACUCAACACAACACCAAAUUAACAACCAACAUUUCAAUUUCAAACUUAACCUUAAAUUGAAACAAAUCUACUUGAAAAUAAAAGAAUAAGCAACUCCGAAUCAAAAUCGAAAUGAAACCUUUUAUAACAGAGACAGCCGCGAGUAUGAAGAGACAGGCACAAUCUGCAGCGAUCGAAGAGAAAUCACCACUACCUGCAAAACUCAACACAACGCCUGAUUAACAACAAACAUGCCAAUUUCAAACCCACCUUAAAUCCACCAACAGACACUAUAACUUGAAAUGCAAUAUCAAAUAAAAGGAACAAGUAGUCUAAAUCAAAAUCAAAACGAAACCUUAUAAAAGAGACAGCCGCAAGUCUGAAGAGACCAGCACGAUCCUAAAGGAUCAAAGCCGCAAGUAUGAACAGACCUGAUUAACAACAAACACCUGAUUACCUGCAAAACUCAACACAACACCUGAUUAUCAACAAACAUUUCAAUUUCAAACCCAAAACAAAUCUACUUGAAAAAAAAAAAAAAACAACUCCAAAUCAAAAUCGAAAUGAAACCUUAUUAGAAAGACAGCCGCAAGUAUGACGAGACAAGCACGAUCGUAAAGGAUGGGAGCCGCAAGUAUGAAGAGACAGGCCCAAUCCACAACGAUCCAAGAGCAAUCAUUACCUGCAAACUCAACACAACACCUAAUUAACUUCAAACCCCACCAUAAAUCCACCAACAGUCACUAUUUGAAACAAAUCUACCUCAAAUGCGACAUCAAAUAAAAGGAAUAAAAAGGUUUCCUUAAAAAAGAGUCCACAACGAUCGAAGGCUGUGUUGUAUGUGUCUUGUAUAGAUUGAACAGAGCAAUCAUUACCUGCAAAACUGAACCAAACACUCAAUUAACAAACAAAUUUCAAUUUGAAACCCGACCUUAAAUCCACCAUCGGGAACUAUUCGACACAAAUCUACUUGAAAUCCGACAACAAAUAAAAGGAAAAACAAGUCUAAAUCAACAUCGAAAUGAAACCUUUGUAAGAGAGAAAGCCGCAAGUAUGAAGAGAUCUGAAGUCCUGUUGGUAUAUGUCUUGUAUAGAUUGACAGAGCAAUCAAAGGCCGUGUCGACCAGAGCAAUCGAAGAGUAGAAGAGAUAAGAGAGGAAAAAAGAAGAAGAGGAGAGCUUCAGCAGCAAAUGAUCAGAGCAAUCAUUACCUGCAAAACUCAACACAACACCAAAUUAACAACCAACAUUUCAAUUUCAAACCCAACCUUAAAUUGAAACAAAUCUACUUGAAAAAUAAAGGAAAAAGCAACUCCAAAUCAAAAUCGAAAUGAAACCUUUUAAAACAGAGACAGCCGCGAGUAUGAAGAGACAGGCACAAUCCGCAGCGAUCGAAGAGAAAUCAUCACUACCUGCAAAACUCAACACAACGCCUGAUUAACAACAAACAUGCCAAUUUCAAACCCAACCUUAAAUCCACCAACAGACAGACACUAUAACUUGAAAUGCAAUAUCAAAUAAAAGGAAAAACAAGUCUAAGUCAACAUCGAAAUGAAACCUUUAUAAGAUAGAAAGCCGCAAGUACGAAGAGAGAAGCGCGAUCCUAAAAGAUCUGAAGUCGUGUUGUAUAUAUGUCUUGUAUAGAUUGACAGAGCAAUCAAAGCCCGUGUCGACCAGAGCGAUCGAAGAGGAGAAGAGAGAAGAGAGAAAAAGAGAAGAGGAGGAGAACUGCAGCAGCAAAUGAGCAAAGGGAGCUCAAUUUAUAAACGACUAAACGAGGGAUUCCGUUUGCUCAUUUGCUGCUGCAGCUCUGGACCGUUGAGGGGGGACACGUGGAGGGAUCGUGGGGAGUGGUGGAAGUAACUGUGGUUGAGUUAAGGUUGACUAGAGUUAUGUGAGGGAUCCAAGGCUGGGUGUUUUCCUUUUGGAUAUGCGUUUUGUCAGUGGGAACGGCAUCGUUUGUUUGGGUUUAAAAUUGAGCACAUUUAUUAUACGUAGCGGAAUCGUACAAAAAUUGCUGCUGCAGUAUAAAUCUGAAGGAAAAAAAAAAAAAUGGUUGGUAUGUGGAAAUUAUACUUGAAACGUUGUCGUUUUUGGCAUAAUUGCUGUGAUAUAUUUAUUUGUUUGUGUUUUUAUUUCUUUUUUCUGGGUUUUAGGGUCACAAUCGGAGAGCGAAGACAAGGUCUCGUUGGAACUCUCUGAAGAAGUUCUUCAGAGCAUGGAAGUGGGCAUUUCUUUUAGAGAUUAUGUAAGAGAAUCUUCUAUUAAGUUUCUGUUUGAGGAACAUACUUGAUUUGCAUUUUAAAUGUAUCUGUUUGUUAAUUCAUUGUCGUUUUGUGUUGAUUCGUGUUUUAACAGAAUGGGAGAAUUAGUUCCUUGGAUUUUCAUAAAUCAUCGAGUUAUUUGAUGAUGGCUAGUGAUGAUGAAUCUAUACGGCUGUACGAUGUCUCUGCUGCCACGUAAGUUGAUCCUCUGUUUCUUAGGAUUUUAUGUUGUCUAUUGGGAAGUGCUUUUAACUAAGAAAUGGCUUUUGAAUAAGUAUAAAAAGCUGGUUUCAAUCUUGCAAUGUUUGUUUGAAAUUGCUGGAAUAAUAAAGUGUCUUUUGAAAUCAAAGGAACCCUUGAAGUGUUUUUCUAGGGAAGUGCUUGAUAUCUGCUUUCAUGGAUAGAACUUUUUGGAUUAGGAAACCACUUGUAGUGCUGUUUGAAGUAGUGCUUCAUAUAUGUUUGAAAGUGAUUUUACUCGAGGGUACUUUCCAUUAAAGCACUGCUGAACGUAUCCUCUGCGUGUUUGAUGAGCUCAUGAAAGCUACUGUCUUUCUAAGAUGGGGAAAAAUGCUUUUUUGAUGAAACAGAAAAAAAAAAAAAAAAAAAAAAAGGAGAACCUUGGAGUGGUUUUCGGGGCAGUGCUUAAGGGAAAUGUAAUUGAUAUAUUUUUCAAGAACUUUUGUAAAAAGGCCUUUUCUUUUUCUUUUUUGUUUUGUUUGCAUAAGCUCUUUCUAUAAGAGCACUGCCAAAUGCACUCCAGUUGUCUUAGCUGAGCUCAUGAUAGUUGGUAUUGCAAUUGUUGCUGAGAGCCUUAAUUGAAAUUUCAGAUGUUUGAAGACAAUUAACAGCAAAAAAUAUGGAAUAUUUGUGUUUUGUAUGUUGGUGAAUUACUUUACUAGGCACUUAUUUGGUACGUUCAUUUAUUCAGAAUCUCUACGGCUUCUUUCCUCGCACUAUAACAAGUACUUGCGUUACUUCAACGGUCAUCAUAACAGGUUUGUAAUUCACUUAUUCUUGUAAAUAUUUCGUAAUUAUUAUUAUCUGUAUAUAUGUUUUACUGCUUCUAGGGUUGUUUCACUUAGUCUGUGCUCCUCCAAAGAUUGCUUUAUCUCUGGUUCUCUUGGUCAAUCUGUUCUGCUCUGGGAUCAACGGGCUGAGAAAUGCUAGGUGGAUAUCAUGCCAUCCACCAUUUUCAAUUGUAUAUAUGAUCUCUGUUGGCAAAUACGGGCCUUUUGCAUGUUCAAGGAAGGCCUGCUACAGCAUAUGAUGAUCAAGGGCUUGUCUUUGCAGUUGCCUUUGGAGGAUACAUAAGAAUGUUUGAUGCUCGUAAGUAGGAGAAGGUUAAAAUUAAUAUUUAAGAACAUCUUGGAAGUUUAUAUGUCGUACUUUUAUCAUGCACUAAUUUGGUUAAAUUUGGAUACAUCUUCUCUGAUGGUGUAGAUGUAUCAGAUUCUGAUGCUGUAAAGUUCAGCAAUGAUAGGAGACUUAUGCUUCCGACCUCUAUGGAAGGACAUAUUCAUGUGCUUGACUCAUUCCAAGGCACACUUGUGAGUUGACUUUUUCUUUCUUCAUCUCCCAAAUGUAACAUAUCGUACAUAUAUACCCCUCUAUACACUGGAAUCUCUGUUAAUGAGCUUUUGUUUACUCUUGUUUUUAUUUAUCCACUUAUGAUGCCAAGCCAGUUUCUCGCAAUUCCACAUUGGAGGCAUCUUUCAGCCCGGUAGAGUUUCUCCUUUGAGUUCUUAGGGCACAGUGACUUGGAUAUUUUGUUAAUAUUUGCUUUUGGCUGUUUUGAUAUUUUAUAUUAAAGUUCUUGCACUUGUGCUGUAUAUAAUUCUCAAAUUUGUUACCACCUUGUUGGUAUAUUGAAAUACACGACUUGAAAUGUUGGGCAUCAAGCUUGUUUCCGCAGAAUUCUUUGAAAUAAAUUCAUUUUCUCUUCUUCAUUGACUUGGUUUGAAACCCACUCCCAUCCAUGCAAAUCCAAAUGCAUACGUAUUUUCAUCUGGUUGUGCUUAUUAAUAAAAAUAAAUCAAUGAAAUGCUCAAAUAGCAAGUGCACCCACACAUGUGGAAGCAGCCUGGUGCGGCCAAGCACCUCUCAUUCGUUUUAUGUGAUACAAUUGGUUUGUUGCACUCUUUGUGCUAAUUUUACUUUCUCGAUUUUGGAAGGUUCUGAUGAUGGUAGUGGAUAUGCUUGGAGUGUAGGGAGCGGGAAAGGGGUAUGAUAAGCAAAAUUCCUUGAUUCUCAUGCCUUUUGAAUGCUUAGAAUUCAAAGGGAUGUUAUUUCCCUUACACUGACCCCAGUCAUAGCAUUCAUUGUCUUCUAGCCAAACCAACAAUGCUUUUGAAUCUACAUUUGAGCAUUUACCUUAAGCACCAGUUUGCAUAAUGAGUUCUGUAUCCAAAGACUAUAUUCUUUGGAUGUUGGUAUUGUUAUUAUAUAAACAUUGUUUGGUUUUGUUUAUUUUUCUUGUCAGGGUUGUUAGUUGGAUGAGUUUUCAUACAGAGCCUCCUGUCAUAAAAUGGGCCCCUGGAAGUCUCAUGUUUGUUACGGGGUAAUCUGAGCUAUCAUUUUGGAAUCCUAAUGUGUCUAAACUAGGAGCUUACGAUGGGAGGAAGUAAAGUUUCUAACACUCAGCACCCUUAAGUAUCUGAAUAUUGAUGUCUAUCUAUUGCUGGGAGGGGAACUUGUUUGUAAGGAGAUGUUCAAUUUCCUAUAGUAGUAUGUAAAUGCAUCUGACUUACCUGCUAGUAACCUUUCCUAACAAGUUCUGAAGAAACAACAGUAGAUCUGGUAUCAGUACUUUAUUCAGAAGAGCAUUUCUUCUUACAUGCACAGCUAAGAGUACAUGAAUUGAGCUACUGAAGCCCUUCCUGACCAACCUGGCUAAGGCUCCUUUCAGUUUGUCCUCUUCAUGGUUCUUUGGCAGGCAACAGCGUAAGCAAUUACCUGGACUAUGAGGCCUUUUGUAGCGGGGUGGGCACUGCCUAGGCAGUUUUUGAAAAAACUAGGAGCUUUAUUUGUCAUUGACAUUUGUAGCACGAUUAGUUAUUACCUGGAUUAAGUUGUAUAUAUUACAUCGUAUACCUAAUCUGACAAAUAACAGGUUGCAAUCCAAGUUUUGUUGAUC